rnacentral:lncRNA from 1 species
AUUCAUCCACAACCUCAUUACCCUGCAGGUAAAAAUUAAACUUAUAUUAAUUGGUUUUCAUAUUAAAAAAUUAUUUGACUAAUCUUUUAUUAACUUUAGUAUUGUUUAAUUUGUAGGUUCAACAUCUUAAUUGCCGAGCUCACUACGACUGGAUCUGAUAUGAUAUUAUUAGCUUUUGUUUUCAUUUCUCCUUCUCUUGGGUUGAAAAGCUAGAAAUUAUUGGUAUUGUGAUUUAGUGACUAAAUACUCGUUUAAAGAUAUAUGGAUAAUACCUUGAGACAUUUUGGUAUUAAUUAGUGUAACUACAAAACUUCUUUUAUAUGCUUUCUUUGUUAAUGCAAAUCAAGGCGAAUAAAAUUAAAGGUAUGCUUAAUGAUAAUGUAAUGCACUGGAUCUUGCAAAUCGCAAGAUUCGAGUGUUUGAUCUGUGUCUUGAGCUUUUUCACAGUUUUUGUAGGGUCGUUGAUAGUGUUCCGACCCCUGGCACGCACCCCGAGGACGUUGGUUUGAAACUUGGCACCAAAAUUCCAAAAUUGGAAUUCUUGGUCAGUUCUCGGGUAGCCUGCAGCAGGGCUUGUACCGGAACAAGGAUGGUCUUGUACCGGUACAAGGUUGAUGGUUGUACCGGUACAGAGCCGCAGACCCAGCCACCCGAGCCUCGGGUUUGCAUUUUCGUGGGCCUUGUACCGGUACAAGGGCCCGUGUACCGGUACAAGGGGGCAGUUUUUGGGCAGAUUGUUCUGCAGGGGUGUUUUUGCUAUUGUAGCAAUACUAUAACAGCACCCACGCCCCUAGGGCUCUUCUUUGAGCUUGCCACUGUAGGGAGUAAGGUAAGGGGAGCUUCUCUUUGCUUCUCUUUGGUUUUAAUCUCCCUCUAGCCUAGAUUUUGGUGGAUUAAUCCCUCUCUUUCUCCUCUUUUGUGCUUUUCCUCCAUGGAUGAAGUUGGAGCUUGGUUUUGGGAGCUUGAGUGAGGGAAAAUCCUUGAAGUUUGGAGACUUUGAGCUUGGAUUGAGGCUACUUGGGGGUAAGUAGUAUGUUACUCUCCUCUAGAUUUGGUUUUGAUAGUUUCUUUGAAGUUGCAACCCUAGAUUUUGCAUUUUAGGGUUGUUUUUGGGGAUUUUCGUUUGAGGGCUUUUGUACCAAAUUGAUGGUUUAGAACCUUUGUUUAGGUUAGAUUGGAAGGACUCUAGCUCCCAUUUGGAGAUUGAGAGAGCUUCCUUCGCAAUCGGUGAGUUUUCUCCAACCCUAGCCCAAGAUGCUUAAAGAUUGAACUUAGCGUCGUUCGUUUCGACUAGAUGACACUUGUUCUCAUACCUUUAGGGUACUAGGAGUGUGGUGGACGCCUUCGUCGUGGCAAACGAAAGCUUUCGUUGACGACGGUGGGUUUGGCUUCUUUGAAAUGGGAGGAAAUUCCUCCUAUGCGGUUAAAUGCUUUCAUUUACCAUAAGUUCAUGUAUAUUCAUGUUUAGUAGCAUUUAUGAGAGUUUUUGAAUGCUUAGAACUCAUAUGUUAUGCAUCAAGAAAAUUUACUCUAUAUAGUAGAGAGAGACAAUGUGCUUUGUUAAUAUGCAUGCGGCGAACAUUCUAUGAGAUGGUAAGAAAUCAAGUUUCUUGCUUCGAUUUUGACUAAAAUUAUAAGUGCUUGAACUUAGUAUCCAUGUUGGGACAAAAUAAGCCAUAGUGUCAUAAAGAGGCACUUGGCCGAGAGAAUUAUUAAACUGCAAUAUAGAGGCUUGAUAAUAGGUCACGUUGACAUCAACUAUAUUCCAUAUUUAAGAUAUGAUGAAAUAGUGACUUGGCCACGAUGACAUUUAUUAUAUUCCAUGUUUGAGACAUGACGACCUAGAGAUAGGCCUAUGAGAUUAGUGACAUAUUCCAUGUUAUUAGACAUGAGGACUUGGUACUUUUGACAGAUCGUUUGACUACUUGCCAUUGUGCUCAUUCGCACAUGCUUGUGAGGGUCGCUCCCUAUAAGCCGGCACUCCGGAGAUGGCCAUCGCGAUUUAUAUUCGCCGUGCGGGAUUGGGCGCCGAAGUGGAUUGCCGUGGGCCAGGCUCAUUCCUAGGGUGGGGAUGAUGACUACCACGGGGCCAUUAGGCUCGGCACCGGCCAGACAGCCUACGGGUGGGUCUCAGGGCCAUAGACAGCCUUCGGGUGGGUCUCUUCAGAUUUGACUUUGAGUAUUCAUUAUGACUUGUGAACAGAUGAUGACUUAGGGUACUACUUGGACAUUGACUAGAAUAGUAAACUACGGAACUUUACUAUUUCGCGCUGUGAACAUUGUGAUAGUUGGAGACUUUCACUUCAUGCAUAGUUGUUUUCAUACUUAUGCUAUUUAUGCUAAGUAGAGACUGUAUGUUGUAGUAAGUUACAAUUUUACUUACCUUUCACUUUUCUACUUUUAUAAUCACUGACAUCUUUUGUAGCUUUGGGCCUCGUGGUGCAUUCACUGAAGUCAGUAAUUGCCCACUGGGAACUAUUUUUAAUAGUUCUCACGCCCCUAUUUUAUGGUUUACUUUUCAGAGCCUUCAGCACCGGCGGAGGCACGGGAUCGCGGCAAGGGGAUCGCUUAGCUAGCUAGCGAGGAGCGGUACUUUGCCUAGGUGGUUUACUCUUUCUUUUUGUAGUUGAGAGAGUGUGAGGUUUUUGUAUCCAUGUAUAGAGACCACCUAUGUAUCUACCUAUAGCACUUGUAUCUGGGAUUUCCUUGUAUCACUUUAUGUUUUAUUUAGUGGAUUUACAGUUUUAUCCUUAUCUUUUGUGGUAGCAUUUAGACAUUUAUUAUGCUCUGAUAUUCCUAGAUGUUUUUUAUUAUCGCUUUUAUUAUUAUUGUUUUUAGACGCCUUAUAUGUUUUAGACGUAUGGCGGGUCUGGACACGCGCCGGGUAGGCUUCCGCUGAGCCCCGGGGCGUGACAGAUAAUCAUCGUGGAGUGGUCACUACAACAGAAUUAGGUUAUAGGGACACAUGUUUGGGACACUUUUGAGUAAGUGUCCCAUUUAUGGUAAAACUUAAAACCACAUCUACUAAUGCUUAAAUAUAAAGCCCAAUCCAACCAAAAAUAAAAGAUUACUCUACUCAACCCACCACACCCAGUCCAUUUGGCCUGAUUACAAACAGAAAAGAAAAAAAAAAGAAAAUUCAAUUUUCAUCUUUUCUUCUCUCUUCACUCAAUCCACUGAAAUUCUAGACGAAGAGCCUUUACUGUCGUCCUCCUCCGCCACCGCAGUCAACGAGAUAGAGUUUCGGAGGUUGCUAAAUGCUUAAAUAAGUGUUGAUAAAUUAGUAGCACUUUUUUAGGUUAUAGCGACACUCUUUAACUGUCACUAUAUACCUAGCGACCCCACAUAUAGCAGCACUUUUUAAAAGUGUCGGUAAUUUUAGCUAGCAGCACUUUUUUGACAUUUACCUAUAUUUAAAAGUGUCGCUAUAGACCGUUUUUGUUGUAGUGGGUAUUAUAUUUUAAAAAGUGUGAUGCAUCAAAAAAAAUUUGGAUAUUUAAAGAAAAUGGGAUAGUUAUAAAGUGUCGCUGAAAUUAAAAAAGGUGUUGCUAGAAUAUUAUUUUGCAUUACUUUUAUGUGCUGCUAAAAGCUUAAAUAAGUGUCGGUAUAUUAGUGGCACUCUUUUUAGGUUAUACCGACACUCUUAAAAAGUGUCACUAUAUACCUAGCGACACCACAUAUAGCAACACUUUUUAAAAGUGUCGGUAAUUUAGCCAUUAGCACUUUUUUUGACCCAUACCGACAUUUAAAAGUGUCGCUAUAUCCCGUUUUUGUUGUAGUGCUAAAAAAUAAUAUUCGAAGUUUUUCCUUAAAAUAACUUAUGAGUACAAAGAAAAUUAUACUCGUGAUAGUAUAAAAAUAGUCAAUCUCUCUCUAUAAAUAUAUUAUAAAAUAACUUAACUUUACAUUUAGAAUGUUCUGAAAUAUUCAAAAAGGGACACAAUAUUUUAGAUUUUAAAUGCUAAUUAGUUACAAUUUCUGACUCAAAUUAUGAGACAUAUGAUAUUUUUAAUUCUCAACUCUUAUUACUGCUAUAAAUAUAAUUCUUCUUAUAGUUUUUUUUUAUUUAAAUGCUUCUUAAAUUUUUACUGUAGUAGCUGUUGUUUCAACUUAAAUUUUUUUAUCUGUAUUUUUUUAUUCUUCGACUUUUUUUUCUUAUUUUUUAUUUUAAGAUCUAUAUCAUGAAAUAGAAUUUAAAUUAUUAACUUUGUAAGUCAUGUAUGUUUAAUUAAGUUUUGAUUUAAAAAAUAUUUAUCAUCUAAUAUAAGUUGUGGUGCAUAAAAUGUUAAUAUAUAUCAUGUGAAUGUAAGAAUUUUUUCUUUUCCAAUCAAUUUUAAUAAAGUAAAGACAUCUUCGCCUUUUCGGCAAUUUAAAAUACGUUCCCCACUUUUAACUUUUUAGUUAACAAAGUUAUUUAUAGAACAGUUUCCAAAACUAUUAAAAUUAAUUAAUUUUUAAAUAAAAUUGUUAAAAAUAAUAUAACUAUUCAAAAAUUAAGGAAAUAUUAAUAUAAAAGUUAUUUUUGUAAUGUACAUAACAUUAUUUUAUAAUAUUUUUAUUUAGUUAUAAUUUUUUAAUCUUAAAAUUUUAAUAAUUAUAUAUUUUUAUUGACUACCCGCUGCGGAGUACGGACCUGCACUAGUAUAGAAUUAUUCUUUAGUUAAAAAAAAAACAAAAUUACCAAAUAAGUUCUUAACUUAGUAAAUUACUAGAUUAAUAUAAUAUAAUAGCAUAAUCUAGUUUAAUUGUAUUGGUGGGCCAAUAGAAAAGCAUUAUUUUCCAUUGGGUUAAUUGCAAUAAAACGAGAAACUAUUUGUUAAACUUUGAUAAAAAUGUACAGAAAUUUUCAAAAGUUAUGGCUACAAAAUUUUCAAUUUGUUUGAUUUGAACAAAUCAUCAAAACUUUGACUUCCAAAUUGAAGUUAAUUACUAGUUUUAAUGAAUUAUAGUUGCGAGAAUUAUAUAAAAUAUACUAAACAAACCUAUAAUUAAGAAUAAAUGGCGGAUUCAAAUUUUGAAAUCAAAGACUCAAAUAAAAUAAAUUGAAAAAUUAUAAAGCAAAGUAAAAUUUUUAAAAGAUUGAAUAAGUAAUGCAAAACGUAUGGUUAACAGUUGGGAUUAUUUCUGGACGUUUUUACUUUAGAAACUACUAACUUGUAAUACUAGUGAGGGAGGAAGCUAAUGCUUAAUCUGCGCCAACAUGUGCCGGGCGUCUCUGCUGCUGGGCCUCUCAUUCGGAUCAUCGUACGUGCAGAAGCAAGCAAUCUUCAGAACCAACAGCAUCUGCUCCUCAAACCCCUUCCCCACCAGCUUCCGGUCGAUCGCAGCCGUCGGAUUCUCCGACUGCAGCGCAGCCCGGACCCAUCCGAUGACCCACAUCUCGUCAGUCUGCUGAAAGAACUCGUCCGACGGGAACCUCCCGGUGACCAGGGCCGCCAGGAUGACCCCGAACGAGUAGACAUCGCUCUUUUCUGUGUACGACAGCGUCUGGUAGUACUCCGGCGCGAUGUACCCCAGAGUCCCGGCCACGUUGUUUGAAUUCAUCGGCCCGCUGAUCGCGUCGCCGGGGACGAGCUUCGCGAGCCCGAAGUCGGCGAUCCGGGGUUUGAGAUCUCCGUCGAGGAGAAUAUUCCCUGGCUUCAGGUCGCGGUGGAUCACCUUCGGACGGUGCACGGUGUGCAGGUACUCGAGCCCCGCGGCGACGCCGAGGGCGAUCUUGAGCCGGCAGGGCCAGUCCAGCAGCGGAGAGCCGCGUUUCAUCACGUCGUGCAACGAGCCGUGCGGCAUGUACUCGUAGACGAGGUAGUGGCAGCGCGGCUGCGGGAGGUGGGCCAGAAGGCGGAGGAGGUUAGGGUGGCGCAUGCGGCCGACCGUCAUGAUCUCCGACCGAAUCUGGCGCGUGCGGUGGUGGAGCAUUUUGCUGUCAUCCCGGCACAGCUGCGCGGCGUUGGCGGGCGGCUGGACGAUCUUCUUGAUGGCGACGGGAACGGCGCGGUCGCGAUAGAGGAGCACGGCCUUGUAGACCUCGCCGCAGCCGCCGCGGCCGAUCACCUCGAGAGGGCACGGGAGGUGGCUGCGCGAAAGGAGGUCGAUGAGGGAGAUGUUCUCGGGGUCGAGGAGCAUCGGGGUGAAGAUCGUGGCCGUGUUGUUGCCCGGCUCCUCAGGGCGGCAGAUCGCGCUCCUGAUUCUGGUGCAGCAGGAGACGGACAGCAGCCGGAGGACGAAGGCGACGAUUCCGAGCGCAAAGCCGACGGCGAAGGAGACGGAGGCACCGACCCAGAGAGGGUGGGCAAGGAAGCGGCCUAGUGACGAGGGUGGGAUGUGGGCGAGUAAGAGGCGUCUGGGCGUGAGGAUAGGUGUCGCGGAGGAAGAGAUGGUGGUGGUGAAUUUGGAUUUUGUACCGUCAGCAGAACUUAUUAUUAGAGAGACGAGGAGGACGAGGACGAUAUACUCCAUGGAUGGGGCCUGGGGAAUUAUUAAGGGAAUGAAUAUUAGUAGUUCAAGGGCACCAGGCCUUCGGUAUACACUAGAGCGAAAUGAAGUUCACAAUUAAUUAAGCAAAACUGUUUGCAUUAAUUUCCAGGGUCCGGUGGACUCUUGACCUAAUGUAAACAUUACUUAUUUGGAUAUCGAAAUAAGUUAUUCAAUAAUAAUUUAUUUGAAAUAAAUUUUUUUAUAUAAAAUUAAAAAUUAGGAGUUUAAGUUUUACUCCUUGAUAAACUUUAACUUCGAUAAUUCAAGAGAAUAAUAUAGUUCAUGAACAUGACGACUUAUUUUAAGAAUUUAGAAAAAAAAAAUAUAACAUGAAGACUUAAUAUAAUAUUUUAUUCUGGACAUUUCACCGUACUUAUUCCUAACUAGCUUUUAGUCAUGUAUAAAUUAUUCCAAUAGCUAGCCAAAAUAAAAAAACCUGAAACUUCCCUUACCUUUACUAUACAGGUGAGUAAAGAAAAAUUAAUAGAUGAAAGUACAAAAUAAAAACAUGGCAAAUUCGUGGUUCAUUAAUUAGCUAGAGGAAAUAAAAAAUUAUUUAAAGAGAUGAGGGGCAUGUAAAAUAAUCAACAUUAAUAAGUUUAAUUAUGUUACAUCAUAUAAAAACCCUACUUUUUUGUGUUGAAAAGUAACUUUUAUGUUUUGUAUUAUUUUUGGUAGAUGGUUUACAAAGGGAACAUUAUUCUAAUUAGUGAUCAACCAAAAUAUUAACUGCAUGCAUGUUGUUUCAAGCGAAGCCGGUAGCCUAUUACCUUUCUCUCAAAAAAAAAAAAAAAAAGUUGGACCACUAUUCUUCAACCUUUCUGCCUAGGAGUGUUGUUUCCUACCCUAAGAAGCGUUGUUUGGAUGGACUAAUUGCAUUCCUAGUUCCAAUCUUUAUCUGAUUUAUUAAUUUAAUUUUUACUAUUUAAACAUUUUUAAUUUGAUUCUAGUAAGUUAUUUCAAUUGUUUUUGUCUUCAAAUAUUUUGUUACCCUAACAUAGACAACCCGCAUAGCAAAGUUUGGUAUGACUGUGGCAAAUACUAAUUAAUUGUUUGGGUCUAACGUUUUGGUUUUAAUACAUAAAAGUUAGUGAACUUCUUAACCACAUAAAAUUAGUCAAAACAAAAUAUAAGAAAUGUGCGAAACUUAAUUGCAAAAAUAAAAAGAAUAGAGACUAAACUGAAAAAUUACGUAAAGAUUGGAAUCAAUGACGCGAUGAACCAAUAUUAAUUGUUUGGAGCUAUUUAACAGAACUGUGAUAAAAUUUUUGCCUUUUUCUUUUUGAGGAAAUUUCGCUUGUCACACUUCUUUUCAGACUUACGUUAACUUAUUCAAAGUCUCCGUAACAAAUGAUUCUUAGUGGAAAAUCAGUAUCCUACUUUGGCAAGCUACAAGAUGCCUUUACAUCUUGUUGAGCCAAAAACUAGAUGCGAGAUGAUGCUGACCGGAUCAUGCCUUUUGUCACGCACCGAGACCUGCUACCAAUUUGGUCCGGUUCGGGCGCGUCGAACAAACGCCGGACGGACAGCACCUCCCCUGUCCGCCCAAGGCUUUGCAUCAACAAAUCAUGUACAAGAGUUGCCCAAGAAAACUCUGAAACAUACAUAAUACAACGAGGAGCGCCACUAGUGCUAACGACAAGAGCAAGCCACAAGUAAUUCAUACAAGUGAUAACAAAAGAGAGGUACUAACUAUUACAACCAUUCAACUUUAAUACAUUUGAUUAACUUUACAUAUUUUCAAAACACAAACAUAAAGUUUACAACUCAUCUCACCCUAUACAUCAUCUACUCUCAAGUACAUAGGGUAGCUCUAAUACAAAAGAGAAGUAAGCUAUCAAUACGAGCGCUAAGCCCUAAUCAUGAUCCUCAGCUGGCGCACUCGCACUCGGCCCUGCAAUAAAGUGGGGUGAGAACUACGAAUAGUUCCCAGUGGGUUUGGCCGCCGACUUCGCCGAUCUCCCCACUAGGUCUAAGCAGGCAUAGAAAGACAACCAGAUAGAUAGAUAGAUAGCUAUAAACGAAAUAGCAACUACAACAAGUAAGUAGAAAUGCAAAUAUCCUACUAUGCCUCAAUCGAAUGCUAUGAAUGCAUGCACUACAUAGUAUAAGGCUAGCUACUAUGUCUACGGGGAGGAUCCACUCACUCCCCCGACUCACAAUCUACUCUCUACGAGGAGGAUCCGCUCACUCACCCGACUCACAAUCUACUCUCUACGGGGAGGAUCCGCUCACUCACCCGACUCACACUCUAACUGUAGGUGAGGAACCGCUCACUCAAGGUGAGAAUCUACUCACUCACCCAACUCACAAUCCAAUCAUAGGUGAGGAACCGCUUUCUCAAGGUGAGAAUCUACUCACUCACCCGACACUGUCUGCGGGGCCCAAAAAGGCUCACCCCUCGGGACCCAAAAAGGCUAUCUCUAUCGUGUGACAACUCCAGAGUGCACUGCUUGUGUGGAGCGACCACCCCAAGCUUGAACAGACAUGUGAAUAUGAUCAAAUCCUCGACACUGAGGAUACCCUGCCACUAUAGACAACAUCACUUGGGAACUAGUUCAACAUGCAAUAGUAUUUCACCUACACUCUAGUUCAUCAUGCCACUCGUCAAGUUAUCUACUUAUCUAGAUGCAACUCAUUCUUUUGUGUUCAACACUAACUAGAUGACACUCGUUCUUAUUUAAGUGUUCCCAAUCCACUACUUGAACAUUAUCACUAGGUUAUCAUUUACCUAGGUUUUAAUCCAUCAUGUAUCAUCUCAUGUAGGGUUUUACCUCAUGCAUACUAGAUUCAAGUACGAAACCAAUGAAGCUACUACUAGCAUGCAAGAAUAAACACAAACAUCUAAACCCUAUAUGUAUCAUGCUCAAUAUGUAAUAUAAUCGACAACAAUAACUUAGACAUAGGGAGCAAUUCAACUGCUUCGGGAUGGUCACCACCCACCUUCUAUAGCAUUCCGAUUGCUCGUCGUCACUUGCAAUCGGCAUCCCGCGGCGCACGCCGCUCGGCUCGACCUAAUCCACGCGCGACCACCGAACGACCUCCGAUCCGCGAUCCGAAAAUUAAAGGUCUUCGGUUUCUUGCUACGACACUUGGAAUCCAAUCCUGCGAUUUACGAACGCCGCCUCGGCCUUUCGGGUGGAAAUGAUGCCGAAAUGCCCUUGGCUCGUCGAUAUCUCCGCACCAAAUCGACGAAUAGUCGAACCGUCACCGCCAACGUGUUUAGAUACCUAGCAAUUAGGUUUACAACCAUCUAAAUGAGAUCAAAACCCUAUAUUUUCCAAAACCCCAUUUUGGAGCCCUAGGUUUCAACAGCGCGAAAAUCCGCGAUUCUAGCUUGAGAUUCAAGCAUGGAACAUCUACUAGGGACUCUAGAGUUCCAACUAAACAAUUUCUAGAGUAUAAAAUCCAUACCCUAAAGAUAUACCAUUAAAGGGUUUUGGAGCUUACCUCCAAAGCUUCCUCCAAGCUUGAAGAAGAAGGAGAAGGUGAUGCCUAGCCUUCUCCUAGCUUCAAUCCUCACCAACUCAUCCUCCUUUCCCACCUUGAAGAGAGAGAGAAAGAGUAUUCUAGAGAGAGAGAGGGAGAGAGAUCAAGGGUUGAGAGAAUGAGAAAGAGAGGGCUUUCUCAUCUCUUAUCCCCUAACUCAUGUAACAAGUGCACUAAGCCCCCUCAACUUUGCCAUCAUAUGACAGCCCAUUCUGGGGGGUACGGGGUCCGGACCCUGAAACUAGGGUCCGGACCCCGAGAGUUGGCAAACUCUGCAAAGUUGCAAACUGCAACUUCUCAGGUUUCUCGCAACUACGGGGUCCGGACCCUGCAGCUAGGGUCCGGACCCCGAGAGUGGAAAAUAUGCAAAUUGCAGAUUUUUGCAACACCAACUCUCCAAGGUCCUCCCCAAUGCACUUUAUGCGUUUUUAAUGCAUUCGGCCUUUCCGAAGCAUACCAAAUCGACGAUAAGUCGAUUCCAAACAAAGUUCAACUCUCGGAUUUCGAGAAUUCACUUCCUUACACCUUUGACCGGGUUAAAAUCUCCCUCGAGAUCAGGAUCGACUUCUGAGUUGGCCUUCGAAUGCGCCAGGAUCAAAUCAAGCGAUUCGAUUGAGGAGGGAUUGGCUCAACUGGAUUCUAUCUCACUUCACUGAUUAAAGCUGAAGACUCAAGAAAAGGGUAUUCGACUGAUUGAAAACUCAGUUGAAUGAACCGAGUUGUUGUAUUAUGGGAAACUUGAGUUACAAGUAAAGUUAAGGUUACUCCUAAAAAAGGCCGUAAAUGCUGGAAGAGUAGAGAUUACAAGUAAACUACUCCUAGAAAAGCUAUAAAUGUUGAAAUCAGAAGUAUUGAAAAUGCCUUGGUAUUCUCGUUCGUAAGGAAAAAGACCCCUAUUACAGACUUCGAAGUUACUAUUUAUAGUAAUAUCUUAUCAGCCCACAUUAUUGGUCGGUUUUCCUAGUGGGGGUAGUGCUGUAGCCAUGAUCCCGUAAGUCACGCCACACUUCUCAACCACUCCCGCUUAAGGUCUCUCCACCUUCAGGCGCCUUGUUGUCGGCUCCUGGUGUACCAGGUGUCCCUAUUUCUUUGGCUCGUACAUAGGCCAGUCCGUCUAUCUUGUGGUGCGCUAAUUUUUGGCAUCAACACUGCCCCUCUGAUAGUCUUUCGAAUGAACAUUUGGAUGACUAUUGGUACCAAAUCAACGGCCCAAUGACAGCUGAGACCUGAGCAUUAGUCUUGCUAGUCUUGGUCGACUUAAAGAAAACAUAUUUAUAUGGUUGUCGGCUCUUUACCAUCUCAGCUACAUACACUUCGGCUUUAUCAGCCAAUUCUUCACCUUCACUUGAUUUGCUCGACUCUUCUUGAAUCAACCGUUCUUCUAUCAAGGAUUUCUCCUUGCCUUUGCUCUAAUUUUAUUUUGGCUCCAUUGUAGCCGAUCAUCCUCAUUUUUCUUUUGAAAUUGCUCAUAUUGGGCAACCGAACACCCAGAUCAAAUAGGUUAGGAAAAUAUUUAUCUUCAUCAUAGUCCUUUAUUUUAAAAUGCAAACCAUUAAACGCCAUUUUGGCGAACUCAAAUUCCGGCAUCCUCACGAAACUCCGAUUUCUGGUCGUUUUGAAACAGUUCAAGUACUUUGACAGUUUCACCCGACUUUUGUCUAUAUAAAGCUAAAUUGGCCAUUGAUAAUUUAGGUUCCGAUCCAUAAAACUGCUUAUGAAACUUUCACUCUAACUCAUCCCACUCUUGGAUGGAGUUGGCGGGUAAGUUUGUGUACCAUAUAAAUGUUGUCUUAGUUAAUGACAUAUUAAACAAGAAAAAUUUUAAGAAUGGGUUAGCGGUCGUUUCUCUACACUGCGCCGUGAAUCAAGCAACAUGUUCUAUAGUAUUCUUAGUCUCUUUGCCUGAGAACUUGUCGAACUUCAACAUCUUCCGGUUUGCCAGAGAGAGGUGCUCAACAUCCAUAUUUGAGGGGUAUGGAGAUCUAAAUACUGGCCACAUAGCUGUCCUGGCUCUAACACCAAAGGUGUUUCUUAUAGCCUCCUCAAUUUGAGUAUAAAGCUCAUUGUUUACUACCGUCAGAAUAGGUGCUUGAGCUUGAUUCCCAACUUGUCCAGCUAUAGUUUGAACAUUUGAUGCAACAGGAGUUUGAGGUUGUCCUCCAUUAGGACCCUGCCUCCCAGCCCUCAAGCCUACAUUUUGAGGAAGGUAGCUUGUCCUCCAUUAGGGCCCUGCUCGCUAGCCCUUAAGCCUGUACUUUAAGGCAGAAAUGCUGCCAUAGGAGGUGGAUGAGGAGGUAGCCCCAAGCUACCUCUGUUUGAGGUCCAGGGUGAACAUUCAUCGGCCGAUAGGCCGCUUGAAAUGAUCGUUGCUGCGGCAACAACACUUGAGUCACCACCAUUUGUAAUGGCAAGUUUGCCUGAAAAGCAUUUUGCCCCCUAGGCUGAUUUAAAGCUGGGGGCCUUGAGUCCUCCAACUAUUUGAUCGCUUUGGGCUAAAUUUGCCCAAUCCAAGCUACACUCUCAUUCGAGGCCGUGAUUGCAACCAAUAUCGCAUCUAAGCUAAUUGUACUCUGCUGACUGUUUUGGUUAAAGUUUUGUAAUAUUCGUGCUAUUUAAGCGAGAGUCUGAGCUAGGUUCGGCUCUUGAGGAACCGAACGACUGGAACUUUUGGCUAGUCGCGAUUGAAUUUCACUCAAAUCCUUGACACCUGUAACUAGUUCAUUCUCAGAAGAUCUAGGAACAACUUUAUUUCGAAAGUUAAGAGGGUUCUUAUCAGUCAUCAUAUCUGUAAAAAGACUAUACCUGAAAGUCCCAUUAGGCGUGCUAAAAAUGUUGAGCCGAAAACUGGACGCGAGGCGAUGCUAACCGGAUCACGCCUUUGACCAGAGCAGAAGCUCCAUCAAGAUCUGGAUCAGCUCCUAAAUUGACCCUCAAAUGCCCCACGAUCAAAUCAAACGACUCGGUUGAAGAAGGAUUGGCUCAAUCGCACUCUAUCUCACUUCACUAUUUAAAGUCGAAGGCUCGAGAAGAGGGUAUUCGACUGAUCGAAGAUCAGUUGAAUGAACCGAGUCGUUGUAUUUUGGGAAAGCUUGGGUUACAAGUAGAGUUAAGGCUACUUAUAAAAAAGCUGUAAAUGCUAGAAGAGUAAAAAUUACAAGUAAACUACUCCUAAAAAAGCUGUGAAUGCUGAAAUUAGAAGUAUUGAAAAUGCAGUGGUCUUCUCGUUCGUAGGGGAGAAAUACCUCUAUUUCAGGCUUCGAAGUUACUAUUUAUAGUAAUAUAGGGCUGCUCCAGGGCUGCUCUGCCUGAAGAUGCAACUGUUGCUGCUACGCUGCCAGCCUGCUAGCAGCAAUGUUGUAGCAAAUUCUUGCUGAUCGUAGUGCUAUUGCUACCUCUCCCUUUCCUGCAGCAAUCAAGGAUAUAGGAGAAGAAGAGGAUGACGAGAGGAUAGUUGCUACUUCCCUUGUCACUGCAACAAUGCUAGCUACCAGCAACAAUGAGGGCGUGAAGAGGGAAAAGAAGAAGGAGAAGAAGAAAAAGAAGGAAGGAAAGUCAGUUGGUUUCUAUAAUCUCCAAAAUUCUCAGUUAAGUGAGUUGGUGAGGGUUAAGUGUUGCCCUUGGCCUUAAACAACUAAACAUGUUUAGGAUUUAGUUGUAAUGUACCGAAACUUCGGUAAAUAAAUAUCGAACUUUAGUCAAAUUUACCAAAGUGCGAGGUUGGUACGCUUUGGAAACGCCGAAGGCGUCAAAAAGGAAAAAAGUGCAUUGUUGGAGAUUUUCGAGAGCUAAAGAAUCAAAAAUCUGCUUACUGCAACUUUUGAGCUCUCGGGGACCGGUCCCUGGUGGGAGAGACCGGUCCCCAAACGCGAAGAAUCUCAGAGAUGGAAAAUCGGCUAAGUCCCAGAAAACCACCUCUCGGGAACCGGUCCUUGCGGGGAGAGACCGGUCCCUCAGGAGAGACCGGUUGUAUCGUGCGAGAGCCCUACUGAGUUGCGGGAGAGCUCUCUGGGACCGAUCCCAUGCUCGAGAGAUCGGUCCCCGUGCCCGAAAAAUGCCCAGUCUGGGCUGUGCAAUGGAAUGAAAGUUGAGGGGCAUAUUUGCAUUUAUGCACUAAGUGGGCUAUGUAUGAGGGGAGUAUGAGAUAUUUUCCUUCAUUUAUCUUCCUCACACUCUCUCAUAUCUCUCUCUUCCUCUCUCUAGAAGGCAAGGAGAAGAAGAGAAGAAAGAAAAGUAGAAAGAGAAGAAGAAGAAGAAAAAGGUGGAGAGGAGGAAGAAGGAGUGAAGCAACUCCCUCUCCUUCACCUCCAACUCAAGAAAGGAAAGCUUGAGAGGUAAGCUUUGAUCCUCUCUCAUCGUAGAACCCAAAGUAGGAUUUUGAUUGACCUAAAGAUGAUGUUAAUGGAACCUCUAGAUGAUUUGAAGCUUUCUUUUGCUUCCCUAAGAGAUCAAAACUAGGGUUUUGUAUAUGUGUUGGAGCUAGCGCACCCUAAUUGGGGCUUUUGCUUGGGAGGGUUUUAAAGUUAAAUUGACCCUCUAGUAACCUAAUUGGGGGUAUUUCCGACGCGUUGGUGCGCUCGGUUUGACGUUACGAAAAGACUAUACGAAGUUAUGAGCGGAAAAGCCUAAUUUGGCUUCGUUUUGCCGCAGGUAAGGAAAUAGGCGGCCAAAAAUCAUGAAAUUCGAAUCCGAGCAUCCUAGCAAGCCUACGAGGUGGGUGGUGCUUUCCAAACUCCUUGAAAUUCUUUCUAUAUCUAAUGUGUCACUCAUUGAGCAUACAUAUAUGUAUUGUUGCAUGCAUUUUAGGGUGAAUGAGAUGAUACUUAUGUGAAUGUUGCAUGUUGUGAAUACAAUUGCAUUAUGAGAUGGUUGAGAACCUAAGAACCCUAUUUAUGCAUGAGAUGUAACAUGAAAACCUAGUUGAGGUAAAAGAACAAAGGUGACACUAUGACAUGUAGAUCGAGUGGCAUUAGUAAAUGUAAAGAUGACACUAGAGUUAGUGUGUGUGGCAUUAAAGAGGAUAUGAAUGCUAGAGUAUUUGAACACUAGAGCUAGUGUGUGGCACCAAAGAGAACAAAUGUGGCAUAAAGAACGAUAAAAGCUUGAGUUAGCGUCAAAAGUAUGGCAUCAAAGAAUAAAAGCUAGAGUUUGCACUAAGUGUGACAUAAAGAAUACUAGAGUUAGUGUAAUGAUAUGAUUGAAAACAAAGAAUGCAAAGAACUUGAGAUUGAGACAUAAUGACAUACAAUCUUAGAGCUAAGGGUCAUUUGUGCAUAAUUUUCUUAUAGUUAAGGAACAGAUUGAACUUGACAUUCUUAGAGUUAAGGAUUGGAUUAUACUCGCUAUAAGUCCUUGCUCGAGGGCGGUAGCUUCCCCUCGAGCGAUGCGCUCCGGAGUUUGUCAUCACUGGGUUGGUGCUGUUCCCCAGAGGACGGUCCCCGUCGGGUCGUAGGAGUCUCCUCAACGAUUUGGGAUUUUGAGUUGGUGAGCUAAUGCGGCGAAACCCCCGGGUUAGCCAUGAGAUUGAACAAAAGAUCAAAGAACUUGCAUUCUUCAUGAGUUGUAUAUUGAGCAUCUUUAUUGAUAGCUUUGUUCAGGUAUAUUAGUUGCAUUUGUAUAGUUAGUUACUUAUCUGCUUACCUUUUUCUAUUAUGCCUGAGUUAGACCUAGUAGAAAAGUCGGUGAGAUUGGGGCCGAACCCACUAGGAACUUCAUUGUAGUUCUCACCCCACUAUUUCCACAGAGUUGGGACCGAGUGAGCUGGCGAGCGACCGCGGUAAAGGUAUCCCAUUGUAGACAGUGACUACCAAAGUCGGGCUUUACAUUUUGUUAGUAGCUUACCUUAUAUCAUCUUUUGUAUUCGAUGAUUUGAGAUGUUAAAGAAAAGAAUGUAAUGUGUUAUUAUGAGCAAAUGUGAUGUAAAAAGAAAUGAUGAAAAGCAAUGUAAAGAAUCAUGAAUGUAAAUGGUUUAAAGUAAAUCAUUCUACGUGUAUGUUGUUAGUUUCCUUUCUUUCACUCAUGGCUAUUGCUUACCCUUGUGUAAGCCAUUGUGUAUGUUUCCGCUGGUGCUUUUCUUAACUUGAAAUUGUACAGGUGAUGAGCCUUGGGCGGACAGGGAAAACUCUGUCCGUUGGGCGUCUGUUCGACAUGCCCGGACCGGCCCAAAUUGGUAUCGGUCCCGGGCGUGACAGAUAUAGUGGUAUCAGAGCCUAAAGUGAAAGAAUAGGAGUGGACCUAGAGACCCUUAGGAUUGAAAAACCUUAAGGAUCUAGGAAACGUGAGCGACGUUGGAUUAAAGUUAGCGAAAGCAUGCGAUUCGGUCAAGUUGGGAUGUCUCUAAUGUGAUUAGGGACUGAGUCGAGUUGAUGUUUGUUCUCUACUCCUUGUAUUGUGCCGGGCGGCCGAUGACAUAAUGCUUUGGAGUGAGGAUGGAAACAUAAGUUGCUUUCGCCGAAUUAGGUAUGGUUUAGUAAUGUUGGUUGUGUAGCUAAUGUGAGUUGCUUCUUUUUAGGAAACAAUGGCACCUCGUGGUGGACCUCGAACAAGGUCAAUGCCAGAGGAGCCAAAUGCGGCGCCCGAGCAAUAAGGAGCAAGUGGCGACAGUGAGCUUCGGGAGCAAAUGGCCGCGCUUAUUGGCGUAGUGCGGCAACAAGUGGAGUCUGUUCAACGCCGAGGGGAACAGAUUCGAUGGGUCCAGGAGACCUUGGAGCGUCAACAAGCAGCGGCGACCUAGGUGGGUGCUGAGCAUGUCGCGCCCCCUGCGGUGGUGCCGAGUGUAGUUGAGGGAGCGGCGGCAGCGGCAGCUGUGCCCGUCACGAUGGUGCCGGCUGGAUCAGGAACCUCAAAUCCCGAUAGUGCUGCAGUAGAGGCGGAGCGGGAGCGCGUGCUGGCGGCUCUCAUUCAGUUCUAGAAGUUCAGCCCACCUGUCUUUGAAGGUGGUAUGGUGGAGCCAGCAGUAGUGGAGUCUUGGAUCGACUCAAUGGAAACGCUCUUCGAGGACCUGAAUACAUCGGAGAAGGACAAAGUGUACCUCGCCACCCAUUGUCUCGAGAAGGCAGCGAAGGUGUGGUGGAAGCGAGUUAGGCAGGAUCGAUCAACCGAUCUUCCGCCUAUGCUUUGGGAGGAGUUCAAGAGAGCAGUGUUCGCGAACUACUUCCCCGACACGGUAAAGCGGAGACUACAAGAGAAGUUCCGCAAGUUAAGACAAGGAGACCGCUCGGUAGCGGACUACGAGCAAGAGUUCUCCGACAUUAUUGAUUGCGUGCCGGAUGUUGUUCGUGAUGACCGGGAUCAGGCUGAUUGGUUCUUGUGAGGACACCAGUCGAGAAUCUAUGAGAAGGUGCAAAUUCUCAAGUUGACGACCUUUGCGGAAGUCUUUGACCGGGCGUUGUGGGUGGAGCACGGCAACGCCUACGCACGAGAGGAGCAUGAAGCUAUGGCCGAGCCAAGGGAUAAAGGCAAGAUGCGAGCGGCGGGCAGUGCCGGGGGCCAGCCGAAUGCAAAGAAACCCCCUCGGUAUCCCCGGCAGUAGUCGAGGAGCUGGAGACCACCUCGGUGCGUCAUCUGUGGCGGAGAGCACCGAGUGUCGACCUGCUCGCUGCGCGAAGGAAAGUGUUACAAGUGUGGCCAACCGGAACAUCUUAUCCGGGAGUGCCCGAGCUGGAUGUCGUCUGCGCCGACGGUGGCAUCAGCACCGUCUACCCCAAUGCAACUUGCGGGGCUGCCACCAGUGAUGUCGGCUGGACGCACAUCAUCACCACGUCAGCCGGAGGGAUCACGAGCACCUAGUGGCCGGGUUCUUGCCACUCAGGUGGAGGAGUAGCCUGCAGCACCAGAUGACGUUGUGGCUGGUAUUAUUCUGACUAAUGGCACUAGAGCUAGAGCUUUAUUUGAUACGGGCGCAUCUCAUUCAUUCAUUGGUACUGACCCUCGAAGUUCGCGUGUAAGGUGCCGAACUUCUGUAAUUAUGAUGUUGCGGUGGAAUGUAAUAUACCGGAUUUUAAUAUAAAAGUGAAAAUAAAUAAAAAUAGUAUGAGAUAUUAUUUUUAUUGGAUUUAGAGAAGUGAAAUAUAGGUUGGAAAUGACCUGUGCUGAAAUCGGAGCGAAAACAGAAGAUUUAGAAUUUUCUGCGAGAAAUGGGACAGAUAAAUUAGCAGAAAAUGCACAGUGUCGAAAAAUUAUGAAAACUGGAGAAUAUGUCAGAAUCAUUUUUAUGACGCUAGACUUAAAGUUUCAUGCCAUUCUGAUACCCGGAAAGUGGAAAAUAAAAUCCGACAGCUAUCUGAUAGAGAUUACAGUUCGGUACAGCUUUCGGUGAUCAAACGGGGUCGAAAGUGAAAGAUUAAAAUUUUUUUGUACUUAUUAAGUAAAAUCAAGCCUGUCUGUCAAAUUUGAGCUCAAACGGACAUUCGGGAAGGCUCCGGGAAAAAAUGUCAGUUUUAAACUGCCCGAUGUGAAUAGUGUAUAGUUGAGGGGCUAAAUUAUAAAAAGGGAUUUAAUCCUUCUCCUCCCUCAACCGUGCACCACAACGCCACACACUCACACAUGCACGCAUGCAUGGAGGGAGAGAGAAACCUCUCUUUCUCUCUCUAAAUCUCUCCCAAAAUUGGUGGCUUUGGGGGAGAUUGAAGCUUGGAAGUGAAUCGUCUUCAUCUUCUUCAUCUUCUCCAUGGUUUGGAGCAAGCUUUGAGGUGAGCUUCUUGAGCCCUCUGAUGGUAGAUCUCUAGAAUUAGCUUUGUAUGUUCUAGAGAUGGAUUUAGUAGAAUGCUUAGAUACUAAUUAGAGGUUUAUUGCUUGAUUCAUGAAGUUAAAUAAUGGAUUUAGUUGUAAUGGCAUAUAGGGCUUCAAAAUUGGGGUUUUGUAAAAUAUAAGGAUUUGAUCUAAUUUGACCCUCCGUAAACCUAAUUGUUAGGUAAACGAACGCGUUGGCGAAGUGGGUUCGGCGAUUCGUCGAGCCAUUGUGAAGAUAUUAAAGAAAUGGACGUUUAGGCUUCGUUUCCGCCUGGAGGGCCGAGGCGACAUCGUAAAAUCAUGAAAACGGAUUUGGAGUACCGUAGCACAUAACCGAAGACCUUUAAUUUCUGAAUCGUGGAUCGGAGGCCAUUCGGGUGGUCGCGCGGGAGUUCGGGCCAAACCGGGUUACGGGCGCCGCGGGAGGUCGAUUGCAAGUGGCUAUGAGCAAUCGGAACGCGAUAACAGGUGGGUUGUGUUUACCGAAGCGACUAGGUCGCCUACAUGUCAAAGAGAAAUGUGCUUCUCGUUGAUGCACAUACAGGUGUGAUGGUAGUUGAUUGCAUAGGUGAAUGCUUAGGGAUAAUGCAUGAGAUACUAUGUGAUAGCUGCCUAAGAUGAAUAAAAUUGCAUGUUAGCAUGAUUAGAAUAUGUGCAUAAUGGCAUCAUGAAUGAGUUAAAGCAUAUAAAUAGAAUAUGCAUGAUGAUGUUGUAGAUGUGGUAGAGCAUAUGAAUAGAUUGCAUGCUAGUUGAUAAUGGCAUAACGAAGCAUUGGAGUAUGUAUGCUAGUGGAUAAUCGCAUAUAGAUGCCUUGAGAAAUACAUGCUAGAUGAUAAUGGCAUAUUAGCAUUAUGAAGGUGUAUACUAGAUGUAAGAUGCAUGUUGGCUUUAUUGAACAUAUAUGCUAGAUGAAAAUGAAUGUUAACAUAUUGUUAAUUAUGGAGAUUUUGAGGUAUGUGGACAUAUUGCUAGAUUAUACAAAUAGGCAUGUGGCAUGUAAACCUAGUAUUGUGAACCUAUGAUAGAUCGAGUGGCAUUAACCUAGUGUUAUGAAUAUAGGUUGAACAAGUGAACCUAGAAUCAAGAUCUAGGUAGAGUGGCAUCGAACCUAGUGUUAGUAAACAUAGGUCGAAUAUGAACAUAGUGUCGUCAAACAUAAGUUGACAUCAAACCUAGUGUUGUGAAACCUAGAGUUAACUAAACCUAGGUGAGUGGCAUUCGAACAUAGUGUAAAGAAACACAUUGAGACACUUAACGUGGAACUAGGGAUAGGUGGAUUUCCGAGUGUUUAUUAACCAUAGUGGACAGGGUAUCCUCGGUUGGUGAGGAUUGGAUCAUACUCACAUAGUCUGUUUUGGGCUUGUGGCGGUCACUCCACACAAGCAGUGCACUUCGGAGUUGUCACACGAGCUGGGUAGCUCACGAGAGGGGUAGCUCACUGGGUGGGAUACGAGCGGGGUAGCUCCUCACCCAUUGGACUGGGAAGUGAGUCAGGCGAAGGGCGGGGUAGCUCUUCACUUGUGAGAUUUGUGCGGGGUAGCUCUUUACCUAUGAGUGGGGUAGCUCUUGACUGAUGAGAUUGAGGUUAGAGUCGAGGCGAAGAGCGGGGUAGCUCUUGCCCUUAGGCAUUUGAGUUAUGAGUUGGGCGAGGAGCGGGGUAGCUCUUCACCUAUAGGACUUUAGAUAUGAGUCGGGGCAAAGAGCGGGGUAGCUCUUCACCUACUAGAGAUGUGAGUGAAUAUCUAUGGCAUUCGAGAUAUGUGUUGGGUGAGGCAAGAGCGGGGUAGCUCUUCACCUAUGUGAUAAGAGAUCUUAGGCAGGUUAGCCUAGUGGAUUGGGUAAUGACAUGAAUAACAUAGUGGAAUGGCAUUCAUACCAUGAUUGGGACAUAGUAUAUGUUUAGUGGAUUUAAGGCCGAGGAGUAUGUGAGGGUUCCUUCACCUCGAGCCGGAUAGAGUGCGGUACUCCGCAGUUGAUUGACUCGGGGCAGAGUUGGGUGGCUAGCUUGAAUAAGGUAGAUGGAACCUUAAGGCUAGUGAUAGAUGAAAUGGAUCUAGGGUAAUAGAAACCUUAGAGAGUAGUUGGAUGUGAUAGAAAGUAGUAUCGGGUGAUCUACUAGUUUUUGCAUUACUUGCAUGGUUGCAUAGCAUGACAUUAUUGCAUUCGCGAGGCAAAAGCAUGACAUAUGUUAGUCGCAUAUUUUUGAUAUCAUAUCUAUCUGUUUAUUAAUCUAACCUGCAGUUUGCCUCCUUUGAACCUGUUGGUUGAGCUUUUUCCUUGGGUGGCCGUACCCACUGGAAAUCAUGGAGUUGGUUCUCACCCCACGUUGCUUUGGGGUGUUAUAGGUUCGCACGUGAGCGACGCGACGGCGCGAGGAAAGGGCGUAGCUCUGUAGAUAGCGCCCUACCUCAGAGACCAGAGCUAGCAGUACCCCGUCGACAUAGCUUAGGGGUAUAGGAAAUGAAUAGAACACAAUGUAUCAAAAAUGUAUUAAAGAUAUAAAUGAUGUAAUAACAUAGAUUGCAUUUGGAUGGAAAACAAGUUGUAUUUGAGUUGUAAAAAUGUAAGCUGGUGAAUGCAUGUAAUAACUUAGGAUGUGUUUAUGUUGUUUGAUACCUUCCUUUGCAAUCAGUGUAUGAAUACUGUUCCUGUUUGGAACCCCUUAUAUUAUACUGUUUGUUGAGCCUUGAACGUUCAGGGGAGACUCUGUCCGAGGUACAGGGGAAUCCCCGGUUCGUUCGGCGCUGUCUGCGACCCGACCCGGCCAAAUAGGUAGAGGGUCACAGGGCGUGACAUCGCGCCCUUCGAUUGAUCAAGCGAUUCGGCUGAUGAGGGAUCGGAUCAGCCGGAUUCAAAGCCUCUACAGUAAAUUCGGUUUGGCUGGAAGAGCCAAAUGUACGGACCAAGCAAAAACUGAAGUCAGCCGAUGAGCCGAAUAGCUAAAGAACACAGGAAUUGACCGGCUUGAAAAGCCGAAUGCCUUUAUAUUCACUGAUAAGAAGUACAGGGGUCGAGUGUGCCGGAUGGCAUGCAGACUCGGUUGAUCUAUUUAAAACUACUCCUAGGAAGAACAGUAAAUACGGGAAAGAGAAAUUACAAGUAGACUACUCCUAGAAAAUGCAAGAAAUUGCGAGGAAAAUAAGGGCGGUCUUUUGUUCAUAGAAAAAAAGACCCAUUUUUAGGGCGUUAUUGACCUAUUUAUAGAUCGCCCCUUGUGAUCAGUUAUUAUCUGUGCAUGAUCAGCCACUACUCCUGAUUCUCCGGACCAUUUUCAGCCCACUUUCAGCCGAUCAGAACCGUUUGCAACUGCUUACGGUUACUGUAACCUCCCUUAAUUAGCGCAACAGUUUCUCUUCCGGUGCUCCUGGUGUACGGCAAGAUUGAUGCUUUUGAAAGGAAUACCGGCGUACCAUCUGUCCGCGCCUAAUUUCCUCAACAAUUGCCCCCUCGGCAACUUUCGAAGUAACGCUUCGGUAGCUGGCGUAAUCUGAGGCGCGAUUACUUUUCAAACUCUUGGUACGGUUUCGUCUCAACCGUCCACUUUUUUCUACUGCCGAAAUCCUGCCAUCGCUUCAAUAACAAGCGCGAUCCGAGGCGUGGUUCUCGGUCCAAUCAAAUUCAAAUUCUCUGUACGAGUAGCUGACGUAAUCCGAGGCGUGAUCCUCCGUACGGUUCAAUCUUGGCUGUCCAUUUUCUUUUUUACGGCUCUGAUCUCGCCCUCUAUUUUUGUCUUAUAUGUGGCAUUAAUUAGGUCAUCUUAAUUACCGCCAUCUAUUCAUCAUUAUAGCCAUCUUCGGAACUCGCUUUGAUGCGACGAUUCGAUGCGACGACAACCUUUUCUUCUUAGCCAAGCUUCUCAUUCCUUUUUGUACUCAAACCUCAUCUUCGUCGCUUCUUUUACUUCUCUUCGUCUUCUUUGCUAUGUCUAUACUCCAGCUUGGCCCAUUAUUUUCUUCCUGAUACUUUAGAUUUUCCUUCAAUCUUUCGGCAAUGGCGCCGCUUCCGCCUCUGCCUUCCUUUCCAACACUGGAUUAUACCAUACUUAAACCAUAUCUCUCUUUAGACCCCACUAGAUUAAUCUUGGGUCCCUCCUUUACUGAAGACCCAGCUCCUGAUGAUUUCCCUUACUCCAGUGAUGGUCUUCCAUUAAUGGCUAAAUCCAUUCAUCUCCACUCCUGGUAUUCCUCGGCUUCGACAGGAAAAAGUCUUCGAACUUGGCCGAGUGUUUCAGAUGCUUACUUGGCUUGGUUGGAUCGAGUGGAGGCUGUUUAUGGUGAUUCUUGGAAGGAGAUCGGGAUUUAUGAAGCUAUUAGGCUACCUAGGAAGCCUCCUGUAGCCGACAACCUUCUGUUAGCUUCUGCUCUCUAUUUUUGGUCCCCUGUUUUCAACGUUUUUCUUUUCAGAGGAGGACCUCUUACUCUAACUCUUUUUGACAUAGCCGCUAUCGUUGGACUGUGUCCUCAUGGAGUUACCAUCUCUAUAGCUUAUAAUCCUGAUGGCGUGUCUGACUUUGAGGCUCAUCUCGACCUCAAUGACUUGGCCUAUUCUAAGUUCCUCUGUAAGUUUGCAGGCGAAUCCCCUGCUCCUGUCACUAGGAAAGAACAUACAGCGUUCCUCCUACAUUGGUAUGCCACAAUCUCUUCUGCACUCGUUUGCAGAAAAUCAAUCGGGACUUUGUCCCAAUUGCCGUUGGUUUAUCUAACGGCGAUAGAUUAGCUCUAUAGCCUUAUUUUCUUACCUUCGUCUAUAGGAAAAUCUUUGAUUCCAUUAAACCACUACCCUCUGGAGAUGGUGUAACAAUCAGCUCGGGUUGUGGUGUUUUUUCGUUUUUGCAAAUAUUUCUGCAAAUUUAUUUUCAUAAAUUGUGCCGAGAACCUCUAGAUCUAAACUCGGCUGCUCAUUUUGACUCUUAUGGGCUUGCUCUCGGCUGUCCUCAGCCGUUAACAUCAGGCCAUCCUCUUGAUUUUAUCACCUAUUUUAAAAUUUUUUAUGAAUCGGGUCCUCAUUUCCUCAUUUCUUGGUCUCCUUUUGCUGAUUACGUCACCGGCCCACCUUGGUUUUUAGCUAGGUACGAGGCCAUUCAAGGUGAACUUGCUUCUUCUCGUGCCGACGAAUAUUCAGAUGUCUAGUACUCUUUUUUGGCUACAAGGGAUUUACACAUUGGUUUGAAAUCGCGCUCAAAAUUACUGCCCAGUACUGAGGUUUACUCCCCCCAGUUCGCAGUGCGUCAAUUUGGAUUUACGCAAGCAAUCCCUGCUCCAGCCAAGUUCUUCAUGGCCAAUACUGCCGUUCAUCGUCCUCCUACCAAAAGUAUAGCCGAUGCUAAUCGAAUUUUGGCCAUGGGGAAUCGUCUUCGGCGAUUUUUCAAAUUAUUAAGCUUUAGGCCAAAUUAUACAGGAGUAGUAGGUUUCCGCUAUACCGUUACUUGGGAUAGUUUUGUCAAUAGCACCUUCAAUUUUCCUACCUCGCAGGCACACCGCAAAACUAUUCACCCAAUCAGUAAAUCUCUUACUUAUGGCUGAUUUUCUAUUCCACAUAAUUUCUGCUUAUCUAUUUUCCAUUUACAGUGUCCUAUCCAAGCAAAAGUCUUUCGGACGACACCGCUGCCCUAUCUGUAUCAAAAAAAGUCGGUUUGACGAUUCGUUGAGUUUGUGUGGAGUUCUUGGCAAAAGGGGCGGUCGUAGCCUUCGUUCCUACUCGGAGAGCCGAAGCGACGUUCUAAGAGAUUGCCGAGUUCCGUUCCUCGAGUUGUAGCAUCGCCAAAAGGUGGGUGGUGCCAUCUCGAAGCAGUUGAACUGCUCCCUAUGUCUAAGUCUCAUUGUUGAUCUCAUGAGCAUCUUGCCAUAUUGCAUUAUAGGGUAUAUAAUAUGUUGUUGUGUAUUCUUGCAUGCUAGUGGUAGUGUAGAGUCGCUUACUUGACACUUGGACCUAGUAUGUGUGACAUGAUGACUUGGAACCCUAUAAUGAGAAGAUAAAUGAUGAAUGUGCCUUAUGUGGAUGAAAACCUAGUAAAGUGUAAACUAGUGUAUUGGAAACAUGUAAUGAGAACGAGUGGCAUCUAGUUAAUGUUGAACACAAGAAUGAGUGGCAUGAAAACCUUAGUGUAGCUAAAACACUAUGAGAUUGAGUACAGGAACACAUUGAUUCCAUGAUCACGAUAACCCUAGUUGGCAGGGUAUCCUCAGUUGACGAGGAUUGGAUCGACUCACAUAGCCUGUCUGCGCUUAUAGUGGUCGCUCCACACAAGCUAUGCACUCCGGAGUUUUGGUCACUAGAGGGGCAGUCGUGAGCUGCCUGGACAGUAGCCAGCUGUCCGCAGGCGGUCUCGGGGGUAGUCGAGUGAUCAAAAUCUCCUCCCCUAUGAAACUUCAAGACGUGAGAUGGUGGCGAACCUUCGGGUUAGUCGAUUGAUUGGGUAAUCUAAUGAAUUACAUCAUUAUUGAGCAUGAUAGCUUGGUAGUAGCCUUUACUUAUGUUGCAUGCAUGAUUAUAGAUUGAGGCAUGGUAGAUUACUUUCAUAUCUCCUUAUUGUUAUCGCUUUUAAGUUUAUCUAUCUAUCUGUUUAUCUAUCUAUGCCUGCUUAGACCUAGUGGGGAGAUCGGCGGAGUGGGCGGCCGAACCCACUGGGAACUAUGGACAAUAGUUCUCACCCUACUUUGUUGCAGGGCCGAGCUCGAGUACACCCGGCGAGGAUCACGGUAAGGGCUUAGCGCCCUAGAGGUUGUAGAUGCUUCCUAUUGCAUUAGUAGUCACCCUUUGUACUUGAGAGUAGAUGAUGUAUAGGGUGAGAUGAUGUGAAGAAUUGUAAACCUUAUGUUUAUGUUUUGGAAGUUUAAAUGUAAUCAAAUGUAUUAAAGUUGCAUGAAUGUAAUAGUUAAGUAUCUCUCUUUUAUUCACUUGUUUAUUACUCGUGACGCUUGCUCUUGAUUGUUGUGCUCCCGCUGUUGUUGUAUGAUCGUGUAUGUAUUCAAGUGAUUUCCUGAGAACUUGUUGUACAUGAUCUCGUUGUCUAGUCUUGGGCGGACAGGGGAGGUCCUGUCCAUUCGGCGUCUGUUCGACGCGUCGGAACCGGACCAAAUUGGUAGCGGGUCUCGGGGCGUGACAGAGAGAGCUAGGGUUGAGGGAAAGUGAGAAAGAAAGAGAGCCAUCCCCUUUCUUUACCUCCCACUCAUGUAACAAGUGCAAAUAAUCCCCUCAACUUUUAGCUUCACCAACAGCCCAAAAUAGGCAUUUUCGGCUACGGGGACCGGUCCUUGGAGUCAGGGACCGGACCCCCAUGGUCCAGAAUUUUCAGUUUUCGUUGAUUUUGCUCCGUUUUGCUCCGUUUUCGCCCGUUAGGCCUCCGAUUCAUUUCAAAUCGAACCGACUCCAAACACGUUUUCGAGCGUAUUUAAAUCAUCUUUUUACCCAUGCUAAUGCCGGAUUUAGUUCACAGCCCAACAUAGCCUUUCGGGUCCCAUUUUCGUGCCUACGCGCACCGAAACGUCCAAAUGCUUCCGGACUUCACCGGAACUUUACCGGAACAAUUCAAAUGGCUUUCCAAACCAAUACACACCAUAACUUCAUAAUUUUAGAAGUCCGGUACCUUACAUCCUCCCCUCCUAAAAAAAAGUUCGUCCUCGAAACUAACUCACAUCAACCCUAAUUUACAGCUCAACUCAACUUAUCGAGCAACAUAGGGUUCCAAUGCACUUUUAUACUCCGGAGUGGCCUUUCACUCAUUGGAAUCAUUCAAAGGUCCACUACGGAGGAUGUGAGACCAAGUUCACUCACAUUGGCUAAACGCAACUCCAAAAGUGCAUUGCAAUCUCCGCAAGUCUCGGUGGUAGCGUAAGUCGACACUUGAUGACUCUUCACGCUCCAACACCGCUCGCUAACCAGCGCACCAAGGUCAUACCAUUUCCUUCGAGACCAGGACUACCCGUCGUCCUCGUGGCGUGGAUCUAACAAAAUGCACCGACUAGUCGUAUCUUCCACCACCACGACACAACACACCCGAGAAGCCCUCUCGAAUCACUCAAGUGUUCACAAGUUGACACUCCAUCACUCGAUCAUACAAGAGUCUAUACUAUCAGGUACGACUCUUCCUCGCAUCAACUUCUCCCCUUGGGAACGCACCCUGCUUCGAUCACCGACAUUGCCUAAAAGCAAUAUCGUGGUGCAUCGGCUAAUCGCGAAUGUCCCAAUCACAAUCGGAUUUCCGCUCUAUUAUGAGAUGGCACACUCCAGCACAUCUCCAAUUCCUAUCCACAAAAGAGCAUUAUCCUCAAGCUUUAACUCACUCAAGAGCAUCAACUCCAAUCCUCACGUGGCAAUCCAUUAUUCAUGUGUCUCCUAGAGACCACUCUACUUUCUCUUUAUCCGUUGACAUCCUAAGCCACGGCCAUCUCGACUUCGCUCUCACAACGAAUUAACACGAAUACCCGUUCGUGAAUCCCGGCCAAAUUCCUCGACAGAGUUAUCGGCCAAACCGACUACCGCGGGUUCCACAGGUGACCAAUGGUCUCAAAUCCUACGUAACCCUAUAACCUAAACCUAUCUCAACACACGUUUCAUCUUUCGCUCGCAAGCGCAGACCCAAUUAGCAUUAGACGAAAUCCUCAUUGGAGAAUUCGCACACACUCCAACCAGGAGCAACCACGACCCCAAACCACAUCAAGUCCCCGGGUUGGGUCAUAACCACACUCUCUGUAUCCUCGAUCACAUGAUCUAACAUGUGGCAUUCCACGUUCCCGGGUCUAAGCUCGGACUACCGCCCCGACAAAAACUCUGCCCUACCUCAGGCCGCUGUCACCCACAGCUGAUUGCACCUGUCCAUAAGGACCUAGGCUCCACAGUCCACGAGUGGUCCAGGCACGGAUCGUCCCCAAGCAAUACCCGCAAUCGUCGUCUCACACGACACGCUCACCCGAGCAACACACGCCACUACCGGCUCCUAUGCACCCAGUGUGAGCCAUCAGCCCUACGAGUGAUCCAUGGCCCGCUUCACACUUAGCAGUGCUACAGUGCUACUGCCAUCUCACUCUCCCGGCUGAGUCAUUACCACACACCACGAGUACCUAUACUCGAGCGCUCUAUACACCGUAUACUAAGUCCAACAUUAGGCAACCCUGCCUAUGCACACCAGCCAUAAGCACGACUCACCCACCUCACUUCAAGGUACUACCAGGCCCACGUGCCCGUACCCAGCAACUAAUCGGCUACUCUCUCAACAGUAACUCUACUUUCACUGUUCGAUCUACCGGAACAAUGUUCACACACUCGGACUACUCGGGUAUCCACGAGUAUCAUAGCUCAACUCUCGCAAUCUAUUAACCACAUUGCCUUGAGAGUUGCUUCACCAUUUCCUUUCCACUACGAGUCUCACUUCCCGUCUAGAACUCACUGCUAGCAAUUCGCUAGUACCGUCUAGCUCUCUACCUGCUCCAGCAGGCGCUAUACUUUCACGCGCAAGCAUGCCUUACACCUACUCGAUCACUGGUCCAUACUAUACUAACGUGUAAAUAGCAGCAAAAGACCACAAGGUAAUUGCAUGCAAUUGCUCAAACCUAUAUCAUGCUGAAGCGUAUGAUUGCUUUAAUUAAAUCAUACCUACGGUGACAUUACGAGCAGCAGCAGGUUCCUCAACCUGGGUCACGUAUCCAUGGCCGCUUGGCGCUCUCCGCGAACCCUCCAGCUGCCCAAUCAUCACCUCUCGCUCUCCAGACCGUGCCAAAGGCUGCACAUCCACCAUCUAUCCAGAAGAUGAGAAUGCCGUCGCCAUCGGCAGGGGUUGUCUAUCACCCAAGGGGCAAUCAUAUCUCACGUGGCCAGAUUGCUCGCAAGAAAUACACCUUUCCUUUCGCAGCGCACACCGCUGCGUCCUGUGGGAUCCACCACAAAUCACACAUCCCGCAGAUAUGGCAGCAGCAGACGGAACUCCACCAUACUGCCACGGAAUCACUAGGGCGGAUGCAAUAGACGGUGCAGGCGACACUCCUUCUGGGCACUGACGGACCAUAUGCCCCGCCUGACCACACCUAAAGCAUCGUCCUGCCCUAUGCUCACAAUUCCUUACGCGAUGCUCUCCACCACAAAAUACACAUUGCUUAGGUCUCUGGCUAACGGACCUCCUUUUCCGGUACUUCGGGGGCUUCUGGGAACUAAAUUGUCCCCCCGAACUACCGCCAGGCCGUUUCUUUCCUCUGCCUCUCUUGAACGCCUAACGCUCAACGUCAGCGACAUAUCGCGACACCCCGCACGCCCAUGCUCCACACAUCCGUGCUUCGCAUGUGACCCGUACGGCACACGUGUCCUCAACGCUCCUGGCAAGGAAGCCAACAAGCCCCACACCGUGCUUCUCGACCGUCCCCACGACAUCACAUUGCCAUGGCGCACCGCGCCCUCAAUUCCCAUAGGUUCGCCACAUAAGGCCCCAUACAAACGAGCCGGCCUCACUCCGCGUUGCUACCCAUCUGACCCCUCCAUGGCUCGACCACACCUGGCCAUACACACUAAUGGUCUGGUCUCUCAAGGUUCACCAUACGGAUACUGAUACCGCUUGCCUCACUGGGUUUCGCCCCUCUCGAGUCUCCAAGACCUACGCGUCCGACGCUCCCAUUUCACCUCCCCAGCCGCCGCAUUGAGUACCAUAGAACCCGAAGCCGCCAGAGGAACACUAGCCGGCAGGGGAUGCGCCGCCGCCGGAGCUACCAAAAUGCUCACACCGUCAGGCGCAUUAGGCGUGAGAGCCGAGGGCGCGGGCGGACCAUGGCCUUCAAUUGCCGUCGCGGCCGCCGCCGCCACUUGCUGCCCCAAAAGCUCCUGGAGCCGCUCGAUCUGACUCCCCUAGCGUUGAAUCACGCCAACCAGCACAGUCAUAUGCGCCCGCAGUCCUUGCACUUCGCUUGACCCAGCUCGCUCAGGCACCUCGGGAGGUGGUGCCGGAACGGAUCUACGCGUGUAGUGUCUCUUUGGUGCCAUUAGCUCCUGAAACACAACAACUCGGUUAAUUACCUUAACUCGUUAAUCUCGUCGCAAUUAUUAGACAACGCGACUCAAAUCAGGCGAAAGUCAUACAAGGGUGCCUAUUCUCAUCACUAGGUUUCAUGUUGUAUGCAUCCAACAUGAACACCCUCGGGUGAGAAUAAACAGAACCUUGAAUCCACCUCUAACAUCCGUCUUAAAGGUUUACUAACUUGACCCAAUCGAUUCAACUUCCACCACCGUAUAGGUCCACACUCCACUCACGCACCUAUAAGCUUAGGGUUUACCGUCCUAGGGUCUUCUAGGUCCAUCCUAGACUUCUCUCUUUACUUGCUCUUAACCGCUCUGAUACCAUUUCUCUAUCACGCCUCGAGCCCGUUACCUAUUUGGUCCGGUUCGGGCGCGUCGAACAGACGCCGGACGGACAGAACCACCCAUGUUCGCCCAAGGCUCAAGCGACGAGAUCCUAUACAUCAAGUCCCCAGGAAAACAACUUGAAACAUGUACAAGAUUAAACAACCAUACGAGGGUACAAUCAGUGCUAAACAACUAAGAGCAAGUAUCACGAGUAAUGUACAAGUGAAUAAAAGAGAGAUACUAAUCUAUUACUUUCAUUCAACCUUUUUAAUACAACUUGAUUACCAUUUAGCUUCCAAAACAUGAACAUAAAGCUUACAUCUUCCAAAAUAGUCUCACAACCUAUACAUCAUCUACUCUCAAAUAUACAUAUGGAAACUCUAAUGCAAAUAGGAAGCAUCUAUCAACUAGCACUAGGGCGCUAAGCCCUUACCACGAUCCUCAGCUGGCGCACUCGUACUCGGCCCUGCAACAAAGUGGGGUGAGAACUAUUGUCCAUAGUUCCCAGUGGGUUCGGCCGCUAACUCCGCCGAUCUCCCCACUAGGUCUAAGCAGCCAUAGGUAGAUAGAUAGAUAAAUAGAUAGAUAACUUGAAAUCAAUGACAAUGAUAAGGAGAAAUGCAAGUACUCUACCAUGCCUUAAUCCAAUAUAAUGAAUGCAUGCAACUCAUAGCAAAGGCUAGCUACCAUACUACUAUGUUCAACAAUAAAGCUAUUCAUUAGAUCACCCAAUCUCUCGGCUAACCCGAAAGCUCGCUCUCAAUCUCACAUUUUUAAGUCUCAUAGGGGAGGAGUCUCACUGAACUACCCCGAGACCGCCUGCGAACAGCUAGCUACUGUCCGGGCAGCUCACGACUGCCCCUCAGGUGACCAAAACUCCGGAGUGCACAGCUUGUGUGGAGCGACCACUACAAGCGUAGACAGGCUAUGUGAGUAGGAUCCAAUCCUUGUGAACCGGAGAUACCCUACCAACUAGGGAUGGCAUCAUCAUGGAAUCAACGUACUACUAUACUCAUUGGUCUAGUGUUUCAACUACGCUAAGGAACUCAUAUGCCACUCGUCAUAGGUUUGCAUUAACUAGAUGCCACUCAUCAUCAAUUAGAUGUUCUCGAUACACUACUUGCACAUACUCACUAGGUUGUCAUUUACCUAGAUUCCAAUCCACUAUGUGCUAUCACAUAUAGGGUUAAGCUAUGUCACAUUAACCUCAUGCAUACUAGGUUCAAGUGCUACAUCCACCAAACUACAUUAACACUAGCAUGCAAGUAUGGAUACAAGUAUCUAAACACCCUAUAUGUAUCAUGUUCAUAUCACUACAUUUUGAUCUCAUGCAUACUAGGUUCAGGUGUCCAAGCCAAUAACACUAUAUUACACUAGCAUGCAAGAAUAUGUAAUAACAACUAAGCACCUUAAUUGUACACAACUACUAGGUUUUCAUUCAACUAGAGUUUAAUCCACAUUAAUCAUGUUAUUAUGGGGUUUCGCAACACUAUGUCCCAAUCUCAUGCAUACUAGGUACAAGUAUUAAGCAAAUAACACUACACUACCACUAGCAUGCUAUAACAUGUAACAAUUACCAUCUAGCACCCUAUAAUGCAAUAUCACAAUAUGCAACUUGAUAAACGAUAACUUAGACAUAGGGAGCAGUCCAACUGCUUCGAGAUGGCACCACCUACCUCUCUGGUGAUGCAACAAAGUAAAGAAUCCAAAUCUUGCGACCACAAGUCGCCGCUACGACUUCUCGGGUCAACUCUGAGCCACGAACACUUGUUUCAGCCGGAACGUCGCACCUGCUCAACGAAUCGACGAACCAUCGCCUCCCACGCGUUCAAACACCUAUCAAUUAGGUUGAUAUAUGAUCAAUUUAGAUCAAAACCCUCUAUUUGUCAAAACCCCAUUUUUGAAGCCUUAGAUGCCAUUAGUGCUAAAUACCCCAAAUCAAUCCAAGAUUUAGGUAAUAGUGAUUUCAUUAGCAUCCUAGGAUUCCAAAAAUACCACUUCUAGAGAUCAAAAUCCAUGAUCUUCCAAAAACCCAUUUUAAACCCUAGGUUUACAACUAGGCAAGAAUCCACCAUUAGAGCUUCGGAUUCAAGCUCUAAUCAUCUAUCUAGCAUAUUAGAGUUCCACUAAAUCCAUUCUUAAGAGUAUAAAACCCAAACUCUAAAGAGAUGCCAUUAAAGCCUCACAAAGCUUACCUCCAAAGCUUACCCUCAUGGUGGAGAAGAUGAUGAUAAAGAUGGUGAAUCCUCUCUUGGCUUGAAUCUGCACCAAUUCCCCUUCCUUCUUCACCUCCUAGAGAGAGAAAGAGAUCUUAGAGAGAGAAAGAGAGAGCUAGGGUUAAGGGAAAGUGAGAAAGAGAGAGAGAGCCAUCCUCUCUCUUUACCUCCCACUCAUGUAACAAGUGCAAAUAACCCCCUCAACUUUUAGCUUCACCAACAGCCCAAAAUGGGCAUUUUCGGUUACGGAGAUCGGUCCUUGGAGUCAGGGACCGGACCCCCAUGGUCCAAAAAAUUGAAAUUUUCAGCUUUCGUUGAUUUUGCUCCGUUUUCGCCCGUUAGGCCUCCGAUUCGUUUCAAAUCGAACCGAGACCUUCCAAACAUGUUUUCGAGCGUAUUUAAAUCAUCUUUUCACCGACGCUAAUGCUGGAUUUAGUUCACGGCCCAAUAUAGCCUUUCGGGUCCCGUUUCUGCGCCUACGCACACCGAAACGCCCGAAUGCUUCCGGACUUCACCGGAGCUUCACCGAAACAAUUCAAAUGGCUUUCCAAACCAAUACACACCGUAACUUCAUAAUUUUAGAAGUCCAGUACCUUACAUCGGCCUUCUUGUUGCACACCACGUUAUCGACCUGCUGGGCCGAAUUUAUCACACAGCCGACCCUGUCGAUCGGCUCCUCUUGCCGAAGCUCCUCUAAAGCUUCGGUUCCUGAUUCUUCAUGCUCCAUUUUAACCAGCUUGGUGGCUCCUCGGCUGCCACCAUAGCUCCUUCAUCUCUAGAGAGAAUCAAUUGCACUCCCUCUUCAGUAACUCUCACGAAAGAGAUUUGAUCUGGGUCAGCGUCGGCCCAAUUGAUGUGGCCGAUCUCUUCUAAAUUAACGUCCACCAUUUGGGGCCGUUCUUCGGCCUGGAUUUCUUCAACUCUGUCACCUAUCCACUGGAAUAAUUUUUCGUGGAGUGUGGAUGGCACGCACUCAUUUUUGUGUAUCCAAUCGCGUCCGAAUAGUAGGUUGUAAUGGCUAUCUCAUCUAUUACAAAGAAUGCAGUUCUUAAGGUUUUAGAACCUACCGUAAUCUCGGCCGUGAGCACCCCUCGAGCUUGUUGACCGCUUUCGGUGAAAUCGGUCAUAAUUGUGUCGGUUGGCUUCAAUUCGUCCUCGCCCUUGCCUAAUUUCUUGAAAAAUGAAGUGGGCAUGACGUUGACCGUUACUCCACCAUCCACCAUAACUCGGCCUACCGGCCGACCUUCGAUCAAGGCCCGAAUGAACAAAGGCCUCACAAACCUAGUCUGAAUGGCCGAAGGUUUUUCGAAAACCACCGCAUCGGCCGGUUUAACAUCUUCUAAUUGCAAUUGGGCCACCGUAAGCCCAACUUCUUCAUCUACCAUCUCCUCAUUGUACUCAACAUACUCUGCCUUAAAAGACUGCGGCAGAGUAUACACCAUGUUGACAUCGGCUGAUCCUUCGUCAGCCGAUUUUCCUUGAAUCCUCUAUUUCUUUUCUUCGGACUCCUUGGCUGUCUCAGCUGAGGAAUCACUCUCCAUCGGUGCCUCCCUCUCUUUUUGAGGCCAUCUCGCUUUUUUGAUGAUUGUCUCGAGGGAGGCUAUUUUUUCUUCUAACUCCUUCCUAGUCAUCUUCUCCUCUGGUUCGACCGUGACCGGCCGUUCUACCUUUGACUUUAGCCAAGGAACGGGUGAUGAACCACCCGCCUCAUGAUUGUUUUUCAUUAGACGAAAAAGGUGUAGUAGCUCGUUAGGUCGUCUCCACACGUUCAGUCUUAUCCCUUUUGCCUCUUCAUAAUGUUGCCUCUCCUCGGCUUGCAUCCUCUACUGCCGACGCUUCUGUGUUUUUGUUAACAUCGGCCCUUACCAUUUGGCCGAUGAUUUGACUUCGACUUCAUGCCACUGAUCUACCGGCACAUUUGUCGAUACCUUCACAGUUCUCAAAUGAUUCUUCAAGAUCUCUCUCCUUUCCCAAGGUCUCGGCCAGGGCUGUAUGCCAAGCUCAUUUACUAAUCUCCGACCGAGGAAUUCUAUAUCUCCUUCGGUCAUUCCUUCGAAUUCUGGUUCUGGUCUCGGCCUGGCUUGAUGCUGCCAGUGCGGCCGAUACCCAGGGAAUCUUUGCUUUGAGCCGAAUGGUUUCUCUGGAUAACUCCAUCGGUUGUUGCAUUUUUCUUUUCUAUUAUAAUAAUCAAGCAGAACUUUCUGCAUUAAUAAAUCCUUCUUGCGUUGAACAGAAUCAACUUCUGGUUCCGUCUCGUUAGAGGCUUCAUCCGAGCCAUCCUCUGAAUUAUCAUCUCCAUCGGGAAUUUCAUCCUAUUCUUCGGGAAAAGCCGCCAACUCUCUCCAUUCGUUGCUUCUUUUCUUGUCGUUGACGAUAACUUCCCAAUCCUUCUUUGUUAUGCAAGAUGCAAAGCCGAAGCGUCUUCUUGACGAAAGCAAUGUUCUCAGCGGUCUUCUUGUCUGCGACCGCCUUUCCUUUGAUAUCCACCAUAUUUACCUGCGAAGGAAAUGUAUUCUUGUCAAUUUCCAUAGCUUUGUUUUCAUGAUCGGCAAAUAUGAGCCGACCUUCCUCUAUUUCUUCUCGGAUCUGUCUUUUUGCAGCCGCUUUUCCUUUUCCUACCAUAUUGACCUGUGAUGGAAAAGGAUUCUUAUCAAUCUCCAUAAUUUUAUUUUUUUGAUCGGCAAAUAUGAGCUGACCUUCAUUUAUUUCUUUUUGGAUUUGCCUCUUAAAGGCAGUACAUUCGUUUGUUUAUGACUCCAGGAAUGGUGCCAUUUACAAUAUCUUCUUUGUUUCAAUUCUUCUACUGGAGGUAUUGUUUGACCUUCCUGUAAUUGAAUCCCUCCGUCUUUUAGAAAUCGAUCAAAAAUUAGAUCGUUCUUUGAGACAUCAAACGAAUAAGUAUAUGCCAACACUCGUGCCUUCGCCUCACUUGAUUUAGCGCGCUUCAACAAAGCACAUUUAUAUGGCUGUCGGUUUUUCACCAUUUCGGCUGUAUAUAUUUCGGCUUCAUCAGCCGAAUUUUCAACCUCUUCAGAUGAAUUUGGCUCCUCAUGAGCCGAAGACUCUUCAAGGAAAGAGAUAUUUUUCUCCUUCCCUUUGUUCCAAUCUUUAUUUCGGCUCCAUCUAGGCUGAUCUUCAUUAUUUCCUUUUCGGAAUUGCUCGUAUUGAGCAACCCGAAUUCCCAAAUCGAAAAUAUUUGGAAAAUAUUUAUCUUCAAAAUGAUCUUUGAUUUUGAAGUGCAAACCAUUAAAUGCCAUUUUGGCAAAUUCCGACUCUGGCAUUCUCACAAAACAACGGCUUCUAGCCGUCUUAAACCUAUUCAAAUACUUCUCAACCGAUUCGCCUGUUCUCUGUUUGAACUGGGCUAAAUCAGCAACCGAUAAUUCCGGUUCCGUUCAAUAAAAUUGUUCAUGAAAUUUACCUUCUAAUUCGCCCCAAUGUCGGACAAAAUUAGCCGGCAAACUUGUAUAUCAAGUGAAAGCCGUUUUGGUCAACGAGGUAUUGAAUAAUCUUAAUUUUAAAUUGGAUCUGCCGCGGCUUCAUGGCACUGAGCUGUAAACCGUGCGACAUGUUCGACCGUAUUUUCGGUCUCAUCGCCGAAAAACUUAUCAAACUUCGGCAUUUUCCAAUUUGCCGAGUAUGGAUGCUCUGCGUCUAUUUUUGCAGGGUAUGGUGAUCGAAAUACGGGCCGCAUUGCCGGCCUUGCGCCUACUCUAAAAGUGUUUCGGAUAGCUUCCUCUGUAACAUACCGAAACCUCGGUAAUUAAAUUUGAACCUUGGUCAAAUUGACCAAAGUGCGAGGUUGGUACACUUCGGAGAGGCCGAAGGCGUCAAAUAAUGCAAAAAUGCAUUACUGGUGUAAGGUACCGGACUUCUAAAACUAUGAAGUUACGGUGUACAUUUAAAUGAUUCCGGUGAGGUUGCGGUGGAAUGUAACAUGCCGGAUUUUAAGUAUAAAGGUGAAAAUAAAUAAAAAUAGUAUGAGAUACUAUUUUAUUGGGUUUGGAGAAGUGAAAUAUAGAUUGGAAAUGACCUGUGCUGAAAUCGAAGCGAAAAUAGAAGAUUUAGAAUUUUCUGUCAGAAACGGGGCAGAUAAAUUAGCAGAAAAUGUACAGUGUCAGAAAAUUAUGAAAACUGGAGGAUAUGUCAGAAUAAUUUUUAUGAGGCUAGGUUUAAAGUUUCAUAACAUUCUGACACCCGUAGAGAGAGAAAUAAAAUCCGACAAUUAUCUGAUUAAGAUUACAGUUCGGCACAGUUUUCGGUGACCAAACAGGGUCGAAACUGAGAACUUAAGACAUAUUCUUACUCAGUACGUUAAACCGAGCCUGCCUGUCAAAUUUGAGUGCAAACGAACGUUCAGAAGGGCUCCAACGACUCCGAACUGCUAAACUACUGCCUGAGGUGAAUAGUGUAAAGUUAAGGGGCUGAUUUGUAAAAAGGGAUUUAAUCCCUUCUUCUCCUUCCUCCCUCAACCGUGCAGCACACACACAACCCACGCACACGUAUACAUGGAGGGAGAGAGAGAAACUUCCCUUUCUCUCUCUAAAUCUCUCCCAAAAUCAAGAAAAUUGGUGGAGAUUGGAGCUUGGAGAUGGAUCGUCUUCAUCUUCUUCAUCUUCUCCAUGGUUUUGAGCUAGUUUUGAGGUGAGCUUCUCGAGCCCUCUCAUGGUAUCUCUUUGUAGUUUGGGUUUUAAGCUUCAAGAAUAGAUUUAGAGGUAUUCUAGUAUGCUAAAUAGAUGAUUGUUGCCUAAAUCAUCGAUCAAUUUAAUGAUUUCUUGCCUAGUUGCAAACCUAGGGUUCAAAAUGCUAGUUUGGUAAAUAUGAGGGUUUGAUCUCAUUUGACCCUCCGUAAACCUAAUUGAUAGGUAAACGAACGCGCUGGGGAAGACGGUUCGGCGAUUCAUCGAGCCGGUGAGAAGUUAUUAAAGAAACGGACGUUUAGGCUUCGUUUCCGCCUGGAGGGCCGAGGCGACGUCAUAAAAUCAUGGAAUUGGAAUUGAGGCACCGUAACAACAAAACGAAGACCCUUUUUGCCCAAGGCUACGAAGCGAUGCGCGGUUGGUGCGCAAUUGCAAGUUCCGACGGAACCGAGCACCGGAUGCUGCGGGAGGCCGAUUACAAGUGUCAACAAGCAAUCGGAAUGCAAUAACAGGUGGGUUGUGCUUACCGAAGCGACUAGGUAACGCAUUGAUUUUCUAGUUGUAAACCUAGGGUUCAGAAUGCAGUAACGCGUUGUCGAAGAAAAAUAUGAUUUUCUAGUUGAUGCAUAUAAUGGGUUAAAUGCUAUAUGAUGCAUAUGAUGUGAAGAUUGGGUAAAUGCAUAUAAUGUGAUAAACGUAUAUUGCAUGAUAAUUGCAUAUGAAUAUAAUGCAUGCUAGUUGAUAAUGAUAAAGUAAUAUGUUGAAUGUUAGAUGAAUGCAUGAACUAAAAGCAAAAGGAAUGCAUGAAAAUGAUGUUGUAGGAAUGCAUGGGCUAUAUUAUACUAGAGGACAUAUUGCAUGUGAUAGAUGAAUGCAUGAUGAUAUGUAAUUGGUUGUGCUAAAUGAUCUAUGCAAGUUGGUAAAUAUGCAUGUUAAUGUGUUUGUGGAUUAUGUUAAUUAACAUAUGCAUGUUGACCUGGGUCUAAAACUCUUGGAUGAUUAGAAAACUCGACAUUGGAAAUACAAAUGUAGUAUUAAUAUCAUGAUAUGGUUUGGAUUCCUACAAUGGGAUGAUAAAUGUGGAUAAGACCUAGGUAAAUGUCAACCUAGAGAUUGUGUAUAAAUAAAGUAUUAAGAAUGCUUACAUGAUGACGAGUGGUAUGUAGUUAAUGUAAACCUAUGACGAGUGGCAUAUAUGAAUCUUAGUGUAGCUGAAACACUAGAUUGAUGAGUAUAGAAACCUAUUGGUUCUAUGUUGAUGCUAUCCUUAGUUGAUAGGGUGUUCCCAGUUUAUGUGGAUUUGGAUCGAGCUCACCUAGCCUGUCUGCGCCUCGUGUGGUCGCUCCACACAGGUAGUGCACUCCGGAGUUGUCACCCGAGGAGGGUUAACGUAUUUACCCUUGGACUAACGUAUCUGUCCGCAGGCGGUCUCAGGGGUAGUCGAGCAGUGGGACUCCUCCCCUAUGAGACUUAUACACAUGAGAUUGAGGGCGACCCCCUUCGGGUUAGCCGAGAGAUUGGGUAACAAAUUAUGAGCUAUAGUGAUUGUCCUAGUUGAGGGGAUUUAAGGCCGAGGUGCAAGUGAGACGUCCUUCGCCUCAAGCCUGACUUUGUGCGGUACUCCGUAGACGAUUGACUCAAGACCGAGUCGGGUGGUUAGCUUUGUAAAGGUAGAUGAAACUUUAUGACAAAAAUGGUAAAGGACAGAAAACCUUAAAUGUCAAUUGGAUGAAAGUAGUAAUCGAUUGAAUUACUAGUUGGUUGUAUAGUUGCAUUAUUGCAUGAUCUUCAUAUUGCAUAUCGCGAGGCAAUGCAUGGUAUUGUCAGUUGCAUAAUCUUAUUAUCAUAUCUAUCUGCUUAUUGAACUAACCUGCAGCUUGCCUCCUUCAGACCUGUCGGUCGAGCUUUUUUCUUGGGUGGCCGUACCCACUGGGAACUAUGGAGUUAGUUCUCACCCCACGUUGCUUUUGGGGUGUUACAGGUUCACACGUGAGUGGCGCGGCGGCGCGAGGAAAGGGCGUAGCUCCGUAGAUAGCGCCCUACCACAGAGACCAGAGUUAGCCGUACCCCGAGUCAACAUAUCCUAGGGAUAUAGAGAUGAAAAGAUCAAUGUAUCAAAAUUGUAAUGAAUAAUUGAUGUAACAAUUCAUAUUAAGAUGUACUAUACUUGUGAAUAAUGAUGUAGUAGCUUAGAUUGCAUUUGGUUGGAAGUAAAUUAUAAUUGAGAGGUAAAGUAUGAAUGAAUGAAUGUAAUAACUUAGGAUGUGUUUAUGUUGUUUGAUACCUUCCUUAUACAAUCGUUGUAUGUUGAAUAUUGUUCCUGUUUGGAACCUGUUAUAAUUGUAUUGAUUGCGAUGCCUUCAACGUACAGGGAAGACUCUGUACGCAGUGCAGGGGAAAUUCUGUUCGUUCGACGCUGUCGGUGCCGCGACCCCGGCCAAAUAGGCGGGUGGUCGCGGUGUAUGACAACUGGGGAUCUUCGAGAGCUUUUGGAAAUCAAAAUCUGCAAACUGCAGGUUUUGUGCUCUCGGGGACCGGUCCCUGGUGGGAGAGACCGAUCCCCGAACGCAUAGGCAGCGAGGGAGGCUGAGAAAUCGGCUAAGUCCUGGAAAACCAGCUCUCGGGAGACGGUCCCUGCGAAGAGAGACCGGUCCCCAGAGACCGGUUCCAUUGAGGGAGAUCGGUUGCAUCGCGCGCAGCCUACGCAGUCCGCGGGAGAAGCUCUCGGGGACCGGUCCCAGGUCGGGGAGACCGGUCCCUGACUGUGAAAAAUGCCCAGUCUGGGCAGUGCAUUGGAAAUAAAGUGGAGGGGCCUUGUUGUAAUUGUUACAACAUGAUAUAACCCUACCCCCUUCACUCCCACGGCCAUUUUCACCUCCCGAACUCACUCCCCUUCUUUCUCUCUCUAGAACCCAAGCUCCAAGGCAAGGAGAAGGUGGAGAAAAGCUUGGAGAAGGUGGAUUUUGGAGGUUUGGUGGUUCUAGAAACUCUCCAACAAGAAGGAGAUUGCUAAAACUUGGGCCAAAGUAAGUUUUUAGCAUGUAGAGCUCUAGGGUUUGGAUUUUAACCUUAGGUUUUGGAGUUUUGAUCUCUUUAGAAGCUUUAGAAAAGUAAUGGAGCCUUGAACACCAUGAAACCAUGGUUUUCUUGAGGUGCUCACAUGGUGAACUUCUAGGGUUCACAAUAGAUGCCCUAGAUAUGGUUCCAAUAGCUUGGAAAUGGAAUUAGAGAGCUUCCUAGGCUUAGGGAUGAGAUCAAUCUAGGAGCUAUUGCUAUAGGGCAUUGUUAGGGCUCAAAUUUGGGACUUUUGCCCUAGAAUUUUUUGAGGGCGAAUUGACCUCGUAGAAACCUAAUUAAGGGUGUUCUCGACGCGUUGGACAACUCCGUUUGACGUUACGAAAAUGUUAAGUAUGGUUCAUGUACAAAAGGCCUAAUAUGGCACUAUUUUGGUUAUAGGACGCAAAAUCGGCUUUCGUAAAGUUCGGGAGUCAUCAUAUUCUACACCUACACGACUACUCGAGGUAGGUGAUGCAUUCCAAGGACCUCGAAAAUUUCUUUAUGUCUAAAGUGUCAUAUUUGAACAUAUAUGUAUAUAUUGAGCAUGUUGCAUAGUAGGGUUGAUUGUGAGCUUUUAUGGCAUGAUUGUGAAUUUAAUUUCGUAUGAAAUACUUGUAAGAAUAUGAGAAUUAUAAAUCUUAUUUAUGCAUAACAAGUGACAAAAACCUAGAAGAGUUAGUGAACAAAAGUGACACAAGAACAUAGACCUAGUGAGUGACAUUGAGGAGUCUCGAAAACUUAGAAAACAAGUGUCACGACCCGCGACCACCUGCCUAUUUGGCCGAGGUCGCGGCGCCGCCGACAAACCGCCGAACGGACAGAGUUUCCCCUAUACGUCCUAGGUGUCGCAAUCAAAACAAAACGUCCUAGGUGUCGCAAUCAAAACAAAACAAGUGGUUCCGACCAGGAACAGUAUUCAAUCACAGAUUGCAAAUGGAAAUGUAUCAACAACAUAACACAUCCUAUGGUAUUACAAACAUUCGCCACAGUUUGCAUUUUACAUUACAUUCAACCUCCAAAUGCAAUUAAGUUAUUACAAUUAAUAUUACAAAUUUGAUACAUUGUGUUCCUUUCCCUUUCCUAUACCCCUAGGCUAUGCCGACUCGGGGUACCUCCAUCUCUAGUCCUGGGGUAGGGCGCUAUCUAUGGAGCUACGCCUUUGCUUCGCGCCGUCGCGCCACUCACGUGCGAACCUGAAACACCCCAAAACAACGUGGGGUGAGAACCAACUCCAUGGUUCCCAGUGGGUACGACCACUCAAGGGAAAAGCUCGACCGAUAGGUCCAAGGAGGCACUGCAAUCAUGUUAGUCCAAAAACAUCUACAGAUAUAUAUAUCGUAAUGUAAUUAUGCAACUAACAGAUAACAUGCCUCGGGAUAUGCAAUAUGAAUAUCAUGCAACUAUGCAACUGUAUAAACAACUAGUAGAUAUGUUGAUUCUACGUUCACUUUGCUAACUUUAGCUCAUUUCAUUCAAUUCUAAGGUUUCUAUUACCUUAGGUUCUCAACUCAAGUUCAACUUGCUUCUAAGGUCUCUAUUACCUUAGAUUCUUGCCUCGAUCACUAGCUUAUAAGGUUUCCAUUAACCUAAUCAAGCUAACCACCCGACUCGGCCUCGAGUCAAUCAUCUGCGGAUAGUCCGCGCACUAGCUGCAACUCAGCCUGGCUGCCAUCGUAGCCAACCGCAAAUCUGACUUAACCAUCUGGCGGCGAACUCAUCGCAUCGAAUCCAACAAUAACUCAAGUCAUGAUUUAGCCAUCUGGCGGCGAACUUAUCGCACCUUACCCAACAAUGGUUUCAGUCGUGACUUAGUCGUCUGGCAGCAACCACAUCGCUCUUACCCAGCAAGGUUCAAGUCAAUCUAGGCGAUAUCAUCCGAUAAGCGAAUGGGCGAGGAGAACCACACAUACCCAAUUCUCCCUUAUUCUCAUAGCAUCUCGGGCGAGGAGAACCACACAUACCCGUUGAAUCACUGCCAGGCGAGGAGAACCACACAUACCUGCAGUUAGGAUUCGCUUGCCAUCUCUUUUACCACAAUUUCCACCGCUUCUUUUGCGGACACAUCACUUGGGAUUCCGGAAUCCAUUUCACAACUCAAGGGUUGGUCUCAAACCCUAUAUUAUUGACCUAUCUAGGUCCAAUGUCCUGUUCACCCUAGGUCCAACUGACUCUAGGUUCAAUGCCUCUAUCACAUAACCUAGGUUUAUUUUAACUCUAGGUUCAAUCCAUAACCUAUGUUCACGACACUAGGUUAAUGCCACACACCUAGAUUUAGUUAACUCUAGGUUCAUUCUCAACCUAUAUUCUUUAACACUAGGUUAGAUGCCACUCGACCUAUGUUUAAAAACACUAGGUUCAUUAUCAUUCAUGUUUAACCUAUGUUUAAUACACUAGGUUAAGUGCCACUCGAUCUAUUCGACAUCCUAAUUGUCCACAUCAAGUUCAACAGAUAUCCACAUUUUAUCUAGCAUGCAUUAUAUGAUGCCAACAUGCAUAUUCCUUCUAACAUGAUCUACAACAUGUUAACAUUCAUGUUUUAGCUAGCAUAUUUGCAUUAUGUCAUUAAUAUGCAUUCUUUACAAUAUGCUCACAUGCGUUAUUUAGCAUUAUUUACAUGCAUCAUCUACAUGCAUCAUCUAGCAUUUUUAUAACAUGCUCAUCGUGCAUUUUAUGGUAGUCAUAGCAUAGCAAUUAAUAUGCAUUCACCUAGCAUUUAACCCUUGCAUUCAUCUACCAUUUAUAUGCAUCAAAAUGAAACCACGUUUCUCUUAGACAUAAGGGCGACCUAGUCGCUUCGGUAAGCACAACCCACCUUAGCUAGCUUUCCGAUUGCUCGUCGACACUUGCAAUUGGCCUCCCGCGGCACUCGGCACUCGUUUGGGCCCGAUUUCAUAGUUGCUCUCCAAGAGCGCGCCGCUUCGCCGUUUCAAGUGCUAAAGGUCUUUGCCUUAUCGUUACGGUGCUCGGGACCCGAUUUCACGAUUUAUGGACGUCGCCUCGGCCUUCCAGGCGAAAACGAAGCUCCAAGCUUUCGUUUCUUCAAUAUCUUUACAACGGCUUGUCGGAUUGCCGAACCGACUUCGCCAACGUGUUUCGUUACCUAUCAAUUAGGUUUACAGAGGGUCAAAUGAGAUCAAACCCUCCCAAAUCACAAAAUCCUAUUUUGGAUGCCCUAGAUGUUAUUACUACCAAAUCCACCAAAUCGAUCCAUGAAAUGGGAAAAAAUCAUCUAAAUAGCAUGCUAGGGUUCCGUUCAAACCAACCUUAGAGAUCAAAAACCUAUCUCUAAGGAUCUACCAUGAGAGAGCACCAAGCUUACCUCUCUAGGCUUGCUCCAAUGGAGAGAAGAAGAUGAUGAGGAUGAUGAUGAUGAUGAUGAUCCUCUUCUUCUCCUCUAUCUUCUCCUUCUUUUCUUCUCUUUUCCUUUCUUUCUUUUCUUUCCUCUCUUCUUCCCCUUUGUUCCUCUUCCACGAUCGGAGAGAGAGAGAGCGACAGUGAGGGAGAGUGAGGGAGUGAGAGAGAGAGAGAGAGAGAACACCUCUCUAAUAAUCCCCUCUCAUUUGUAACAAAAUGCCAUUAAGUCCCUCAAUUUUUCAUCUCUUAACUAGCCCUCACUAGGCAUUCUGCGCGCGGAGGGACCGGUCUCCCCAACAUGGGACCGGUCCCAGAGGACCUUCCCCGAUUCCUCGCGUUCGGGAACCGGUCUCUCCUUGAGAGACCGGUCCGCCGGAGACCGGUCCGCCCACCAGAGACCGGUCCCCGAGAGCUCAUCUCGCGGGACUUAGCCAAUUUUUAGCUCUUCUCACUAGUGUCACCUGCGAGGACCGGUCCCCCUGCUGCCAAGGACCAGUUGCCUCAGCAACCCCGCAACCCUCAGCUAAUGGGACCGGUCUCUCCCUGCCAGAGACCGGUCCCCGAGAGCAAAACAAGACAAAAUGCAGAUUUGGCAUCUUUGCUCUCGCGGACUCCAUUCCAAUGCACUUUUUGGUUUUCGUGCAUCCAUAACUUUUCCAAAAUUUACCCACUCGACAAUUAGUCGAUUCUGGUCGAAGUGCAACUCUCGAAUUUCGAGAAUUCACAUUGUUACAUUCUCUCCUCCUUAAAAAGAGUUUCGUCCUCGAAACUCACUCAUUCAUAACUCCAAUUCACCCCUCAUUUCAACUCAUUAAUUAAUCGAGGGUUCCAAUGCACUUUCGCACUCCGGAGUGGCCUCUUCCUUAUCGGAAUCAUCCAAAGGCCCACUACGGGAGAUGUGAGACCAAAUUCACUCACAUUUGUCACAUGUAAGUCCAAAAGUGCAUUACCACCAUGCAAGGAACUGCUCUUGCAUUAUACACCCAAUCGAAAAAUUUUACUCCGAUUCGAUCACCAACAUUGCUUAAAACAAUGUCGUUGGUGCAUCGACCAAUCGCGAGUGCUCCAAUCCCAACCGGAUCCUUGCUCUAUCUCAAGAUGGCACACUCUGGCACAUCUCCAAUCUUAAUCCAUAAAAGAGCAUUAUCCAUGUGUCUCCUAGAGACCACUCUGUCACAACCGAUACUAAUCUGCUCAUCUCGGUUCACCACAAGGGGUCCAUAGACCACCAAUCUCACAAAGGCCCAUCGCCUAACCUGUCUCAAUACACGUAACAUCUCUCGCUCGCAAGCGCAGACCCAAUUAUCAUCAGGCGACAUUCUCAUUGGAGAAUUCGCACACACUCCAACCAGGAGCAACCAAGACCCCAAACCACAUCGAAUCCUCGGGUUGGGUCACCACACACACUGUGUGUCGUCAAUCUCAUGAUCCAACACGUGGCAUUCCACGCACUCGGGUCUAAACUCGGACUGCCGUCCUAACCAAAACUCUCCGCCCUACCUAUAGGUAUCGGGCUGCUGUCUUUCACAGCUGACUGCGCCUGCCCAAUGGGCCCAGGCUCCACAGUACACAACUGGUCCAGGCACGAGUUGUCCCCAAGCACUACUCGCCAACAUUGUCCUACACGACGUACUCUACAGAGCUGCACACUCUAUCAGCUCCUAGGCACCUAGUGCGAGCCGCCAGCCCUCACGAGUGAUCUAUGGCCCGCUUCACACUUAGCCUUGCUAAAGUGCUACUGCCAAUUCACUCGACCGGCUGAAUCGAAACCGCACUCUACGAGUAUCUAUACUCGAGCGCUCUACACCUCUACAGCGUCUCACACGAAGUCUAGCAUCAGGCAACUUAGUCUAUGCACACCGACCACACGAGCACAACUCGCCUACCUCAACUCGAGGUACUACUAGGCCCACAGGCCAAACUCGGCUCUAAUCGACCAAUUUCGCAACAGUGGUUCAUCUUCACUUUCGAUCUACCGAAUUCGCAUCCGAAAUACCCUUGGAAUAUUCGGGUGUCCCCAAACAUCAAGGCUCAACUCUCGCGAUCCACUAUCCAUUGCCUUGAGUGUCACUUCACUAUUUCGUGCUCGCCAUGAGUCCUUCCCUUGUUCAAGGAUCAUUACUAGCAUUUUGCUAGGGCCAUCGAGCUCUCAACCUGCUCCAGCAGAUGCCACAAUCUCACAAUGCAAACAUGCUUGGGUAUUUACACUUGCCCUUUAUUGGUCCUACUAUACUAAUGUAUAAAUAGUAGCAACUGACCACUCGUUAAUAUGCAUGCUAUGCAACAACUUGAUAUCAGGAAGCAGCACACGCUUGCUUAAUUAACUCAUACCUGCCAUGGCAUUAUUAGUAGUCGCAGGCUCCUCCACCUGGGUCGCGUAUCCACGGUCACUUGCUGCCCGCUGCGAACCCCUCGGUGGCAUCAUCUUCAACGUCCGCUCUUCCGACCAUGCCGCGGGUGGCACACCCGCAGGCUGUCCCGGAGAAGAAAAGGCCGUUGCCAGUGUCAAGGUCUGGUCAUACCCUUGCGGACACUCGUCCCGUACAUGGCCCGGCUGCCCACAACGAAGGCACCUGCCAUCGCGCAGCACACACCGCCGAGCCCAGUGGGAACCUCCACAAAUCACGCAUCCUGGGGAGGAUCGGUUAGAGGACGACUUCGAGUGACGCCUCGAACUUGAUUGUCCACCCGAAUCGCUCGACCGUGGCUUCAUCCCUCCCCGCUGACGCUCAGAAGACUCGUGCUUCUCACGCACGAAAGCAUCACCGUGCUCUGCCAACAACGCUCGGUCCACUACCUCCGCGAAGGUUGUGAGCCUAAGGAUUUGCACCCUCUCAUAAAUCUCCGGUCGAAGUCCACGUAGGAACCAAUCGGCCAUAUCCUCGUCAUCCCGUACCACAUCCGGGACACAGUUCACGAUACGAGAGAAUUCCUGUUCUUAUUCUCUCACUGAGCGGUCUCCUUGCCGCAGCUUCCUGAACCUGUCCUGAAGCUUUCUCUUUUCAGUAUCGGGGAAGUAAGUCGAAAACACCAAUCCCCGAAACUCCUCCCAAAUCAUAGGAGGGAGACUAGGCGAUCGAUUCCGUCGAAUGCCUUUCCACCACACUUUUGCCGAUAACUUCAAACAGUGCACGGCUAGGGGCACCUUGUCUCGCUCCAAGGUGUACAGUUCCUCGAAGAGCGUUUCCAUUGAGUCAAUCCACAUCUCCAUGAUCCAUGGAUCAACAUUCUCUCCGUCAAAGGUAGGCGGGUCAAACCUCUUGAAGGUCAUAAGGGCCGCCAAAGCUCGCUCUUUCUCCGCCUCUAAUUCCAUAGGACCAGGGGCCACCGCCCCCGAAUCCAUCGUGAUUCCUGUCGGCACAACGUGCGCUGCUACCGGUGCAGCCGCCGCAGCCUGUAGUGCCAACAACUCGUGGAGCUCCUUGAUCUGCUCCUCCUGCCGCAGUACUACGCCCAUGAGCGUACUCAUUUGCUCGCGGAGCACCAGGUCUCCGCUUGCCUCGGACUGCUCAGGGACAUCACCUAUCCCACCCCGCGUCGAUCUAGACGGACGUCGCCUACGCGGUGCCAUCUUUUCCUGAAACAGGGCAACUCGAUUAAUUCUCAACCCUCUAGGUCGAGAACGAAACGACUUAACAUUGACAUAAAUCGGGCGAAAGUCACACAAAGGCGUCUAUUCUCAUCACUCGGUUUCAUAUUGUCGCGCGCCAAACAUGAACACCCUCGGUUGAGAAUAACCACACCUCAAGUCUACCUCCAAUAUCCGUCAUAGAAGUUUCAACACAACCCAAUCAAUGAACCUUUCGCCAUAAGUCACAAGUCCUCGUCUCUCACGAGUCUUAUUCUCCUAUGGUUUGCUAUCCUAGGGUCUCCUAGGUCUGCCUAAACCAUUCCCAUUCUCUGCUUUAUGCUCUGAUACCACCUCUAUCUGUCACGACCCGCGACCACCCGCCUAUUUGGCCGAGGUCGCGACACCGCCAACAGACCGCCGAACGGACAGAGUUUUUCCUGUACGUCCUAGGCGUCGCAAUCAAAACAAUACAAGUGGUUCCGACCAGGAAUAGUAUUCAAUCACAGAUUGCAAAUGGAAAGGUAUCAACAACAUAACACAUCCUAUGGUAUUACAAACAUUCGCCAUAGUUUGCAUUUUACAUUACAUUCAACCUCCAAAUGCAAUUAAGUUAUUACAAUUAAUAUUACAAAUUUAAUACAUUGUGUUCCUUUUCCUUUCUUAUACCCCUAGGCUAUACCGACUCAGGGUACCGCUAUCUCUAGUCUCUGGGGUAGGGCGCUAUCUAUGGAGCUACGCCCUUGCCUCGCGCCGUCGCGCCGCUCACGUGCGAACCUGAAACACCCCAAAACAACGUGGGGUAAGAACCAACUCCAUGGUUCCCAGUGGGUACGGCCACCCAAGGGAAAAGCUCGACCGAUAAGUCCAAGGAGGCACUGCAAUCAUGUUAGUCCAAAAACAUCUACAGAUAUAUAUAUCGUAAUGUAAUUAUGCAACUAACAGAUAACAUGCCUCGGGAUAUGCAAUAUGAAUAUCAUGCAACUAUGCAACUGUAUAAACAACUAGUAGAUAUGUUGAUUCUACGUUCACUUUGCUAACUUUAGCUCAUUUCAUUCAAUUCUAAGGUUUCUAUUACCUUAGGUUCGCAACUCAAGUUCAACUUGCUUCUAAGGUCUCUAUUACCUUAGAUUCUUGCCUCGAUCACUAUCUUAUAAGGUUUACAUUAACCUAAUCAAGCUAACCACCCGACUCGGCCUCGAGUCAAUCAUCUGUGGAUAGUCCGCGCACUAGCUGCAACUCAGCCUGGCUGCCGUCGCAGCCUACCGAAAAUCUGACUUAACCAUCUGGCGGCGAACUCAUCGCAUAGAAUCCAACAACAACUCAAGUCAUGAUUUAGCCAUCUGGCGGCGAACUUAUCGCACCUCACCCAACAAUGGUUCCAGUAAUGACUUAGUCGUCUGGCUGUGACCACAUCGCUCUUACCCAACAAGGUUCAAGUCAAUCUAGGCGGUAUCAUCCGAUAAGCGAAUGGGCGAGGAGAACCACACAUACCCAAUUCCAGCUUCUUCUAAUGGCAUCUCGGGCGAGGAGAACCACACAUACCUGUUGAAUCAAUGCCAGGCGAGGAGAACCACACAUACCUGCAGUUAGGAUUCACUUGCCAUCUCUUUCACCACAAUUUCCACCGCUUUUUUUGCGGCUACAUCACUUGGGAUUCCGGAAUCCAUUUCACAACUCAAGGGUUGGUCUCAAACCCUAUAUUAUUGACCUAUCUAGGUCCAAUGUCCUGUUCACCCUAGGUCCAACUGACUCUAGGUUCAAUGCCUCUAUCACAUAACCUAGGUUUCUUUUAACUCUAGGUUCAAUCCAUAACCUAUGUUCACGACACUAGGUUAAUGCCACACACCUAGAUUUAGUUAACUCUAGGUUCAUUCUCAACCUAUAUUCUUUAACACUAGGUUAGAUGCCACUCGACCUAUGUUUAAAAACACUAGGUUCAUUAUCAUUCAUGUUUAACCUAUGUUUAAUACACUAGGUUAAGUGCCACUCGAUCUAUUCGACAUCCUAAUUGUCCACAUCAAGUUCAACAGAUAUCCACAUUUUAUCUAGCAUGCAUUAUAUGAUGCCAACAUGCAUAUUCCUUCUAACAUGAUCUACAACAUGUUAACAUUCAUGUUUUAGCUAGCAUAUUUGCAUUAUGUCAUUAACAUGCAUUCUUUACAAUAUGCUCACAUGCGUUAUUUAGCAUUAUUUACAUGCAUCAUCUACAUGCAUCAUCUAGCAUUUUUAUAACAUGCUCAUCGUGCAUUUUAUGGUAGUCAUAGCAUAGCAAUUAACAUGCAUUCACCUAGUAUUUAACCCUUGCAUUCAUCUACCAUUUAUAUGCAUCAAUAUGAAACUACGUUUCUCUUAGAUAUAAGGGCGACCUAGUCGCUUCGGUAAGCACAACCCACCUUAGCUAGCUUUCUGAUUGCUCGUCGACACUUGCAAUCGGCCUCCCGCGGCACUCGGCAACCGUUUGGGCCCAAUCUCACAGUCGCUCUCCAAGAGCGCGCCGCUUCGCCGUUUCAAGUGUUAAAGGUCUUCGCCUCGCCGUUACGGUGCUCGGGACCCGAUUUCAUGAUUUAUGGACGUCGCCUCGGCCUUCCAGGCGGAAACGAAGCUCCAAGCGUCCGUUUCUUUAAUAUCUUUACAACGGCUUGUCGGAUUGCCGAACCGACUUCGCCAACGUGUUUCGUUACCUAUCAAUUAGGUUUACAGAGGGUCAAAUGAGAUCAAACCCUCCCAAAUCACGAAAUUCCAUUUUGGAUGCCCUAGAUGCUAUUACUACCAAAUCCACCAAAUCGAUCCAUGAAAUGGGGAAAAACCAUCUAAAUAGCAUGCUAGGAUUCCCUUCAAACCAACCUUAGAGAUCAAAAACCUAUCUCUAAGGAUCUACCAUGAGAGAGCACCAAACUUACCUCUCUAGGCUUGCUCCAAUGGAGAGAAGAAGAUGAUGAGGAUGAUGAUGAUGAUGAUGAUCCUCUUCUUCUCCUCUAUCUUCUCCUUCUUUUCUUCUCUUUUCCUUUUUUUCUUUUCCUUCCUCUCUUCUUCCCCUUUUUUCCUCUUCCACGAUCGAAGAGAGAGAGAGCGACAGUGAGGGAGAGUGAGGGAGUGAGAGAGAGAGAGAGAGAGAGAGAGAACACCUCUCUAAUAAUCCCCUCUCAUUUGUAACAAAAUGCCAUUAAGUCCCUCAACUUUUCAUCUCUUAACUAGCCCUCACUGGGCAUUCUGCGCGCGGAGGGACUGGUCUCCCCGACAUGGGACCGGUCCCAGAGGACCUUCCCUGAUUCCUCGCGUUCGGAAACCAAUCUCUCCCUGAGAGACCGGUUCGCCCACCAGAGACCGGUCCUCGAGAGCUUAUCUCGCGGGACUUAGCCAAUUUUUAGCUCUUCCCACUGGUGUCACCUGCGGGGACCGGUCCCCCUGCUGGCAUGGACCGGUUGCCUCAGCAACCCCGCAACCCUCAGCUGAUGGGACCGGUCUCUCCCUGCCAGAGACCGGUCCCUUAGAGCAAAACCAGACAAAAUGCAGAUUUGGCAUCUUUGCUCUCGCGGACUCCAUUCCAAUGCACUUUUUGGUUUUUGUGCAUCCAUAACUUUUCCAAAACUCACCCACUCGACAAUUAGUCGAUUCUGGUCGAAGUGCACUCGGAUUUCGAGAAUUCACAUUGUUACAACAAGUGUAGCAUGAGUCAAGAAUAUAAUACUUAGAAAACAAGUGUGGCAUGAGUCCAAAAAUAUAGUAAUGUAUAUAACACGAGUGAUGAUAAAGAAUGCAAAGAAAAGAAUGAUUGAGAUAUUAUGACGUUUCAACCUUAGAGUUAAGGGUCAUUUGAGCACGGUCUUCCUUAAAGUUAAGAAAUUGAUUGAACUUGGAAUCCUCAAUGUAGGAUUGAUCGUACUCACCUUUAGUCCUUACUCGAGGGUGGUAGCUCUCCCUCGGGCAAUGUGCUCCGGAGUUGACAUCACUGGGUUGUAGCGGGUAUCUCCCCAGAGGACGGUCCUAUCCGGUUGUAGCGGAUAUCUCCCCGGUUAUUAGGAUUUUGGGUUUGUGAGUUUGUUAAGGGGGAAACCUACGGGUUAGCCAAGAGAUUGGGUAAAGAAAUUGUGAUCCUGCAUUCAUCAUGAGCAUUAUAUCGAGCAUCGCAUUUUUUAUUGUUUAGGCAUAUUAGUUGCAUUUGUUAGUUGGUUAAUUUCUUUCCUCUAUUCUAUUAUGCCUGAUUAGACCUAAUGGGAUAGUCGGCGUGGUUGGUUGCCGAACCCACUAGGAACUUUGUUGUAGUUCUCACACCCCUAUUUCCACAAAGCCGGGACCGAGCGAGCCGGCAGACGACCGCGGUAUGGGCAUCGCGCCCUAGGUAGAGACCGCCCGAGAUGUUUUAUUUCAUAGUCGCAUACCCUUUUGAUAUAUCAUCUUUUGUAUUUCGAUGAUUAUAGUUGUUAAAUGAAAGGACAUGAAUGAUGUAAAAGAAUUUAUUUAAUAUCAAUGUUAUAUUUUGGAGAAAUGAGAUGUAAAAGGAAAUGAUGCAAAAUUGUAAUUGAUUUCCUAAAUGUAGUUUAUUAUUUUCACUAUUGACUAUUGCUUGCCAUCGUGCAAGCCAUUGUGUAUGCUUCCGCUUAUGCAAACUUUAUACUCUAUUAGUACCUGUUGUUGAGCCUUGGGCGGACAGGGGAGGCUCUGUCCGUUCGGCGUCUGUUUGAUGCUCUCGAACCGGCCAAAAGGAUCGGGCUCGGGGCAUGACAUCCUCGAUCUAUGCAUAUAUUUCAUUAUUAAUCCCCUGUAAGGGGACUUGCGCUUGUGCUGGAUUCGGCCCUUGUGGUGGUCCGAAAUUGUGUAUCAAAGGGUUCACUCCUUGUGCAUUUGGGGCCUGCGCCCCAGCCCUAGCCCCUACAUUUUGGGGUUGAUAUGCUGCUACUGGUGGAGGAGGUGGUAACCCCCAUGUUAUCUCUGGCUGUUGACCGGCAUUAACAAUAGCCGAUUUAUAAGCUGCUUGAUAUGGUGCCCCCUGGUAUUGGGGCUGACCAUUCACCGGUGUUACAGGAUUUUGUAACAUUGGUGUCAUUACAGGCACUUGCAAGCCUGCUAUCGAUUGCUCAUUCCGAGUUAAUAAUUGCCCUAUUCAGGCAAUAUUCUUAUUAGAUGCCGUGAUUGCAGCCAAUACUACAUCUAAUCGUGCAGUGCUAGCAUGACUAUUUUGGUCUAAAACUUGUAAGACCCUAGUCAUUUGCCCAAGCGCUUGAGCCAAACUAGGCUCUUGUUGGCCAGAUUGACCACUAGUCUCACCCCUCAGCAGGUAAGACUGCUUGGCGUUUUGAAAUAUUUUUUGAAUUACUAGGUUGUUCGCUCCUAGAACUUCUAGGAACGGCCCUAUUACGUAGAUUUAUGGCAUUGUCAUCAGCCAUUAUCUUAAAACAAAAACAAAUUUACCUCAAAAUGUCCCACCGGACGUGCCAAAAAACUGUUCGCUGCCGAUUUUCCGGACCCUCAUCGUUGUCGACGAUCCUCCUCGGGGAGCGUGUUGGGAUGGAAACGACUUAUGGUACUGACCCUCGAAGUUCACGCCCUUCGAUUGAUCAAACAAUUCAGCUGAUGAGGGAUCGGAUCAGCCGGGUUCGAAUCCUCUACAGUAAAUUCAGUUUGGCUGGAAGAAUCGAAUGUACGAACCAAGCAAAAACUGAAGUCGGCCGAUGAGCCGAAUAGGUAAAGAACACAGGAAUUGAUCAGCUUGAAGAGCCGAAUGCCUUUAUAUUCACUGAUAAGAAGUACAAGGGUCGAGUGUGCCAGAUGGCAUGCAGACUCGGUUGAUCUACUUAAAACUACUCCUAGGAAGAACAGUAAAUGCGGGAAAGAGAAAAUUACAAGUAGACUACUCCUAAAAAAUGCAGAAAAUUGCGAGAAAAAUAAGGGCGAUCUUUUGUUCACAGGAAAAAAUACCCCUUUUUAGGGCAUUAUUGACCGAUUUAUAGAUCACCCCUUGUGAUCAGUUAUUAUCUGUGCAUGAUCGGCCACUACUCCUGAUUCUCCGGACCACUUUCAGCCCACUUUCAGCCGAUCGAAACCACUUGCAACUGCUUGCGGUUACUGUAACCUCCCUUAAUUGGCGCGACGGUUUCUCUUCCGGUGCUCUUGGUGUACGGCAAGAUUGAUGCUUUUGAAGGGAAUACCGGCGUACCAUCUGUCCACGCCUAAUUGGCCCAACACAAUUAUUAUUCUUUUCCUAUCCGAUGUGGGAUUAUUAUAGCGUUAUGAGCCCAACAAGUUAUUAUUGGUAGUGGGUCAGAUCAAUAUAUUUAGUAUCAGAGCCGAAUGCCGAUUUCAGUCGAGUCAUUACAACUUUAUGUAUCAAGUCUUCUCAUCAGUGAUUUCGGUCCAAAUGCAGUACCAUUGGUCCCACAUAUAGUUUGCCCUUAUCCCAAAGAGAACGGAAUAGACUAUUCAGCAAUGAGGCACUAAUUUUGCCGAGACCCAGUCAGAUCCGACGACCCGCAAAGGCUUUGCACCAAUCAACAUCCAAUCCAACACAUCAUAGGUACAAUUAAUUAACCGAAAUUUUCUCAAGAAAAUUAAAGAAAGUGAAAAUGUCAUCUACUUUGAAAAUUAGUCGGUCUACUUUUAAUAUCAGUGGCUCCACACGGGUUUGUUUUAAAGACCAAGACCUCCAAGAAGCGUGAGGAAAAGACCUGCUCAAAGGUUGGAAAAACCAUAGAAAUCAAUACUUUAAAAUAAAAAAAAAAUACAAAAAAAAAAAAGAAAAGGAAAAGUUCCAUAGAAGAUCUCUCACUCUCCGUCAAUAUAUACUUGAAGCUGGCAAUGAAAACGGUAUUCUACUUAAAAGGUGCCAAGCACAAAAUAAUUAAUGAUACUCGUGGUAACUUUAAUAUUUGCUUAUUAUUAUGUAGUUAUACAUCAAUAUGGAAUGACGAAAACAAAAGAAAAGAAAAGGCAUCAGCAUAUCAUAAGAAUGCGAAAAGAGCCAAACCCUGCAAAAAUUAAAAAGAACUAUUUUGGAAUAGAUAAAAAACCCCACAGUUGUUGAAUCAUGGAUAAAAAGAAAAUAUUGAUGCACAUGGUGACGUCAAUAUCUGCUUAUUAUAUAUGGUUAUGCAUAUAUGAAUUGUUCAUAGAGUUAAGGGUGCGUUUAGUUCGCGCUAUCUUUUUAAGAUUCCUAGUAAUCCAAUAGGAAUAAAAAAAUAUGACGGUGUUUGGCUAAACACACUAAGUAAUCUAGUUGGUAAUAUUAGAUUUACUUGGGAAUGAGAUUCAUCCCAAAGUACUAAUCUCAUUCUCUUGAGAGAGGGUGGGUACGUAUCCUCAUAUUAAUGGAUCGGGAUAAUCAUAAUAUGUCUAAUUUUUUUAUUUUUUCCUACNACCCGCCGGCUAGUUGAUAUUAUUUAUUUUUUUACACUCUAACCUCAUAUUUCUCUCUAAACUUAUCUUUUUCUCUCUAAACUUAAUUUAUUUUUCUCUCUCUAAACUAAGCUCUCUCUCUCUCCCUCUUUUUCUAAAAUCUCAACUUUCUCAUUCUCUCUAAUAACCUCGAUUCUAUUUCUCAUUCUAUCUUUAAUUAUGCUCUCUCUCUCUCUCUAAUAUAUGUUCUCUCUCCUUCUUUUCUAAAAAGAUGUUGAAAUUUUUUGUAGCAUUAUCUAAAAUUAAUUAAAUAAAUUAAUUAAUUAAUUGUAUUUUUUUUUGUAAUCUUAAAUAACAUGACUAAAUAAUAUGACCAUACGAACCAAACACAGAAAUGCCAUAUUCUUAGUAAUAGGAUGAAUAGAAAUAAGAUUCUCGGAUAUCUUUUUAUUCCUAGUAAUCUUUCAUAGUGCGAACCAAACGCGCCCUAAUAGUGAAAGAAUUGUAUUCUUAAAAUAUUAGAAAUUUAAGACAUGUUCUUCUGUAAUUAAUUCUUAAAUACUACUGAUUAUGAGAUUGUCAUGGGAAUGGCUACUUAAAAAGUGUCAAGCACAAUUAAUGAUGCUUAUGAUAACUUUAAUAUCUGCUUAUUAUGUAGUUAUGCAUCAAUAUGGAAAAAAAGAGAAAAAAAAAAAAGCACCAGCAUAUUGUAAUAAGGUGAAAAGAGCCAAUCCCUGCAAAAGUUAAAAAGAACUUUUUUGGAUUAGAUAACAAAACCACAGCUAUUGAAUCAUGGAUAAAAAGAUAAAAGGAGAAAUUAAGAUGUAACCUAUCAUCAGUAUUGGUUCCACUUACCAUAUCUAAUAGAAUUGUGAGGACUAAGAUUUUUCGUAUAUAAAUUUAAUAUCUUUUUAAAUAUUAUUGUGUGUAUUUUAAUUUUAAAACCGUCCGUCAAAUUUUAGUAAAAAAUGAUUUACAAUGAAAAUUUUACGCGAUUAUUAUUUUUCACUUAAAGUGAAUAGCAAUCCUCGUUUCCGGUUGUGACCGAGAAGAGAGGUGGGCUUCGCACACGAAUUGAACUCCGUAUCGAACGAUCCAAUAGUUCAUUCUCAAUGGUCGGACUGUGCCAAAGCUAAUGUCGUUGACAAAUUUCAUGUUCGACGCAUGGUUUUUGAGAAAAAUAGCUUUUAUCGCUGGGAGGGCUUUUAUUUCACGUUGUUCUUGCUUUUUUGAAGCGAUUAGUGCUUCGUUUUGCGUGAAAACUCGCAGGCAGGGACCUUUCCACGAGAGGAACGUAAUAAAGAGGGAUUAGAAUGUGAAUUUUGAGAGUUUGGGGACUUUGGAGCGAUUAUUCUCCAAGAUUAAUGGGUUUUAGGUUUAUAAAGUUUGAUUUGGGGAUUUUGGAACCCAAACCCUAGAUCAACCCUCAUCCUCCACCUUUGCCACCUGAGGAAGAACCCUGCCGCCGCCAUCGUUCCCGCCGGCUACCGGAGAAGGAGAGGAAGCCAAUCUCCUUCUUUCUCUCUCCAUUGAUGUGUGGUGUGAAGGGGGGACCUCGAGCCCUCUUGUAUUCGGCUGCCGCCAACCUAGGCUACCGCUAUCGUCACCACCGAACCCCGGGCAGCCAUCCCUGAUGCUUCUCUCGCUGCCGUGCCCUGAGGAGCUGCCACGGUUGAGGAGGAGCUCUACAGAGCUUGUACAACUGUGGGGAGACACCCAGCUGCCACCGUCGCACCACGCCACUACAGGGCGACGCCGGAGGUCCCAAGGAGUCCACCGGCGCUACCCCUCGCUGUCUCGACCCGCCGCUGUAGGGAUUUAUGAUGCCUUAGCCACCGGUCCACUUUGGGGUGCUGCCGCUGCUGCCGGCCAGGGGUCCCGGCCGACUCCCCUGAGUGCGGUGAUCUUCCCCUGGCUGGAGUUCCCCCUGCCGUGCUGUCGGCCGCCGGAUCUGUGAUGCCCUACCCUGGCCGACUCCCCUAAGUGCGGUGAUCUUCCCCUGGCUGGAGCUCCCCCUGCCGUGCUGUCGGCCGCCGGAUCUGUGAUGCCCUAGCCCCUGCAUGGUUUCUGCCAAGUGGAGCUUCUUUUUAUGGCCACCAAAGACUUCGGUGAGCACUUGAAGCAUGAGCACCACUCUUCAGGUCUUGUGGAGACCCGCGCUCACCUUCGCUGUAAUCAACGAAGCUCCGAUGUGCACGUAGGACUUGGCUGCUUCCGGGAGCAAAUAAUUGGAGGGGUUUCUCCACUAUUUCAAAGCCUUUUGGCCGUUGAUUGUGCUCCGAACAGUGAACACGAGCAUCAUAGUGUCGAGACGAAAUCAAAUCGACUGGUUGGUUGGAUCCGUUACGACGCGAAUCUAAUGAGCUCGAAACUCGUGUUUAUGUAUUAUUUGAAUAGUAUCUAGUACAUUAGCGAGUUGUUUGCAAGUUGUAAGCAAUGAGGACUCUAUGCAUAGCCUCAGAGAGUGUGUAAUCAUUGUUAGCAACCUCUUCACUGAUUGUCAAAGGCUUGGGAUCCGUUUCAGAGCGAAAAUAUGGUCCCACAGCAUCGUUUGGCAGAAAUUCGCCGAUCGGAUGCGGUUUAAGUUGCUGUUUUUGCACGUUAGCCAUCCGAAUGCCCUAGAGACCCCGCCAAGACUUGUUGGCUAGUUUCUACCGCCACCUUCAAAGUCCGAACGCGGUGGAUGAGCGGCGGAAGGGUUUCAGCACGUUUUUCGACGAAAUCGUCGGUAGAACGUAGUUUUGCGUCGCGAUGAGUUUCCGGCUGCAUGGUCACCCUGGAAAUCAUCGCCUAGCCCCAUAGGCUCCAGGGUCGCCUCGUGUGUUCAGAGGCGAUAGGUGAGCGGUGGAGGCUUCCAGUGCCAAAGUGGACACUUUUGGAAACCCGCAAUGAAACGGUCGAUUGACGACAACCGAGUUGACCUUGAUGUUUGUGUUUGCUGCCCGGACACUCAAAUGGAUGUGUUAUAGGGUAGAGGGUGACUCACGGCAUCAGUCGGUGUGUUUCGAGACGUUUCAUGGGUCCCUCGAGCAUCCCGAUGCGUUUUCGGGAUUCCUAACGAGUUUGGGAAUCGGUUUUGGAAAACCGAUCCCACAGGUGGUCUUGGGUUUGUAAGCGAUGUCUUUGAGUCAGUUGGUUCGGUUUCUGACUCGGUGGACCUACCGUAGGUCUGGUCGAGGGUUCUGUGCACCGCGGAAGCUAGGUACAACUGCGACACAUGGGGGUACUUAGAUUCGAAGUCGGUUCAGUGGUACACGCUCGGUGAUAUUCCCUUCAUCCCUACUUUUUACUGCAUGCAUAUAUACAUAUUCAAUACUUGAGCUCUUCACUACAUGACUUCAACCCUUGCUCUACUUAGUAUACUCUCUUGUUUGCCAUGAUAUAGAAGUAGAGCGGUAGUGACACUUGUAUUUAUAUUCUAGUUCACCUGAGUGGUCGGUGCCCAUGUACUUAUAGUAUCAUUGAUCUCACACUUUUCAAUUCACCUGAGUAGUCGGUACUUGCAAACUUGAGAGGAUAUUAAGCUUGUCUAUCCUAAUUGACCUCAGUGGUUGGUACUUGUGUUCCCAUACAGCUUCGGUGACCUGUUGGUCGGUGUGCCCCGAUGGGAGGUGUUUGUUGGCUAUUCGCUGACAGUUGACUAUUGAUCAUAUUCGCAUUGAUCGCCACAGCUCGGGAGCAUUUUAUUAACACCAACAGUCAGAUCCCCUGUAGGAGUGUUUUUUUUCGGAAAAGUGGUUGGUUGCCAACCCAUGAGCCCAGCGGGUAUUUGCUAUGGUUAUAUGCCAGGUGGGCGAGCAGGAAGUGGCUUUUGCUUGAGAUCCUUAGACCAACACGGUGGUGUAGAUUGGAUACAUUUGGACUAUUCAUUCGGUUGACGCAUAUAGCUACAGUAGAGGUUGUUGCAUACUUACUUUCAGUUCAUUUCUUACACUUAUUGCUACUAUGGACCUUUCUUUACCUAUACCUAGUUACUAGUGAGAACGCUUGCCUUCGUCGGCUCACAGUACCCAUUAGGAGACCCUUUGUUGGUUUCUCACCCCCAAUUUUCCAUAGAUGACCCAGGUGGGAUUGAUCGGAAUGGUGCAUGAGGCUGUAGUUAGAAGGCCGAGAUAGAGUUUCCCAACAUACGAUAUACAUUUGAUUAUACUCCUUACUUAGCAUUAAUUACAUUUGUGGAUAGCAGUCUUACCCUUACACCUGUCAGUAGAUACUUAUGUGGUUCAAUUACUGUUUAUACUCAUGGAGUUUGGGAUGUUAUACUCAUGAGGUUUUGGAUAUCGAACUUUUGGACUUGCGUGGUUUUAGCUUGGAUUUUGAAAUGUGGCUUUCUACCCCUUGUGGUAAUAUUUUCAAAAUAAAGGUUUCUGUGGUGGGAACGACUUUUAAAUGAUUUUCUUGCGGCUUUUUAAAAGAUAGAAUUUCAAACAAAGUCUUCGUAUGGGAGACAUUUCCAACUAAUAGGAUGAGUGAGAAUGAAUGUGAAUAGAUGUGAUUAAAGAUUGUCAAUUGUAUGCUGAUGAAUAUUGUUCUUUGUAUAUCCUGUACCACUGUGUGUGUGAGUGAAAGUUUGGUUGCUAAUUAUACAUAUACUAUGUCAUGCAAAUAUAAAGAAAACUCUGUCUGUUUAUUUCGAAAAUUUUCUGUGCUUGUGGCGAUCUAAUGCAUCAUUGGGGAUUAAGAUUUUGAAAAAAAAAAAAAAAAAGAGACAAUUUUUUCGCUUACUCUGAUUUAUAAAGAUAGCCCAAUUUCGAAUUAGCUUUCAAAAAGGACCGCCGUUCCGCUUACUCUAAUUUAUAAAGAUAGCCCGAUUUCGAAUUAGCUUUCAAAAAGGGGCCCCGGAGCAUGACAAGAAUCCGCUGAAAAGCAGGGAGGGAUUCACUAACAUCCAAAGUAGAGAUGAAAAAUUUUCCUUCGAAUCUGGGUCUCCACAGAGGUCAGCCUCCAAUAGGACGGGGAAUUGGGAGGACUUCGCACCCCAGGGGAUGGGGUUGAGAAAAAAAUUUGACUUAAAAAAUAAACUUAAUAAUUGGAUAAAAUUUAAGCUAAUUUGAAUUGGAAAAAAUUAAAAUUUAUUAACAUUUCAAAUAAAAAAUUAAUUAAUGUAGUGUAUUUUAAGAAAUUUUACGUAUCUCGCGAGGAUGGUCCGGGCAGAAUUUGUUUCACGCUCGUGAGAAUUUGGCAGGAACAGAUAUUCUAAAAACCUGCGGAGAAUCUAAUACAAGAGAAGCAAUGUUUUGAGGUAAAAUAUUGAACUAGCGGUCACGACGUAGCAGAAGUCCUAGAAUAGCAGGCGGCAGACUGAAGCCUAACUAAACAACAAAGAAUAUUAAUAAGAAUCUACCAAGGGUUCGUUCGGAAACUAAAGUUGAUGUCAAAUUCUCAUAAAGCGAUCAUCAAAAGGUUUCUCUUUUUUUCUUCGCCAUUCAUGGAGAGUAGAUUUUUCAAGGACAAAGUACCUGUUGAAGAAAUAUUAGCACUAAUAUGUGAUGGAAGCUCUUGAAAUUAUGUUAAAAGAUGUUUACAUAGUAGAGCAUAAAAAACAGAGAAGACUACAAUAUUACAUGCAAGAGUCCACUAGGAAAUACAUUAAUCUCUCGCUUAUAGGCUCGCUGUUGAAACUUAAUUGACGUUGCGAGUGCAAAGUAAUGAUGGUGGAACUGCACGGGUUCACUUACAACAGUCGGCACUCUCAAUUUUUUAGCGGACCAAUUCCAGCAGUACACCUGUCUCAAAACUCUCAAGAGGAGGAAUACGUUCCGAAAAAUAUAUGUAAUAGUUUGUUAUUGCAAGAGGGCGCAAAAUAAGUAAAUUUCAUCUUCUAGACGUCUUCUCAGACCGACCCAAUGUCGAUAUACCACAUAAUAGUAUAAAAUUUGCACCUAUUUUUCUUUUUGUUAUAUUGCACAACAGAUAAGUUUAUCCUCCCCAAUUCUUUUGUGAAUGAUUCGUCUUGUUUCCCUUCCACUUAGAAACACAUGAAAGAAAAAGGAUGAAGUAACCCUACUGUAACUGCGCUGUUUAUACAGUAAGUAAUAUGCAACUGAAUAUUGCUUCCCCGAUCGUGUUGUUCUUCAGACAACCAAACUUAAACCUGAAACAAUCUUGAGGACCUAUUGUAGAAGCGCACAAGACAUGAGAAAAAAAAUUUGCUCCCCUAAUUACCACAUAUAAGGAAUUGCUGCAGUUUUACUGGGCAUGCCACAACACAGUCUUAUGAUAAUGGCACGGCAUUGACACAAUGGCACGAAUUUUUAUUAUCAAAUAUUCAAAAAAACAUAAGAUUUAUUUUAAUAUUUCUUCUCGUAGCUAUAAAAAUGACACGAGUCUUAAUUAUAUCUCACAUAAUUUAUUAAAAAUAGAGUGAUAAAAAGAACAAUUUGUAUAUAUUAUAUUAUGAAAGUAUAUGCAUCAAAACAAAACUAAAAUCACGAUUUGGUAAACAUUCAUAGAAACAUACUACCAUAGGCAAAUACGCUACAUCUGAAUUGAUAAAAGAAUUGAGGAAGACAUUUACUAAUUGCAACAAAUGUACGUAGAUUUACAAAAUUUAUAUAUUUCAAGUAUGGAAAAAUCUUUGUGAAACUUUUCACGUGAAAAAAUAGAAAAAUUCAAAAAUAUCCACUAAAAACUCAAAACAAAAUUAUAUUGUCGAUUCAUUGUCAGCGCCGUGCCACGCCCGAGGACGACCUAGGCACGGUACAGCACGGACGGCGACGGCCCUGGCAAUCCUUCCACAGCACAAGUGCACAAGUGAAAAAGGGUUGUUGAGCAAUAGACAGGUAGAAAUUUUGCAAGCAAAUUUUACGUGGUUUUGCAAACUCAAAGAGUACAACCAUGCAUAUCCUCUAAAACUCAAGAAUAGGCCAAGUUAACAGCCAUUAGCGUGAUGAAAGCCAGAGAAAUAAAUGAAGUAGAUCCUCUUAAGGUGAAAUUUACAGGUGGGAAACGCAAUUUCCAGAAGAGCAUCUCUAGGAAAAUACAAACCCUCCUUGGAUCCCUUUUCAUGUAAUAGGACGCUGAUGAUAGGUGAUAACAGCAGCAGCAAGCUUCCAAAUUCCAUAUCAGAAAAGUUGAAGUUUUGGUUCCUGCGUCGGUGAUCCACCAAAGCCGAAUGAAAUUUUACUAGGACAAAAGACCUAUUAUGUUUAUAUAUAGUAUUUUAAGGACCUAUUAAUUAAUUCUAUUUUGAGAAGGUAAGAUGAUUCUUUAUGAAGGAUGAGAAAAAGAUUUGUGCACAUACAGCAUCUACAGCAUAUACGGAGCAAUUUUGUGCAGCUAACUCAUCACCGACUCCAAAUCUCUGAGAUCGGAAUAUCUUAGUAUUUUAUUUGGAAUAGAUUUAAAUCUGUAAUACAGAAAUAUCUUAGUAUUUUAGUCAAAUUGGACUAGACAAGCCUAGAUUAUAAUUUAAUCCUAAUUUGACUUCAAAUAAAAAUUACAUUAGAGUAAACAAAAUUAUAGACACGUACUAAAAUAAGAUAAAAUUGUCUUAGAUUUUCGACUAUAUGGUUUUUUUUUUUUUUUUUUUUUUUGAGAGAUAGAUAGCACGCUACCCGCUUCGUUUAUUUCAUUUAGAAAUAAACUUAGCUGGAAAUGUGAAUCAACUAGGAUUCAAAUUGGGACCUCGGAUACCAACCACCAAGCCCUUUGCCACUUACUCUAGGGACAGUCAGUAUUUUUCGACUAUAUGUUAAAUAACAUAAACUCACCCAUGCAUGCAUUGCGCAGCUUCAAAUCUAGUUAUAUAUAAUUUUCUUUUUUUCUUCCUCUUUAAGUUCUUUGAGCUUAAAGGCAAGUAGGGAUAUAACUCUCUUUAAUUUCUCUAUAUUUGAAUCACUUGAAAACUCUACAUAUAUGGCUUUUGUUUGACAAGAAAAAAAAAGAAAAAAAUAGUAGUAACCUUUCUUUGUUCUUUGUUUUCUUUUAAAAAAAAAGAUUUCCAAGCUAACAAACACUUGAACAAAAGAAUUUCAUCCCCAUGUACCUUGGACAUCAAAUAAUUGAGAAGAAACAAAAACAAAACUGCAGUAACAUUGGAUACACCAGAAGGUGCACGCACACCUGAUUAUCAGGUAUGGCCAAACAAAUUCUGGGAGUUGCUUUUCUACAACUUUGUUGAUAGUACAAGCCAACUGUCUGCAAUCAAAAGCUGAUCAAAUUUAUAGGGCACAGUACACUACUACCCGAUUCCCAUAGUUUUUUUUGAGUACCUUAAAAGUCCAAAAGUAGUUGUGGAAGUACUCUCUCAAGAUGGGUAGCUUCAAUUUUGUCACUUCCUUCUGCUUCAGCAAGUAUGGCGGCACGUUGAACAGCCUCUUUGAAAAAUAAAAUAAACUAAAAUAAGUUUAAACAACUAACUUUUAGUAUGGCACCAGAUUUAUAUCAAGUUAACAUAUUAAAACAUAUAAAUAAACUCGGGGUUUCAAGCAUGCACACCUGUGACAAAAAAUCGCAGAAGCUCACAACUUACUUUAAGUGAACUUGCAUUAGCUGCAUGCAACAAACAUAUAAUUACAAACUACAACCAUUAUAAAUUUCUCAAAGCAUAAUAUCAAAAUUAUAUAAUCUUAGCAUGUCAGGAAAGAACGAAAAUUUUAUAAAGCAAUUAUGGUGAACACGGAAAACAAUUUAUGGGCAAUCAACUAGAAGGCAUGACAAAACUACAGUUUUAGUGAUCAGCUCAGAGUGUGGAACAUUGAUAUAGUAUAUUUUGGAAUACUGUUGUUUUUGAACAUAAGAUAAUAUGUCGAUAAAUAAAAAAAUUAUGGACUCUGAGUUUGUGAACAAUUUAUAUUUAAUAAAUUUGUUAAUUUCUUGCCUUGUGCAUUUACAAUAAUUAAAUUACACUUUUAGCUCCAUGUUGAUAAUGGCACAAAAGUUAUAUUAUGCAAUGCUUCAAAAAUUGCUCCUUAUGCUUAAGGGUGCAAAGCAGGCCACUAGGCCCAAAAUGCUUCGAGCCAAGCUGUGGCACAACAUAGGUACUGUAGCACACAUGCCAUGCCGGCACCGCCCGAAUUAAUGGGCCAUGUUGGGCCGAUGUGGAACCUGUAAAAUUUGAAUUAUGUAACAAAUUGACUUUUUAAAUUCAAUAAAUGGAAAUGGAGAACAUUGAGAGAGAGGCUAAUUUCAUAAAUUGGAACCGUUUCCGACGAAACAAAAUCACCACUUUUAUGGCCUGUCAAUGCAGGAAGACGUGGUGAAGUCCAUUUUUGGAUUCUGCAAGGCGAAAGCGGGGAAUAAUGCAAAAAUCAAAAUAGGAAAAAAGGUAUUUUUGGAAAAAAGUGCGACUGUUAAUGUAUGGUUUCGCAUGAAACUCAUUGGGAGGGGCUACUGUGCAAUUACGUGUGCCGAUGAAGUUGGAGCAUAAAAUGUGGAAAAUACAAUAGGCUACAAGAAAAAUUACAAAACCCUAUAUUAAAGUGAAUCCGGAGUUUGGAACCCUAACUCCCUCGCUUUUUCUCCUUAGCUUCCCCAGCCGCAAGUAACAUCUCACCCCACCUGCGCCGCGCCGACCUGACCUCCGGCGAUCCCCUCAGACUACCGGAGCCUCUGCCAAGAUCCCGAAGUCUCUCUCUUCCUCUUUCUCUCUCUCUGUCUCACUUAAAUACCUUGACCCAAUCUCCUCAUGCCUUCGACCGCACAGUCCCAAACCAACGUCACCGGCCUCCAGGGGUUCCAGCGACCCUCCUCCGAUUAGCCCAGGCGCCACCAUGUGCCCCGAGUCCGAUCUCCACCUGUGAACCUGAUAUGUUGAGGAUCAGGCCGCAUCUUCAAGUCCCGCGCUGCUAUCGUCGCCGUCGCCGCCGCCGCUUCCAGCCGUCCCUGUCGACAUCUAUGGACCUGGAGAACCCUCCAGCGUAGCCCCAACAUCUCUCGACCAUCCUAUUGCUCGGGUAGCCAGUCUGAACCUGAGGGUGCUUAGGCUUGGCUGCAACCCUUCAACCACCAUUGUCGCCUCCCGCCGUCGGCAACAGUCAUAUCUGAUCUCUCCUCGUCAAGCACGACCCCUUCCGGCUAGUGCGAGCCUUCUUUGGCGGUCGAAACCCGAGAAGAGUGAAAACUGCUCUAGGCUGCAUCGAGCAGGGUUUUCGCACUCCUGCUCUGGCAAUCCCAUUCAUUCAUAUCUCGUUGUUUUGCACGCAACCACAGCUUCAAGAUGACGCUACUGUCACGGACGCUCCGGGUGCAAACGCCAAAAGAUUACCUCGAUGCGAAGUACAUUCAAUUAUGCCCUGUGAUGUUGGGCAACUGGAUGUUCCUUGCGAACCUAGUGCUUUUACCGCUGAAGGAGUUCGAUGUGGUGCUUGAGAUGGACUGGCACAUUGAACACCAUGCUACUCUCAAUUGUGAACAGAGGAUGUUGACCUUCAAUGCACCCGGGAAGGAGGAGUUCGUCCAAUGAGCAUGUUGCUCUUUCGCAAUGACCAUCUCUUCAGCUAGGGCAAAACAACCUACGAUUGGCAGAUGAAUGGCCUACCUGGCUUCGGUGGACGUCAUUCGCAGAGCGGCUCCAAAUCUUGAGAAGAUUUUGGUAGCUCGAGAGUUUCUUUUUUUUCCGACAACUUUUUUUCCGACAAGCUACCCUCGAUGCCUUCAAAUCGGAAAAUUGAGUUCUUCAUAGGAUUGGCUCCCGACACGACUCCCAUCUCAAAGGCCCCAUACCGAAUGGCCUUCACAGAGCUGAAGGAGCUGAAGGCUCGGCUGGAGGAUCUCCUGGACAAGGGGUUCAUCAGACCGAGUGUGCCCCCCUGGGGUGCACCCAUUCUUUUCGAAAAAAAAAAGAACGAUAGUCUAUGUUAUGCCUAAACCAUCGAGAGCCCAACAAGGUCACGAUGAAAAACAAGUACUCCUUGCCACAGAUCGACGACCUUUUCAAUCAGCUACAGGGAUUAUCGGUCUAUUUGAAAAUUGAUCUGCAGUCAAAUUACCACCAACUAAAGAUCAAAGCAGAUGAUGUGGCGAAAACUGCAUUCAGGACUCGUUUUCACGGUGAUGCCUUUCGAAAUUAUUAAUGCCCCAGCAACAUUCAUGGACAUGAUGAAUUGAGUGUUCAAGCCAUAUCUAGAUCACUUUAUCGUAGUUUUAAUUAACGAUGUACUGAUCUGCUCGCGGAUUGAUGAGGUGCAUGAGGAUGCAAUCUCUGGCUUCUCCUUCACAUGCCCCUCUAUUGACGUUGGUUCCCAUAUAGUUAUUUCACCGCCUGAGACUUUAUCAACAUUUCCUUUUACCUUGAAUUUUGAUGCCUCACAGGUUAGUAAUAGGAACGAUGCCGAUGUCAUUGGUCAACCAGAGCUCCGAGUCUAUACUGGAUGACACACCGUUUGGCCUGCUGCUGCUUCACCUUCCACUGUUUCCCCGACACCUUCCACCUCUGCUUACUACCUUCCCCUGGGCCUACUUUAGUACCUUCUCCCUCACCUUCUGAGCCUCCUUUACCUCCCCAAACAGACUCUAUGCAUACUCGAUCCAUGACUAAGGAUUUGGCUGAGUCUACCUUGAUUCUGGCUUCUGGGCGUUCUCUUCUUUCUACUAAGCCUACCACUUUUCAUAAAGCUUUUUAGGAUGCAGAUUGGCGUGCUGCCAUGGCUGAAAAAUUUGAUGCCUUGCUGUCCAAUGCUACUUGGGACCUUGUGUGACACCUUAAUAGUCCCACAUUGGGUAGUUAUGGCUAGAUGUGGAAGUAUAUAAGCUUGAUUGGGCUAGACAUAAUAACUAAGCUUAAACAUUUUGGGCCGGUGGUUUGGGCCCAACGAGUUAUUAUUGCUAGGUAUCAAAGUCAGUUCACUAGCCGAAAGUGUGAGAUAAAGGUCAAAAUGAUAGACUAAACCGGGGAUGGUGAUUGACAAGCUAAGUCAGGAUCGGAACGACAAACGCUAGCGAGAUAAGUCUCAUAUCGCUUGGUGAUCUUGAGCUGUGAGCUGUGUGUGUUUAGGGCUGACGAGGACGUCAGGCCUAAACGGGGGGAGUCUGUGACACCCUAAUAGUCCCACCCUAGUAGUCCCGCAUCGGGUAGUUAUGGCUAGAUAUGAGAGUAUAUAAGCUUGAUUGGGCUAGACAUAAUAACUAGGCUUAAGCAUUUUGGGCUGGUGGUUUGGGCCUGACGAGUUAUCAUUGCUAACGGGUCAGGUCGUUACACUUUGUUCCUCCUCCCUCUUCCGUUGAUCUCAUUGGCUGUAGAUGGGUAUGCAAAGUAAAGCAGAAGGCGGAUGGUUCUCUUGAGCAUUUCAAAGUUCAGUUUGUGGUUCAUGGUUACAAACAGCAACAGGGUUGACUUUGAUGAGAGCUUUUCUCCGGUUGUCAAGUCAACCACUAUUCGUAUAGUUCUUUUGGUAGCUCUCUUCUCUAGGUGGUCCCUUCGCCAACUUGAUGUGAAGAAUGUCUUUCUUCAUUGAACUCUCUCUAAAGGGGUUUAUAUGACACAACCCCUCAUAUAACCCCCUGGCUUUGUGCAUCACUCUUUUCUUCAUCAUGUUUGUCACCUAUGGAAAGCAAUUUAUGGUCUAAAAUAGGCACCUCGGGCUUGGUUCCAACAGCUUCCUUUCUUUCUAAAAUUGAUUUUGUUGGAAGCACUACUAAUCUUUCGAUAUUCAUUAGUCAUUCUUCUGGCAGUCUUGUUCUUCUGUUAUAUAUUGAUGAUAUUAAUGUCACCGGCAACUCCUUUCUUUUAGAGGAUCUUAUCGUUACCUUACAACAAGUAUUUGUAAGGAAAGACCUCGGGCCACUACAUUAUUUUCUAGGUGUUGAGGUUAAUCGCUCCACUUUUGGUUUUCAUCUGACUCGGCACAAAUAUGCGCAUCAACUGCUUCAGUGACAUGGUUUUCUUGAUAGUAAGCCAGUCUCUAGUCCUUUCUGUCUGACCUCUCCUCUCUCUUCUCAUGAAGGGCGUCCACUUGAGGAUCCCUAUAGUUAUCGUCGGAUUGUUGGUGCUCUACACUAUCUCACCUUCACUGCCGUCAAUUCUGUUGCUCAAUUCCUACAUGCUUCUCGUGAACCGCACAUGCAAGCGGUCGAGUGUAUUCUACGAUAUAUUCGAGGGACGCUGACUUAUGGUAUUCCUAUCUCCCACUGCAUCAAUCCUUCUCUUGUAGGAUUUGCAGAUAAUGAUUGCGUUGGUUGUCUAGAUACACGCCGGUCUACUUUCGGAUAUUACAUAUUUCUGGGGCCCAAUCUUAUCUCCUGUUUAGCUAAGAAGCAGCCCAUUGUUUCUCGUUCCAGUGUUGAAGCAGAGUAUCGUACUGUCGCCUACGCACUUGCUGAGACUAUGGAUCUGUCAUCUACUUCGUGACCUUGGUGUUUUCUUAUGGCGCUCCAUCAACAUAUAUUGUGAUAAUCUUUGCACCACUUAUCUUGCGGCCAAUCCUAUCUUCCAUGCUCGCACUGAACACAUUUAACUUGACCAUCAAUUCUUGCGAGAAAAAGUCCAGUCCGACGAUUUGGAAUUGGUUCAUAUCUCUUCUAAUAAGCAACUUACAGACAUUUUCACCAAGCCUUUAUCACCCUCUCGAUUUUCAGUACUCCAGCUCAACUUUCGCAUUUGAUCGGUGGAUGCUUAGCUUGAUGGGGAAUGUUACGACAAGCUUAAUAUCAUUACUCUAUAUUAGGAAACUGUAUAUUACCAUCAUAUAUAGAGUUACAUAGUAUAUAAUCCCAGUUGUAUUAUUACUAUAGUCAGCAUUAUUACUACGGUAGACAUAUCUCUUGUACUAUAUAUUUACAUCAAUACAACCCAAGAAGGUAUGCUCUUUUGCACUUCUCACAGACCACCUUAUAUUCAUAAGAUGUACUUUUGUUUGAAACUGUAUAUCUUCUGAAUGGUUAAUGUAGCAGACUUUGACUUACUCCUUUUAGUGUUAUGUCCACAUGCUUUAAUUAUCUUGUUUAGAAUGUGUAUAUUUUUUUUCCGCCUUGUUUGAUGUAGACACCUUGUGUGCACCGAAGAUGCCUUGUGCACACGGCGGGUCUGUGCACGUGCCGGGUAGGCUUCCGCUGGGGCCAGGGCGUGACAGUUUGUGCACAUAACAAUCUACCUUCUCCGACAAUCCAAAUACCUCGAAAAGGGUUGCAACGGCCCUCUUAUGGCGCAUGGUGACCAUGAAAUAUAUGGGAAGGAAAGGAGGCCCAGUUGUCUCUUACUCUAUUUUGGACUAAAUUAACAAGCCCUAUUUAAAUUCUUUUUAAAACAUUUGGUAUAAAUCCAAAGAAUAAUUAAAAACUCCAUCCAAACAGUCAAAUACUGAAUCUAGAUUUUUAUCCCCAAAGUAAAACCAACUCAAUUCCGAAGUAUUUUCCACACUUUCUCCAAAUACGUACAAACAUGCCAUUAUUGGAUAUUUUCAAGUGUUUCCUCUUAAUUUUGAAAAAUAAAAUAAAAUUUCAACAAUAAUUUUGAAAAAUGUGAAGAUCAUUCAAAAUUUUGUGAAAAUUCUAAAAUUAUGUUUUGUAUGUCUUGGGCUCACUGCUAGCAAGAUAAAUUAGAGUUCUUCAAAUUUAUCUUGUAUCAGUUUUGGCAUUAGAGAGAUCCUAAUGUAUUUUUUUUUUCUAAAUUAUUACCAGGACUUCUAAAUAUGAACUUUAAUUAGAUCUUAAUCUCAUCAAGCCUCCACAAACAACCGAUUAGACAAUCUAUAGUCCACCUUCAAUGACUUACAAACCUCCAAUACCCAAAUUUCAUGGUUAACCCACUCAUCUCUACCAAGCUAUCCAAAAAUCUUCUGUUUUUGUCUCAUUUUUACACCUAUUCAAGAGCUAUCUCAACAGAUUACUGAGGUUCCUAUUAUCCUACGUCCAUUACCACCACCAAAGGAGUCUCUUCUGCUACAUAUUGUGCUUCAAAUAAACACUAGAUCGUUCUCCACCUGCACAUGAUCUUUUGACACAAUACAACAAGUUCAUUAAUCCGUCUUCUAAUGUUUUAGUAAAACUCAUAUAUGCGCUUGAAGUUCCAAAUGUCAAUUAUCUUUUUCACAACGCCACAAUUGAAAUACAACUAAUAAAGAUUGUUCGACAUGCAGGCAUUGGACUGCACUACUUUAUCUUUCCAACCAUCCAAUAUAUUCCCAUUCUAGUGUUGAUCCCAUUGAUAUCAAGGACAAGAUCCUGUGUUUUUUUGUACAUUUUUAGGAUUUUUCUACAUGGAAUAAAUCCCGAAAGCUCAGGGAUAUGGUUUUGAACUUUUACAUUAGGAUUAGAUAUAUUUGUAUUUGGAAAAUCCCAAAACUGUUGAUUUGACUUAGAGUAGGAUUGUAAAUAUCGCCUAUGGCUUGCAAUUUUAGAGAGAGAAUUACGGCAUAAUUGGUUCUUUUUUUUCUACCAGUUGGGAAGUCCUGCACCAAUUGCAGUCGUGUUAUCUCUUUUCCUUCCCCUUGUGUGCAUUGGCCAAAAAGUUGUUUUCCCUAAAGGUUCCAUCUUGUCUGUCUUUCUCACAUUUUUUUUUCCUCGUUUAUUCUUCUUUAAAAACUUCCUUCCGAAAUUACCUAGACUUUCUCAGGAAUCUUGUGAAUUUUUACCUCUUCGUUGGCGAUUUUCUAUUGUUUCUUCUUAAUUUCUAAAAGCAAAAAUUACCUCUAUACCCUUGUAAAAUUCCUAAAUUUCCUAUUUACCCUUUCUUGCAAAUAUACGCCUAAAUUUUUUUCUUUUUCAAAUACACCCUAUUUUGAGGGUUUAGAAGGAAAUAUUUGAGAACAAAUCUUUUGAAAGAUAGAUAUGAAAGUAGGUCUGUACCGAGGGAUAUAUAGAUAAUUAGCUCUUUCUUAAGGAAAGAUAAAAGUUAAAAAUAAUUUUUUAAAAAAUGUAAAAAUCAUUCAAAAUUGUGUGAAAAUUCUACAAUUUUGUUUGUAUAAAUCUUGUGCUCAUUGCUAGCAAAAGAAAUUGGAUUCCUACAUCGCCUAGACACAACCCUGAGUAGGGCGUCUGUAAGGAAGUGAAUUCUCGAAAUCCGAGAGUUGAACUUCUAUUAGAAUCGAUUUGUUGUCGACUUGGCAUGCUUCGGAAAAGCCGAAGUCAUAAAAAAUGCAAAAAGUGCAUUGUAGAAGGUCUCGGAGAGCAAACUGGUGAAAUUCUGCAUAGUUGCAGAAUUUGCUCUCGGGGACCGGUCCCUGGUGGGAGGGACCGGUUCCCGUAAGCAUGAAAGGUGGCAGAAAAUUUCUGCGCAGGAUUCUUGCUCUCGGGGACCGGUCCCUGGUGGGAGGGACCGAUCCCCGAAAAAAAUGGGCAAAGGCUAUUAACUGCAAAAAUUGCUCUCGGGGACCGAUCCCUCUAGGGGCAGACCGGUCCCCGUAGCCCGAAAUGCCCAAAGAUGAGCUGCUUCAUGAUUGUAAAGUUGAGGGGUUUUUAUGCAAUUGUUGCAUAAGUGAGAGCUAUAUAGGGGUGGAGAGCUCUUCUCCUCUCAUUUCUCUCAACCUAAAACCUAUUUCUCUCUCCCUCUCUCUCUCUAAGUGCUCUUCCUCUCUCUCUAGAAGGUGAAGAAGAAGAGGGCUUUGGUGAAGAUCAAGAUCAAGAGAAGGGAUUUCUUCUUCUCCUUCUCCCUCCUUGGCUAGUAGCAAGCUUGGAGAGGUAAGCUUCUAAGCUCAACCAUGGUGAACUUCUAGGGUUUGGGUUUUAUAUCCUAGAAUUGGUUUAGUUGGGACUCUAGUGUACCAAAUAGAUGUUCCAUGCUUGAAUCUAGGACUAGAAUCAUGGAUUUUUGCAUUGUUGAAACCUAAAAAUGGGAUUUUGGGAAAUCUAGGGUUUUGAUCUAAGUUGGUUGGUUGUAAACCUAAUUGCUAGGUAUCUAAACACGUUGGCGGCGACGGUUCGACUAUUCGUCGAGUUGGUGCGGAGAUAUCGCCAAGUGGAGGGCGUUUCGGCUUCGUUUCUACUCGGAGGGCCGAAGCGGCGCCCUAGGAGAUUUCCGAGUUCCUUUCCUUGAGUCGUUGCAUCGCCAAGAGGUGGGUGGUGACCAUCCCGAAGCAGCUAGACUGCUCCCUAUGUCUAAGUGUAUUGUUUAUCAAGUUUGCAUAUUGUGAUAUUGCAUUAUAGGGUACUUAGAUGAUUACUACUCAUCCUUGUAUGCUCCUUGGUAUAGUUGCAUAGUCGGCUUAGCACUUAAACCUAGGAUGCGUGAGAUUAGUGCAAUAAGGUUUGGAACCCUAUAAUGAGAUGAUAAGUGAUGAAUGUGCCUAUGUGGAUGAAAACCUAGUAAAGUGUAAACUAAUGUAUUGGGAUCAUGUAACAAGAACGAGUGGCAUCUAGUUAAUGUUGAACACAGGAAUGAGUGGCAUAUGAGAACCUUAGUGUAGUUGAGACACUAGGAUGCUGAGUAUAGGAAUACAUUGAUUCCAUGAUGAUGACAACCCUAGUUGGCAGGUAUCCUCAGUUGAUGAGGAUUAGAUCGUGCUCGCGUAGCCUGUUACGCUUGUAGUGGUCGCUCCACACAAGCUGUGCACUCCGGAGGUUUGGUCACACGAUAGGACGGCGGCUAGCUGUCCGCAGGCGGUCUCGGGUGAGUCAAGCGGCUGGGACUCCUCACCUAUGGGAUUAGAGACGUGAGUUGUGGGCGAGCCCUUGGGCGAGCCGAGUGAUUGGGUAAACUAAUGAACAAGUAACCUUGUUGAGCAUAGUAGUUUGGUAGUUGGCCUUUACUAUGUAGCGCAUGCAUCAUUAUCUUGGAUUGAGGCAUAGUAGGAUACUUGCAUUUUACUUACUAUGUCGUUGCUGUUUCAUACAUAUCUAUCUAUCUAUCUAUCUUCCUAUACCUGCUUAGACCUAGUUGGGAGAUCAGCGGAGUCGGCGGCCGAACCCACUGGGAACUAUGGAUAAUAGUUCUCACCCCACUCUGUUGCAGGGCCAAGCUCGAGUACCCCCGACGAGGAUCGUGGCAAGGGCUUAGCGCCCUAGGGUUGGUAGAUGCUUCCUAUUGCAUUAGUAGUCACCCUAUAUACUUGAGAGUAGAUGAUGUAUAGGUGUGAGAGAUUUUGGAAGAUUGUAAACUUUAUGUUUAUGUUUUGGAAGAAUGUAAAGUUAAUCAAAUGUAUUAAAGUUGAAUGAAUGUAAUAGUUAGUAUCUCUCUUUUGUUCACUUGUUUAUUACUUGUGAUACUUGCUCUUAGUUGUUUAGCACUGGUUGUGCUCUCGCUGUUGUUGCUUGAUUGUGUAUAUAUUCAAGAUGUUUUCCUGGGCACUUGUUGUACACAAUCUUGAUGUUUAGCCUUGGGCGGACAGGGGAGGUGCUGUCCGUCCGGCGUCUGUUCGACGCGCCCGAACCGAACCAAAUUGGUAGCGGGCUCGGGGCGUGACAGCGUCGAGACUUGAUAUUUUGUGGAUUGGCUAGGCCCUUCUUACGAGGAUUUUGUUUUGAUGGCUGAGCAUAAGAGAUGCUAGCCCUUAGGCCCUUGCGAGAAGGCUCUAGCCCUCUUCCCUUUUUCCAAGGGUCUGCCAUGGCGAAUCCUAAAGAGAUAGGCCAACAGCUAGCAUGCCACCCAUUGGAUCCUAGGGUGGCUAAGAGUUGCGUUGGGUAUUUUAGUCUUCAAAGGCUACUGGGGAGGUUAUUUUAAUUCAAAUAAUAUCUAAAAUUUUACAAUUUUAUAAUUUUUUUUUAAAAAAAUUAUAACUAUUGAUAUCUAUAAAUACUCCUACAAACUCUCCCUAUUUCACCACAACAAAAAUUUAUAUUCUUUCUUUUCUCCCAACAUUAACCUCUCUCUAACUUCAAAUCUCAAAUUGAACGCUUCCAAUUUCAUUUCACCACUACAAAAUUUUUAAAUUCUCUCUAAAUGCUCUUCCUACAAACUUUCCCCACGAGCUCUCUAAUGUUGUAUGGAAGUAAGACAAUAGGUAAUAACAAGAUUCGGCUAGAAAAGGACAACGAAUAAAGCUAGAACAAUUAGGGUUUUAAGAAAACCGCUACUUUGUAAGAUAUAUUAAAAGAAAAGAUGACAAAGAAUGGCUGUAACCGAACUUGCAGCCUUUAUAUACUAGGGUUGCAAGAUACUCAUCAAUAAUGGCCCUUGAUUAUGACUUAUCAACUAACUUUAAAUCCUAGCCAUCAACAUGUUUCAAAAAGUCACAUGACCUCUAGUUAAACAAAAGGGGUAAUUGCUUAUAUACCCCUAAAAAGUUACAAACUUUCUGAUUUACCCCUCUUAAAAGGCUAAUAUUGAAAAUUUCCUUUUUAAAUCCAACCUAUUUCAAAUAUACCUCUAGAGUCAAAUUGUGUUAAUGAACUAUUAGCAAUAGCUAUUAUCUAUAUGAAAUUACUAUUUUGCCCCUUCAAAUAUAUACUUCCACCAUCACCGACUUUUCUUAUUUGCCCUUAAGUUAGGGGCACAAAAAGUAUUUUGAUUUUGUCUUUUCAAAUAUACCCUUCUACCAUCACCAACAUUUCUUAUUUGCCCUUAAAUUAAGGGCAAAAGAGACAUUUUAAUUUUUUUUAACUCUAGUAGAUAUUUAACUCACGUUUAACCUAAGUUAACUUAAUAGGUGGUAACUGCAGGGUAUUUUGGAAUAAUGGAAAUAUGAGGGGUAUAUUGGAAAGAAAAAAAUCAGAGUAAACGAGAUAUUUCCGAAGGUAUGAGGGGUAUAUAGGCAAUUACCCCUAAAUAAAAUGAAAGUUGUAAAGUAAAAUGUGACAUCCCAAUAGUCCCACAUCAGAUAGGAAUAGAGUUGUCAUUGGGUAUAUAAGAGGACUCCACCCUAGUAAUAAUAACUGGGCUUAAGCAUUUUGGGCCAGCGGUUUUGGCCCAACGAGUUAUUAUUGCUAGCGGGUCGGGUUGUUACAUUUGGUAUCAGAGCCAGUUCACCAGCCGGAAAGUGUGAGAUGAGUCUUAGCUGAGCCAGGGUCGGAAUGACAGACGAAGGCAAGGUCGGUGAUUGACAACAGACUAAGUCAGGGUCGGAAUGACAAAGGCUAACAAGACAAGUCUUACAUCGUCUGAUGAUCUUGGGCUGUGUAUGUGUUUAGGGCUGACGAGGACGUUAGGGCCUAAACGGGGGGAGUCUGUGACACCCCAAUAGUCCCACAUCGGAUAAGAAUAGAGUUGUCAUUGGAUAUAUAAAAGGACUCCACCCUAGUAAUAAUAACUAGGCUUAAGCAUUUUGGGCCAGUGGUUUUGGCCUAACGAGUUAUUAUUGCUAGCAGGUCGGGUCGUUACAUAAAAAUACAAUAGUAAAGCUCUUGCAUCAAUCUUCCAGGCUCUCGAUCCUGGCAAAAAAAACCUUAACAACCUUAGUAAUACAUCUUUGGAUCAGUCUUCAUUACUUUCACCAUAGCCAGCUCAAAAUCCUCCAAAGUCACGUGAACUCCUGUCCCUUAGCCCAAAUAUACAUGCUUCUAUACACACUACUUUUUGUAUAUGCUAACGAUGGUAAAAUUGUUUGCCAAAAUGCACAAAAUACAAGGAAAGCGUUUAAACCGCACAUCAUAUAUUUAAGAUGAUCAAACUGGAAUCGGAAGAAUCAAACCAUUAAUCUCUCUUUCUUAAUGUAGUUGUCGAUAUCAUCGAUCGUUGUCAAGUGCAUUCCAUACAUCUUCAUAUAAGGAGAUAACUCUUUCAGAAACUUCAAAUGUUUCUCUAAAUUUUUACGUGAGAACUUUUUCGCUAACAAAAUUUGACGUGCUUUCUUUUACCAUCUUCAAUAGUGCUAACAAAAUUUGACAUAAAGGACAAGAUCGUGAUUUGGCCCAACAAGUUGCUAGUACUAGGGAGACUGGUCAUUACAAUUUAUACUUAUGUGGUACGCAACCCCAUUGUGUCCCUAGGGAUUGGAAGAGUCCUAUAUAUAAAAUAUAAUAGGACUAAACCUCUUAACCCAGCAUAACAUAUUGGGUAGUGGUUAGGCCCAAGAGGUUAAGAGGGUUAAGCGUGCUAGAACUAGAGUAGUUCUAGGAUGGGUGAUCCCCCGGGGAAGCGAGGCAUCACAGUUGGUAUUAGAGCCAAUCACUAGUAGGAACUGUGUGAUAAGUAUCGGCUAAGCCAAUUAUAUCGCGGGCAGAGCGCGAUUCUCUAGCUGAUGACUAUUCCAGGUUGAGUGCGGCUCCUCCCAAGGCCGACUAAAAGCUACCGAGACAAGUCUAACGUUGCUUGGUGCUUGUGAGUUUCUAAAAAGGCUAUAGCAUUUUUGGGCAGUUGCAAAGCCCAAAAAGGUUAAAAGAGUUAAGCGCACUAGGGCUAGAGUAGUUCUAGGAUGGGUAACCCCCUGGGAAGUGAGGCAUCACAGUUGAUAUCAGAGCCAAUUAUUAGCCAGAAAUAUGAGAUGAGUCUUGGCAGAGCCAAGUUAUACAAUAGGGAGAGCGCGGCUCUCAUGCUAAUGACUGUUGUGGACACGCACGGGUUCCUUACAAGAUCAGUUAAGAAUAGCGAGAUGAGUCCCACAUCGCUUGGAAUUUGUGAGUCUAAGCUUGACGAGGACGUCAUGACUAAAAGGAAGGGAGAAUGUGAGACCUAAGAAAUUGGAAGAGACCUAUAUAUAAGAUAGACUAAACCUAUUAACCCAACUAUAGUAUGUUCGGCGAUAGUUAGACCCAAGAGAUUAAGAGGAUUAAGCGUGCUAGAACUAGAGUAGCUCUGGGAUGGGUGACCUCCCUGGGAAGGAAGGCAUCACAGUUGGUAUUAGAUCCAACCACCAGCAGGAACUAUGUGAUAAGUCUUUGCAGAGCUAGAGUCAUAUAGCGGCAGAGUGUGGUUCUCUAGUUGUUGACUAUUGUGCGUAGAGUGCAGCUCCUCACAAGGUCGGCUAAAAGCUAGCGAGACAGGACUCACAUUUCUUGGUGCUUGUGAGUUUCUAAAAAACCCGGCUAUAGUAUUUUGAGCGAUGGCUAGGCCCAAGAGGUUAAGAGUGUUACGGGUGCUAGGGCUAGAGUAGUCCUAGGCAAAGUUUAAAGUGCCAUGGCACGGGGGCAUGCUGUUGUCUGCCCAGCACGGUACGGCACCGGCACGCUUUCGUGCUGACACAUGGUACACUUGCGUGCCGAUGGAUACGUAUGACCUCCUACUGGCACGCUUUGGCACGAACUUAUUUCAGUUUUUUUAUUCUAAUAAGCUCUUAUAAUGUUAUUUUAAAAGAUUUAAUCAAAUAAUUAUGAAUAUUUGCUAUGUAUGACUUACUAUAUUAUCAAUUAAUAUACUUGUAAGCUUUUUUGUAUGUAAAGUACAACUAUACCUGAUGCAGAUAAAAUAUUUUUAUAGAUUCGAAUUUUAAAAAUAUAAAAACAUCUUUUCUUCUUUCUUUAGACCAAAUUACAGUUUUUCUUUUAUAAAAUAGAAAAAACUAAUUUUUAAAUUAUUUUAAAAAUUAUUUUAAAAGGUAUUUGAAAAAAUUAUUUUUUAAUCAAAUUUUUUAAAAAAUUAUUAUUUCUAUCAAAAAAGUUACGCAAUAAAUUAUAUGACAAAUAAAUUAAAUAAAUCUAAGUAUGAAUUAAUUUAAUUUAACUUUUAAUUUUAUCAGUAUUUUUAAUCUUCUAAUGCAAAAAUAAAUUUUUAUGCUUGAUGUGCCUCAAGAUUUAUUUAUUGAGUUCGAUUUUGUUCCCUUAAUUUGCCAAAAAAUUCGCCCCCAGCCCACCACUGACACCCGAGGGGGGUGCGGGGUGCUUCGCCCCCUGCAGUAGGGAUCGAAUAUGUAAAUUAAAAUUUGGCUGCAUAUUGAUAAACAAAAUAAUAAAAUUAUAAUUUUUUGACUUACUUAACAAGUAGAUCUUCGAUUUGCAAUGUCGAUGUUUCUUGGUAUCCCAAAGAACAAAACAAAAAGAAAAAAAAGCAAAAAGCAAAAAAAAAAAGAAAAUAGUGUGCCAGCACGGCACAGUGCCGUGGCACUGACCUACGUAUCGCUCUAUCUCACGCGAAACACAGGUCCGUGCCACGGCACGGAGGGGGGUCUGAGACCCCUCCUGUACUGUGCCAUCUUCUUGGCGACACGAUACGUGCCGCCAGGUGCCGUUCGGCACUGAGUUGCACUUUAAACCUUGGUCCUAGGAUGGGUGACCCCCUGAAAAGUGGGGCAUCACACGCAUAUGCGGUCCAUCUAUUUAAAUAUUAAUAAAAUAUUUAUAGAUAUUAAAAAUAUAUAUAAAUACUUUUUAACAAAGAUAAAUAACUAAAAUAACAAUUCAGAAAAUUAAAAUAAUUAAUUUCAAGUAAAGGACCCCAUAUCCAGACAUGUAUUACUAAACUGACUAUUAGUAAUUUACUCGUAAUUAUUAAAUAGAGAAAUAGAUACCAUUUUGAUGCAAAAUCAUAAAAAAUGUCUAACAAAAAUUAAUGUUCUAAAAAGCGACAUGCCAAACAUUUAUGAAAAUAAUAAUUUUUUUAAUAAAUUAUCAUUAUCAUUUACAUAAUUUGAGAGAACAACACUUGAAAAAAAAAUAUAGUAUAAUAACGUCUAACGACUACAAAAUUAUUCAUCAAUAUUUAUAAAUAUAAUUAUUAGAUUGAUUAGGAAUAAUACUUACUGAAAUAAGAACAGAGAUAGUUAGAUUAUAUUUAUACAAAGAUAAUUGCAUUCAACAUUGUACUUCAAUCGCACCUAAAAAAAAAAAACUCUACCACAUAUGCAAGCCACAUAUGCGGCCGAAUAUGGGCCACAACUAUAGUUCGGACUAUAACUAUACCGCAUAUAUACGGCCGCAUGGACCACUUGGGAACAUUGGAUAAGAGAAUGUACAUGGCAUUCACGGUGUCAUGGCAAUUGCCUCCGAAAGCUUAGACAAAUCAUAACAGUAAUUUUAUAUUUCCUUAAUAUUUCGUAAAAAUAAGCUCAACGGCUCAUUGAGAAUUAAGAGGGAAUAUCCACUUACUCGAUAUAGAUUAGUUGUGUUUAUGCUAACUAACCAUAAAAAAGAACAUGUUAAGCUAUGAACAUUCUUAAAGCCAAGAAUAGAAACAACAUUGGGGGAUGAUUUUCUCCAAAAUUCUUUAAUAGCAUAUAUUAAAAGUAAAUUAGUCAAGAAGCUUUCUAUCUAUUCAAUCAAAAUAGAUUACACAACUUACAGAACAACAAGAAUUAUUUUGAACCUUUGAUGGAAUAAAAGGGCCAAUAUAUAUCAUGAAUAUCUGUUUUAAUAUGUUUAAUCAAGUUAUUUAAUAUUGAGGAAAUGCCAAAUCUAAUAUUUUGCAAAUUAGUUUGCUAGCUUCUGAAUUUUUUUCUUGGGAUCCCUUGUUAUGAAUCUUUAGCAUAGCCCUUAGUUAGAUACAUAGACAAUAUCGAUUGGUUGUGUUUAUGCUAACUAACCGAAAAAAAAAAAAAAAAAAAAAAAAAAAAAAAAAAAAAAAAAAAAAAAAAAAACAUGUUAAGCUAUGAACAUUCUUAAAGCCAGGAAUAGAAACAACAUUGGGGGAUGAUUUUCUCUAAAUUCUUUAAUGGCACAUAUUAAGAGAAAAUUACUCAAGAAGCUUUCUAUCUAUUCAAUCAAAAUAGAUUACGCAACUUAAAGAACAACAAGCAUUAUUUUGAACCUUUGAUGGAAUAAAAGGACCAAUAUAUAUCAUGAAUAUCUGUUUUAAUAUGUUUAAUCAAGUUGUUUAAUAUUGAGGAAAUACCAAACCUAAUAUUUUGCAAAUUAGUUUGCUAGCUUCUGAAUUUUUUUCUUGGGAUCCCUUGUUAUGAAUCGUUAGCAUAGCCCUUAGUUAGAUACAUAGACAUUCAUAUAGCUUCCUAUAUUGAGUAAUAGCUUGUAAUUAAUUUGCUCAAACACAAAAAUUCAUAUAUGCACCUAACUACAACAUACAAACAUCAGUUUACCAUAUAAUUCUCAAGAUGCAUCUAAUUAUACUAAAGAAAAGUUCUUAAUACCUGUUGUUCCCCGAUUCUUCUUUGAUGUACUAGCACCAACCUACCAAUUAAGAGAAAAUAUCAAUAUUCCCAUCAAUUAUAGCAUAUAACAAAUAUACAACUAAAAAUGAUUUAUAAGAUGCAAUCAUUAAAUGCACUUUUCAAACAUAUACCAUCCAUUAAUAGCAUGAAACAAAAUCUCGAUGCUGUUUUAAAUUGAUUAAUUCGACAUACAAAAAGAAAAACAAACGAGUACUCCAAAAUAAAUGACUAGUAAAUAUUCCUGUAGAUCUUUAGAGCCAUUACAAAAAUGAUAACAACAAUUUGUUUGAUUAAUAAAUGUUAUAAAAAUUUCAUCAACAAGCUCCAGGAGUUGAUGCUGGAGAAGAAAACAAGUGGAAAUAAAUGUAGUUCUAGCAAGGCAGCUCUUAGUCUUAAUAUGAUUCGUCAAAACAAACUUCUGCCUAGCUAUUAAUAUUUUCUUCAUUAUGAGUAGGGCUACUGUGCUAUUAGGAGCACAGCAGCCCUUGUGCUCCUAACUUUCUAACCACCCAUCAAGUUUGAUGGGUGGUUAGAAUGAGAGAGGGAAGACAUAUUGUGUACACUGGGGAUGCCUUGUGCAUAGGGCGGGUCUGUGCACGUGCCGGAUAGGCUUCCGCUGAGGCUCGGGCGUGACACUAACAAUGGUUAGAAUUGAGAAGAACAACAGCAGGAAAAGCAACAGGGUAGUGGCAGCAAGAGGAAGGCACAGAGGAGAAAAAAAAACCAAUCCCAUACAGCAGGAGCAGAAGAGAAAGAGCCAAUCCAGGAUGAGCAAAGAGGAGAGAAAGGCCUAAUCCAAAGCCGGAGGAGAAAAUUGCCAAGCAAGAACAACACGAAGAGGGGAGGAACUCCAAGGGAAAAAUUACAAUAUCAUACAUCAAAUUCCCCCAAACCAGUAAAAAGAUUUUAAUAGAACUCUCAAACAAAUAGUCCGACCAGAAGUUCAAUAGGAAAUAGGUUUAGGUUUUAAUAGAUUAUAAGUAUUAAUUCAACCUAAUCAAAUUUGAACCAAAAGUCCAGAAAGGUAGAAACUAACCCAAAAUAGAAAUAAGCUGACCGUACAAUUAAGGGUUAUCUCGAACCGUAUUCAAAUCCCUUCCCAAAACCGAUAAAAACCAACAAUUAGAACCCAAAUAAUUUUGAAGAAUAUAGAAAUCUUCUCAGAAUCCUUGAGCACCAUCUAAAAACAACUAAGCAAUCAAAAUUACAACAAAAGUUCAUAUACAAAAAUUAAAACUAAAAAAACUAAAAUAAAUAGGAUAAGGCUCAUCCUUGAACUGUAUCAAAUAAGUGGUAUCAGAACAAUUUGUGAAUUCUGGGGCUAUGUUUCAUCAUGGUUACCUAAUUCAUAAAACAUCAUUUAAAUUUCGAAUCGGACCAUGCGAUCCAAUUUGUGCAUCACUAGUGAAUUGGAUUGACAUAACAAGGAUCCUAUCCUAACCCAUCUAAUCUGUACUGGUAUCAUAUCGAGAGUAAUACACAAAUAAAUUAUGUAUCUAUGUAUUGCAUUUAGGUAUUCAGUACUUUAAUUUAUUUGCAUUUUGUGUUUCCAGUAAAUGUUUUCUAUUCCUAUAAAAUGUGUUGAUGAAGACUACUGUAGUAUACUGAGCUUUGCAAAUUGCUAAAGUCCAGUGUAAAAUGACUUAUGGUGCCAUUAGAGAGAUUUUGGGAGAGUUUGAGAUGAGUUGGAACUGUUUUGGGGCGAAAACGACACGAAAAAUAAGUUCUGGAACCAACCUGCAAUUUGGGCCAAAUUCCGUUUCAGUACUGGGGCCAAAUUCCGUUUCAGUACCGGUACUGAAACUCUAAGUACUGACACUCAACAGAAGUUCUCGCAGGGGAACGUUCGGGUUUUGCAAAACUCGGGUUGGAUACUAGUAACGGCUACCGUGUUCUGACACUCGAGAGGGAGGACGGUACACUUUGAACUGAUUUCGCUGUUGCACUACCAUGCUCCGAGACCGCUACCAAUUUGGUCCAGUCCGGGCGCGUCGAACAGACGCCGAAAGGACAGGACCUCUCCUGCCCGCCCAAGGCCAACCAACAGAUCAUGUAUAAGAAUUUACCCACUCGAGAGCACCGAAAUAAUAUCUCCACGAGAAUUAAGGGAGGUUAUGGUAACCGCGAGCGGUUGCAAGCAGUUCCGAUCGGCUGAAGAUGGCCCGAGGAAACAAGGAUAGUGGCCGAUCAUGGAUCAUGGAUGGAAAUAACUGAUCAAUAGGGGCAAUAUAAAAAGGUCAAUAACGCCCUAGAAAGGGGGUCUUUUCCCUGUGAACAAAAGACCACCAUUAUUUCCUUGCAAUUUCCUGCAUUUUUUAGGAGUAGUCUACUUGUAACUUUUACUUUCCCGCAUUUACUGUUUUUUCCUAGGAGUAGUUCCUAAGUAGAUCAACCGAGUCUGUAUGCGCCAUCCGGCACACUCAAUCCUUGUACUUUUCCUCAAUAUUAAUUUCCAAGGCUUUCGGCUUUUCAAGCAGACCAACUGAUGUGUUUCUUCUAUUCGGCUCAUCUACCGAGUCAAAUCUGUAGCCGGUCCGUACAUUCGGCUCAUUCCAGCUCAACCGAAUAUUUAAUAGAGUUUUUCGAACUCAGCUGAUUCGAUCCCUCGUCAACCGAAUCACUUGAUCCAGUCGAAGGGCGCAAACUUCGAGGGUCAUUAUUCGAAGCCGUUUUUCACCCCGACACGCUCCCCGAGGAGGAUCUUUGACUAGAUCAAAGGUCAGGGAAUUCAGCACGCAACAUACUGCACGCAAGUCAAGCUCCUGUUUGGAUGCGUGGACAUGUUAAUCGGCAUGUCUCUUUGAUUUUCUUCAAAAGAUUGUUGUUAUAUUUGAUAGAUAAGAAGUGCGAUCAAAUGCCUACAAUAAAACACCAUAUUUGGCCAUGAAUGUCCUUUUCCAGAAUAAGGUAAGUCACCUCGCAAGUGAAAUAUAUUAUGCAACCAAAUCAUACAUGCCACACGACGACACUCGAAAGAAGCAAAUAUCAAGUACCUAACUUUUAAUUGCACAAUAAAAUCUUCAUACCAAAUAAGUUAGUACCUAAUUCUGAAUUAUUAUCUAAACAAAGGCCCGAAUCAUACCUCGACGUUGAUUGCCUCGUCCUUCUCGUCACUUGUCUCGGCCCGUCUGCUCCAAACCAACUUGAAUAUGGCCAGAAUAAGAUCCUGGGGAAAGAAACCCGAUUAGGAGAAUCAAUCGAUGGGCGAUGAUCAAUCUGUGAAAUUCUAGAGCAACAGGACGAUGGAAGAGGGAUUUGACCACUCACGGUAUCGAAGGUUUCAUCCGUCAUGACUCCACGGCGAGCGGAGGAACGGCGAUCCGGAGUGAGAGAUUGGUUAGUGCGAGAAAAAUGGUGGGACUGGGAAAAGGAGGGGUUUCCCGCGGUCGCUUGCUUCUGGCCGUCCCGAACGGCCGGAACUGGGCCUUGCAAUCUAGAUAUAGGCCGACCCGCCGAACCGAUGCGACACACUUUGGGCUGCAUAAUGGGCCGACCGAAUUUUAUAACUCAAUUAUUAAUUUUGAUAAUAAUGUUUUUAUUAGAUUAGAUUAGAUUAGCUAGUCAAUAUACGAAAUCAUCAGAUUUUAUUUGAUGAUUUAGCUCUAAUGGUACUAAAAUAGAUGAAACUAGAUGAAAUAUGUGUGAAGUAGAAUAGAUUCGAUAAGAUUAGAUUUUAUGAGUUUGUUUAAUCUCAUAUCAGCGUGUUUGGUUUGGAUUAUCCUGCCAGAAUUACAAACAAUUUUGCAAACAUUACUGCGUUUUGUUCAUUCAAUCUAUAAUCUGAUCGAUAAUAUACAAAUGGUGUACGAUUACUACAAAAAUAUUACCGAGCAGGGGUGGAUGUCUCAUAUUACUGAUAGCGGUUUAUCUUGUAUGUCAUGUAAAAUUACAAGUCUACCCCUCCAACCCCUCCACACCCUUUAAAUGUGUCAUUUUUAAAAUUUUUAUUUAAAAUUUUCAAUUAUCAAAUUUUUAAUUUUUAUUUAUAAUUUAAAUUUAGAUUUUCAAAUUUUUAAUUUUUUUAAUUUUUUUAAAUUUUAAAUUUAAAUUUUUGAAUUUUUAAAUUUUAAAUUCUAAAUUGUAGAAUUUUAAAUUUUAAAUUUUAAAUUUCAUAUUUAUAUUUUAAAUUAGAAUAUUAAAUUUUAUAUCUUUGUUCAGAUUUUAAAUUUUAAAUUUUAAAUUUUGAGUUUUAAAUUUUAAAUUUCAAAUUUAAAUUCAAAUUCAAAUUUUAAAUUAUUUAAAAUAAACUUUUGUAAAAAAAUUAUUACUUGCAAAUAGUAAAAUUUUUUUUUUACCAAAUAGGACUAAGGUCAAUUUUGAAAUAGACUAUAUUUUAUUAUCAGGAUUACUGAAUUUUAUAAAAUGAAACCAAAUCUAGUAAUUCUAUAUCCACUGUGUGCCAGACCCCGCCAUAAUGUCCUACAACAUAUGAGGCGUCUACAGAAAAGCGGAAAGUAAGCAAGAGAUGGCAACAAAUAAAGAGAAGGCUGAAAUAACAGCCAACUAAACCGAUAUCAGGCGGUAAAGUUCUAACAUCUAUUCUAAAUAGUAAUUAGAACAACUAAAACAUAAAAGUUAAACAUUAAAUUACUUACGUAUCAGCCUCUAAUACAAAAAUGGUGGUCUCUAGUAACACCGGUUUAAAACUCGUCACCUCUCCAAAAAGUACAACGAGAAGGUAGACCAACUAGCAAAAUCGUCUUCGGAAGGAAGCUGCCGAAGCCAAUCGCCUUCCCGCCGGUCCCUGGCCUCACCCUGAGUGUAAGGCUCUGGAAAAACAUCGAUAAAAGAGGGGUGAGAACUAUGAUAUUAUAGUUCCAGUGCGUUCAAUUACUGACCUCAGCUCAGUGCACCACUAGCCCAAAGAAAAGGGUUAAGCUCUAAAAAAUAAGAGUAAUGAGUAAAUUGCUACUAGAAAGCAGUAAUAAUUAGGAUGCUAGCUACAACUUGCAAUUAAAACAUGCAUUCCUAAUGCCGAACUUAUCUUGUCAUGGAUAUAUUAUAUAUAUAUUCACAAGUAUAUCAUGCUUUUACUUAAUACGAUAUGAAAGUAAUACUUGGUAUACUACAAUGCAUAUAAGGAUGACAAUAAACAGAACAUUAUCUAGCAUACUACAUGUAUGUAUGAAUUACCCAAAUGAGCCACAACUAUGCUAGAAGGUAAGUCCAAGUAAUCCUACUACUACUCUCGACUAGUAGUGUUCAUAAAUAAACUCAACAUCGUAGUCAAUUUUCAUUUCCAAUUAGGACCUUACCAGAAGGUAGUCCAGCUUGUGCCGCACUAAGUGCCUGUGGUAGCCCGACAUUCCUACUCUUGGAAUGUGUCGUGUCCCACUCGACCCCGUAGGCUUCUCAAUACCGCACGAAGCGAACAUACGUCCAUAGGCUAACUCCGGAGAUGCCGGCUUGUCAGGAGCGACCCUCACAAGCAUGUGCGAAUGAGGCACAAAUGGCAAGCAAGCAAGGUCAAAGUCUCACUAGUACCUACUUUCGUGCCUCUCACAUGGCAAUGCCACUAAUGCAUCCCAAGGAUCUAGUCCAGGAGUUCUCAAGUGAGUACCCAAACACUUCACUUGCUUAGUGCUCUUUAUGACACUUUUUUUUUCUUGGGCAAGCAUCACCACUGAUCAAGCAAGGGGGCUCGGAUUCUUGUUCUUAUGUUUCAUUUAAAUUUAAUACUUAAUGAUAUUAUAGCCGGGCCCAAUGCCUCUUUGACAUUGGCCCAAUUCCUAAAUAGUCCAAGUUCUCGAAGCCCUCUCUAGGCUUUAAAUUUCUAAUGUUCCCAAUUGGUCAUAUAGGUUAUAAUGCAAGAGGCAAAAGAUCCGUUUCAUAAGGGUCAUGGUUUCCCAAUAUAACUAGGAAUGCUAAGUCUCACAAUACAUGCACUCUACCACAUAGGGGUCUAAAAUUUCACCAUAUACAUAUGUGUUAUAUGCAUGUUAAGCAUUUCUAAAAUUCAUAUUAAAUACAUUUUACACAUGGAAAUGCGAUGAAUUAUCCUAUUUUACGAAACAUAUUUGCCAAUAUGAGCAUUUCUGCAUCUUAUAUAGGCUAGGGUUUCAAACCACCGAACCGUCGCGUAGGGUCUCGAUUUGCCGAACAAGUUGUCCACGAGUCUCACAAUACCCUAAAAAGUCGAUCAGCCGAAGAGAUACGAGGGCAUUACGACAACGUCUAAGUCAGAAAUUAACCUAGGAGCAAAAAGAGUCAAACUUUUACCUCAAGAGUAGAAAUACUCUUCCAAAAGCUCCAAACAGAGAGCUUAGAACCCUUCCAAUCCAAGCACCUAAGGAGGUUCUAAUCGCAAUACAAUCAAGCCUCAAAAGCCCUAGGUUCAAAAAGCCCAAAUCCAACCCUAAAUCCCAAAAUUAGGGUUUCAUAUGGUAAAACCUACCAAAUCAAGGAUCAAAGGGUAGAAUCCAAGACUUAACCUCCCAAGAUGCCUCCAAACAAGCUCCAAAUCUUUCUAGGGUGUGAGAUUGGAUCCACCACCAAGCCCUACAAGGCAAAGCCUCCAAAGCCUCCAAAGUGGAAAAAGAGAGAAAGGUGGUUUUGAGCUCCAAGCUCCCUCAACCUAGCUCCUCUUCUUCUCUCCUCCAUUAUCUUCUUGCUUCUCUCUCUUAGAAAGUGUUGGGAGCGGGAGUGAGAGUGAGGGAAAUGAGAGAGGGGAAGAGGAGGAAUGGCUAAAUAGCCAUCCAUGUAACAAAUCCGACAUAGGCCCUCCAAAAAUCCAAUAUAUGAUCAGCCCGGUCUGGCAGGGUUUUCGCCCAGAGGUACGGUCUUCUCACCAGCAGGGACCUAGUCUUCUCGCCUGCGAACCCGAAAAACCAUCGUCUCGGGAACGGCUCUCCCUGCGCGGACCGGUCUAUCACUGCGGAAGACGCGUUCGGGAACCGGUUCUCGCCUGCAGGGACCGGUUGCCUCAGCUGCCUUCAACACUGUUCAUGUUGGGGGACCGGUCUCUCUGUUUCAUUGGACCGGUCCCGAGCAGUUAAAAACUCUCGGAUUGUCCAGAUUUCCAGUUUCGAAACUUUUUAGGUCGUGGAGAUACUUCUACACCUCCACCAAGUGUUGAAAAGCUCGAAAUAGCAUCUAAAACACUCGACUCGCACAUUUGCAAAGGUCAGUGCGCUUACAUGGUUUGUCUUCAAGGACUCCUCCUGGAAACCACCAGAAUUGAAAUGGCUGGUGUCUUUAACGGAGAAUCGAACUUUAUUAGAUAUUGGUUCGAUCCAUGAUUGAGCUUUACAGACUUUCCUAUAUCGUUUUGGGGUUACGCACUUCUUCGGCUAUUUAUAUUCUAAACAUUGCCUUCCAAAUCGGGCGUUUCUUUUUCGACCACACUGUUGAGUCUUGUGACAUGGUAGACAGCCCAAGUUUUCUUCAUAUUAAAACUUUGGGGGUGUCCAGCUUACUACUAUUAAGAAAAUUAAAGAGCGAGACAAGUUGGAAAGCAGCAUCAGUCAAGGGUAGAUUCAUUUGGGAUUAUCCCAAGAAUCACUAUGGAUAUAUUUUUAUCUCCGGAGAAGGCCAUAAUGUGAUGGGAGCGGUCAUGCCUUUUUCUUUCUUGAAGUAAUUUUAAUUUUGGCUGAGGGCAAGUCGUGAAGAAAAAAAUAGAACUAGAAAGAAAGUCUCUUUAGAAUCAAAUAUUCCAAGAGCCCGUUCGCCAUGAUAACUUCUGUGACAACUUGAAGGUUAAUAACCGCCACCUCGCAAGUCUGAGUAGGUCUCCCGUCCCCUGAUAGAUACAUGGGAUUAAGUAUUUAUAGAGGUGAUGGAGUAUAUGUUCCUAAUGGGAGAUAAGGACCAUAGAAUGAUCCUAAGGACAUGUAUUAGCGAGGCGAUGUCAGACAUCGACUCCGAUAAUGGUGGAAGCAAUUUGAAGUCCGAAAUGGACUCAAUGUACCUCCAAUCAAGUAUGGACUUUGGUUGAUCCACCGGAGGCGUAUUUGUACUAUUGGAGUGUAAAUGGAUCUUUAGAGAAGAUUGGUUCUUGAUGGAAGGUAGAGACCUAUAAAGCUAUGGCUUAGUAGCCAAAGGUUAUAGUCAACGCGAAGGCAGUUUGACUAUCAGAGGAAUACCUUCGUUCACCCGUUAGCUAUGCUUUUAAGUCUAUCAGAAACUCUCGCUUACUAUUGCUCACUCACUGUAUUGACUAUGAGAUUGGGCAAAUGGAUGUGAAAAACUUGCCAUUCCUAAUGGACUAUCUGAAGAAGAUUUAUUAUGGAGCAGCCUUUGGUUUCACUUCCAAAGAUGAGGUCAUAAGGGUGGUGCAAGCUUCAACGAUCCAUUAUGGAUUGAGCUAAGCUUCUCGGAGUUUGGAACACUCGUUUCAAUUGAUGCAAUUCGAAUCGUGCCAAUUUCAUCAGAAAUGAGAAGAGCAGCUGUUGUGAUAGUUAAAAAGAUUAGUGGGAGUGCUGUUACUUUUUUCGUACUGUCACGGUGGAUGACAUACUCCUGAUUAGGGAAUGAUAUUCCUAUGGCUAACAUCGGUCAAGGUUAUGGUAUAUCUUAAAGAGUUUUCUAUGAAAGACCUUGGAGAAGCAUCUUAUAUUCUAGCGGAUAAAGGUCUAUAGGAUUAGACCUAAGAAGUAUGCUUGUUUAUCGCAAGCCUAUGCUACAUAGAUGAAGUGCUGUGAAAAGGUUUCAGCGAUGGAGAUCCAAAAGGAGGCUGUAUGGUACUCUAAGACAUGGAAUUUCAACCUCUCUAAGAAUAUGUCUCCUAAGGACACUUUAAGAGAGAAGUCACCAUGAGCAUGUAUCCCUUUUGCUUCAGCAAUAGGGAGCUUAAUAUUAUCGAGUGCUAUGUACUCGACCUGAUUAUAGACACAGGCUGUCUGGAGUGUCAACGAGCCAGAUAUCAGAUCGAACACAGGACAGGAACAUGGUUAGCGGUUUAAAUGAAAUAUCCUAAGUACUUGGAGAAGAACAAAGGUAUAUGUCCUGGUUUUUGGAUGAGGAGAACUCAAAUUUAAUGGCUAUGCGGUAUUGCGAACUUAUGUUUGAUAUAGAUCGAUAGAAAGUCUACGUCUGUGUAUCUGUUUAUUUGCAAUGGUGGCGUCAUAGUUUGGAAAAGUUGCAAGCACGAGACGAUUGCAGAUAAAUCUAACUAAUUGGGAAGCGGAUUUACAUCGUGCAUCUUAAGUGCAAGAAGCUGUUUGAUCAAGAAAUUGUCACUGAGCUUGGGUGGUUCCUUCAGUAAGGAUCCCAUGCACCUUACUUGUGAUAAUAAUGGCGCGCGUAGCAUUAGCUAGACCAGGGUCUCAUCAGAAAUCAAGCACACUUGAGCGGCUGGUAUCCAAGAUCUAGAGAGCACAUCUAAGGAUAAUUAUUAAAGUAUAGAAGGUUGCCUCGAGGAUAACUGGCGGUCUUUGACUCGAGCAGAAAAACUUAGACUCUCUGAAGAAGAAUGGGCAUAAGUACGAUGAGUGGAUUGGCUUUAGUGCAAGUGGUGAGAGAUUGUUAUGUAUACCCUAGAGCUCCUAUCAGUGCUGACGCAUUUUAUUUUCAUAUGGGACAUAUAUUGUGUACUUAAUCUUUAUUAUUUAUAUAUUGGGCCUUUUAUCAUUCAUGUUAAAUGUUCCAUAAAUCGUCGCUUUUGAUUAUCUAAGAGAUAAUAUGAAUUCUCAAGAGUUUUGAGAAUUUGGAUACUAUUAUUAAUGAUUAAUUCAUAAAAUGCUCUCAAUCGGAGGAUCAUCAUGGGGACGAAUGAUUGAUCCGUGUAAGAUUGAUGUGUUGUGCCGCUUCCCUUUGGGUAAGAAUCUCGAGUCAUCAGUGUGGGGACACAUGGAUGCGAACAAUGCAGAGUGGCGUUGUUGGACAACGGUUACUGAGCGUGACCAUCACGAACAUUACAUGGAUGCUCUACUCAUUGUCAGUUAACUGGUUCGACUGUUGCAAGUGUUACAACUGAUCCUUAGACCUAUGCGACACCACGGUCAUUCAAUAUUUGAGGCUUACUGUAGUGGUUGACUUGCAACCAAAGCUCUGAUCCUAUCCAUGGUUUCUUGAGUAGUAUAUGUUUGCUACAGUGUCGGAAUUCAUAUCAGGAAUGGAGUGUGCUGUUUAUAGGGGAUCUCGCUCUCGGUAGAGAGAUAAUUAGUUCUAUGCCUAUUUGUACGGGCAAAGCUUAUAAAGGUCCUCGGCCGGGGGUAAAUAUGGUUGUAUGGAAGAUGUUUCAAGAGUAACCAUAAAGAGCUUUAUGUCUGAUCAAAUUUCUUCAUAUGACGAUGGUGAUGGGGUUUGACGAAUAUUCACAUGACUCCACUCAGUUGGGACUAUGCGAUAGAAAGGAUUGUAUUGCUUUUACGAUUUUUAAAAAAAAAAAAAAAUUCAUGCACUAGAGGUUUCAGUGUCAUAUUCACUUCUGACUGCGAAUUUGCCGACUACAUACUGCUUAGGCGGUCACUGGAUGGAUUGUGGGAACCCAAUAGAAAUAAUGUAUUAACAAUUAAUAUUCUAUUGGGUAGAGUGUCAAAGGAGUUUGAGCAUCGGAAAGGAGUUUCGAUGAUGAUUGUAGAUGCGAGAUCGCUCAUAUCUCAACUACAGACAAAAUUGAACUAUUAGGUCACACCAUAAGACAAGUCGCGCAUGAUCGAUAUUUAGGAAAUGAUAAAAGAAGUUUAUCAGAUGGUAUUAAUUACAUUUAAUUAUAGUUAAAUACUUAAAGUUUACUUAUUUAUUAGUUAAAAAGGACUAAUUUGCCAAUUGUUCGUAAAUUAGGAGGUAUUUAUCGUGUAAAAUUGCAUGGUGUAUUACUAAUCGUUAGUAAAUAAAUAUGAGGACUUAUGGUGUAAAUGUUACACACGAAGUCGAAUUUAGAAUUUAUGGAUUCGGAAUUCGUUAAAUAUCAUAAACAAACUUGCGGUCUCCAGUUGAUGGAUUAAUCAAAUCGGAAUAGGAUUUCGGAUACAACAACUGGGGAAAAUCCCCCGAAGUCCAAGGAAUGAUCGGGUACAACAACUCGUGGUCCCGGGAUGCAACAAGAUACAAGUGGAAAUGCCAUCUGACUGGCAAACAUCGAUCUAUGAAUGAAUGCGACUGCACCGCGUAUGCAAACAAAGCUCGAACUCUAAUACAUAAUAGUUAAAAUGAUACCUGCGACCACAUCUCAGCUGCUGGCCGCCUACUCAGUCUGGGCGCAUACGAUGCGCCACUGUGGCCUGUCGUGACCCCCCGUCUGAUCGCUGAACAGGUGCCGUCGCUGCCUGAUGAUGCGUAAAGAUAUGUCCUCUGACUGCUGGAGCCUGGCGCGAUUGCUGGUGCAGAUGCGAAUGGAUGGGCUUGGCAAUGCGACUCCUCGGGCAGUCGGACUGGAAGUGGCCCUCCUUAGGCCAACAAAGAAAGCACCUACCCGGCCUGGAGUGUGAACACUGUCGAGGUAAUGGCGACCACCACAGAUCACGCAGCGGGAGCCUACUGAUGACAAUCGUGUCCUCGCUCGCUGAGUAGGACUGGCCACGUUCCUCCGCGACGAGCUCCGGCUUCUGGGGAUGCUCGGUGGCCUCCGUCGAGUGCGUCUGGCUUUCCACCUCAGCCGCGGGGCUCUUGCCCUUCCCUUUCUCCAACUCUCACGUACGCUCCUGCCAAAUCUUUAAUUUACGCCGCUUCUGCCUCCACUAUCAUAAGCUCGAUCCACAAUCUUUUUUUUUUUUUUGAUUUUUUUUUUUUUUUUUUUUAUCCCGAUAUGUCUCGCGGGUUGGAAGACGUGCACCAACCGAAGAUUGAGGCGCAACCGCUGCUAAAAAAUGCUGGCCUUAGGUCUCGUCAUCCGUCACAACAAACGGCAACAGUGUAAUAUCCGGGCAGAACCCCUCUCAUACUCGGACUGACCACUCGUCCUUGCCGCAAGACUGCGCAAAUCCCUGCUCAUCUUCCUCUUAACGCUGGUCGAAAAGUUGGUGCGCCAGAAGAAGCCUUCCUGAAUCGAAGUCACAGUAAUCGCCUGCCAUCUGGUGUUGGGGUUGUCUGAUAUCCAACACCAACGUAGGCCUUCGCCGUCAAGAAAGUGAGUGUGCGAGCCAAACUCCUGUCGUCCUCCACAAAGGCUGUCUCAAAAGCUGUCUCCAUGUGCCUAUCAAACCACUUUCAACAUCAGGUGUGUCGAUGCUCUCGGCCUCGAUCAAAACGUCUCGGGCUGACCUGCCUGAACUCACCUUGAGGCGAAUCCAUGAGCCGUCCCGCUCAUGCUCCCUCAAGCCAUUUACACGGCGAAAUGCCGCCCUUGUCGCUAGGUCUCUGAACCAAGUUAGUGCCGCAGCUACCUCUCCCGGAGGUGUGGGUCACCGGUGCCGCACGUGAAGAACUGGGGCAGGGACUGCUGCCCUCAGUGCGGACGUCCACCGGGGUGUUGCGGUGGGACCUGGGUCAUCCCUCGAAGCUGCUGCCUGCCUGAAGUAGAAGGCUCCUCCAGAAUGCUUUCAAUCCGCCGCCCUUCCUGCCGCUGAGCACUCAGUCCUGUCAGCUGCGCCCUGCCGUCUCUGAGCUCAAAGAUCGGUGAGAACCGCAAGCUGGGCCCUCCAAGUCACGGACUCACUGGAUCGGAAGUAGCGGAGGUCAUCGACCUCUCCGGGGUGUGCCGCAAUCAUCGCCCCCGGCUUCAGACUGGGAGCGGUGUAGACCGCAUCGUUACUAUCAAACUAAGACGCAAGUAUAGUAACCCACGCUAUAUGCACCCCGCUCAAAUAGAUAAAACCCCAAAUCAUGCCCGAAAGUAAGGAAGUGUCCUUACACAUACUAACACCCGAUGUUACGUUGUCUGCCGCCAACGUAACCCUCCGCGCGAAGUUAGAAGCCAUACACUACCGAUCAAAAGUCUAACUUUUUCAGAGUUUCAUAAACCCAAUACGAAAUACUCUUUCGCUCAACAAGUCAAUUAAACCUCGUCUCUCACGGGCCUAAUUCUAUAGUCCAACCGGCCUCCUUAAGGGUUGCAAGCGAUCCACUAAGACUCAACCCUAGGCUCUAUACCAAAUUAAUCUGUCACCCCAGGAACCGGAGGCCUCCCGGUAGCGCGCCAGACUCGCAUAUGUCUACACAUAAUAAGAGCGUCUUACGAUAAAAUGCGAAGUAAACAAGAGGUAGAAUAAUAGAAUUGAUAGCACGUAAUGAUAUCAGAUGCAACGUAAAGUUCUAUCAUCUAACCCAGAGUAAAAGAAACAUAUCUAACAAUAACAAGUAUAACCAUAAGGCAAUACACAUAUCCUGUCUCAAAGUUGUACACAAAAGGGGGGUCUCUAGUACACUGGGCUAGAGCUUCACCUCUCCAAAAAGAAAUACAUCGAGAUGUAGGGACACCGUAAAACUCGCUCCACGUCGCUGAAGGCUAACUCGAAGCAGCGGCUCUCCACGUCCCUGCCUCUUCCGGGUGGAAGGCUGCUGAAAGAAAUCCAUUGAAACAGAGGCGCUUCUGAGAACUAUAAUUUAUAGUUCCAGUGGGCAUAUUACAUGACCUCAGUUCAAUGCACCACUAGCCCCCAAAGGUAAAGGUCGUAGUCGAAGCAAUAGUAAUAACCGAGUUAUUUGCAUUUACUGAAAAGCAUAAUGAAAAUGCUAAAUAUUUACUUGCAUUAAACAUAGCAAUUUAUGUAAUGCACAAUAUUUUUGUCAUUGAAGGUAUGCUCUCUACUUAGCCAUAAAUAAUGUACAUCGUAUUGCUUAAUGAAAUUAUGAGAUUAUACUUCAUAUCAUAGCAACAUUGUAUAUAUGAUGAAAUAAGCAAUGUCUCCUAGCAUAUACAUGUAUGUAUGUAUAUCUAAAAUGUCCAACUUUAUGCAGAAGCAGUCGAGUAAUCCAACUAUCUACUCUCUAUCUAGUAGUGAUUUAUAACAAACUCAUCCCGUUGUCGAUUUCCAUUUCCAAUUAAGGGCCUACCCAAGGUAGUCCAGCUUGUGCCGCCUAAGUGCUGUGUAGCCCAACAUCCCUACUCUUGGAAUGUGUCUGUCCACUCGAUCCCGUAGGCUUCUCAAUACCGCACGAGCGAGACUAGUCGCGUUAGCUGACUCCGGGGUGCCGGUUUUAGGAGCGACCCUCACAAGCAUGUGCGAAUGAGCACAAAUUGGCAAACAAGCAAGGUCAAUGUCUCAAAAUAUCCAAUCAUCAUAUCAUCUAACAUGCAAUAAUCACUAGCAUCCUCGAAGAUCUAGUUCUAUGUCACAAUGUGAAAUUUCUCAUAUUUACUAAGUCUAGUGCCCCUUUAUGACACUUAGACAUUUUGAUGUACAAGCAUAUCCAACUCUCUCAGGUGGCACUAUCCACAUAGGUACAACAUAACCCGAGCUCAAUGCCCUUAAUGACAUUAGCCAAUUAUUCACAAGUUAGUACAAGAUCCCCCGGCCUCUGUAUGGCCUUACUAAGGUUCUGAUGUCACGGAUUAGGCAUAAGAGUUAAUACAUAAUAGCAAUGUCCAAUUGCAUAAUGGGAAUCAUAAUUCCAAAUCUCAACUAGGGAUGCUAUUAUCUCACGAUGCAUGCACUCCGCAACAUAGAGGUCCAAAAAUUUACUAGACAUUACAUAUUGCAUGUUAAGCAUUCAAAAAUUCAUAAUAAAUGUAUCUAACAUGAUUAUGCAUGCCUUUCCAUUUUACAAACAUAAAACAUACACAAUGAAUUUUCUCAUUGUGUGCUAGGUCAAACCCACGAACCGGGCGUAGUGCCUCGUUUCGCGAACGAAGUUGUUCACGAGCCUCAAAAUAUCCUAAAAGUAUUGAGCGAAGAGAUACAUGGUAUUAUGAUCAACUAUAAGAAUCAAACUUUAACAAACUUAGCCAAAAGGGCUCUAAACUCACCUAAAUGUGUAGGAAUCUCUCUCAAGCUUCAAAAGGAGCUAAAUCCUUCCAAUCCAAGCCAAAGGAGUGCUCUAAUCCAAAUAAUCUAGCCUCAAAAGCCCUAGCAUAAAAAGCCCCAAAUCAACCUAAAACCCAUUCUAGGGUUCCAUCUACAAAAAAUACGCUUCAAAACUAAGCGUUAGAGGAGGGAUUUAUGAGCAACAGACCUCCUUAGAAGCUCCAAUCAAGCUCCAAGGGUGAAGAUCUUCUUCUAGCAAGCCUCCAAGUCAAGCACCAAGCACCAAGGAAGAAGGAGGGUGAGAAGAUGCUCAAGUCCAAGCUAGGUCCUCACCUAUUCUUCUCUCUUAUUCUUCUCCUCCUUCUUUCUCUCUCUAACAAGAGUAUGGAGGGAGUGUGAGGAGAGAAAUGAGAAGGAGAGAGGGUGGAAGGGCUAUUUAGGCCAUCCAAAGUAACAAAAUCCAGGAGGUUUCCUCAAAAUUCAAAAUUGCAUUAGCCCGGUUUGGGCAAUUUCUCGCCCAGAGGGACCGGUCUCUCCCUGCAAGGGACCGGUCUCUCGCUGCGAACUCGAGGAACCAACGUUCGGGAACCGGUCUCUCCCUGCGCGGACCAGUCUCUCCCUGCGAGGAUGCCGCUCGGGGACCGGUCUCGCCGCAGGGACCGGUUCCUCAGGGCUGCCACAACACUGCUCACUUGGGACGGUCUCCUCCUUUCAGGGACCGGUCCCCACAGUGAAAAAUCUCAGGACUCGUUCAGAACUCAGAUUUGAAUUUUUGGAUCGAAAACAUUCUACGACCCUCCACCAAAUGUGGGGAAAGCUCGAAACACAACAAUCACUCGAACCUCGCAAUUUGCAAAGGUCCAGUGUUGUACGAGUACCGGUACAAGAAACUUUCACCGAUACACAGCCUUUUUCUGUGGUCCACUGUGCACCUUGUACCGGUACACAAAAUCAUGUCACCGGUUCAACAGCCUUUUUCAACUCAAACCGAGAGCUGCUUCUCUCAGUUUUACACUUUGUACCGGUACAUUUUUGAGUUAAACCGUAACACAAUUCCAGAUUUCAGAUUUUACGCAUCUUUUCGAUUCUAUUUCGCUCGAUAAAUGCUACAACCUUUCUAAUCUUUUAACUCAUUUCUAACCCUUCCAACCUUGUUGGAAUGUUAACUUGACUUUAUCCAACUAUUUCUUUCGUACUUUUAGUCGAUUCGACUAAAGCUCGAUAGACUCAACCGAGGUUUCAGUAUGUUACAUGUCUAAUCCUGUGGAUUCAAGAAAAGGGUUUGGCUUGGUCGAUUUAAAGAUUGCACCAUUUCGACUCCCAAGUGGUCCACAGCAGGUAUUAAACGAUUGUUCGGACCUUAGGGGUACUGAUCCCUUGCUACUUAACCAUCUAUCCAGACGCUAGGGUUAGUAUAAAAAAAUUAAACAGACUUUUGGAUACAUGGGGUAAAGAUAUAAAACUAGAGGUGCGCUAAGAUUAGUAUAAGAAAUUGACUGACAUUUGGAAUUAGUAGGAUGAAAGAUUUAUAGCAUGUUCAAGCAGCAUUACUUUUAGGGCGUGUUUGGUUGCGUUAUAUAGCUAUUUCGAUAUAACCAUGUAUCUGAGAUUUCUGAAUCAGAUUACUAUUGCAUAUUGCAUAUUACUGAGAUGAGUUUAGUGUAAUAAUGUAAUAUCGUAUUAUNNNNNNNNNNNNNNNNNNNNNNNNNNNNNNNNNNNNNNNNNNNNNNNNNNNNNNNNNNNNNNNNNNNNNNNNNNNNNNNNNNNNNNNNNNNNNNNNNNNNACGUUAGAAGAAUAGAUUGUUCGAGACCGCUCGCUAUCUCGAUAGCUCCGUACGGAGGCCCGCGAAUUGAAGGAGUUGCGGGCGUCAUUGAUAGAUCUCCCUCGAAUAAGGGAUUUCAUACGGCCAAAGUGAUCACCGGGGAGACCCACGUCGCUAUUCGUGGCGAAGAAUGGACGAUCGUUUCGACUCUGCGUAAAUUAUCGCGAGUUGAACAAGGUCACUGAUCAAGAAAAGUACCCGUGCCGAUGAUUGACCAUUUGUUUGAUAGUGCAAAUCCGGUUAUUCAAAGAUUGACCCUAGCCGUCCGAUUAUCAUCAGCUCAAUGAUCAAUGUCCGAGGAUGUGGCAAAAGACCCUGUUCGCACGCGGAGACAUUAUGAAUUCACUUGUCAUUCCGUUUGGCUUACUAACGCCUGCCUCAUGCAUUCAUUGGUACUUGAUGACCUGUGUCUUGCAAGGAGUACUUGGACGAUUUUCGUGGUUUUCAUAGACGACAUCAUUAGUCUAUUCGCAUAGCUGACGAGGAACAUGCCGAGCUAUUUGAGGAUAGUGGCUUCAAUCCUCGGGAGAGAAGUGAUCUAAAGUUUAAGAAAUGCGACUUUGGCCCGAGAGGUUCAUUUCUUGGGCAUUCAAUUUCCGAGAGAAGUAUCUGUUGACUAGGGAAGAAGAGGCGAUCAAAGACUCCUCCCCAUGACUCUAACUCAACGGAAGUUUCUCGAAGCUUCGUGGAG